rnacentral:lncRNA from 1 species
GUUUUGCCCACACCCCCCAUUCCAUAUAAUCCGAUACUGCUUACCUGCUCUCCAUCAUCUUGGAGCCAUUUCCAGACCUUCCCAAACAACAAAUCUUGGCCCACAGUCUUGUCCAGAGGCCUCUCGAUCACGGGAGGACCAGGCAAAGGUUCAGCAACUACACUGAAAUUUGAGCCCUCCGUCUUCUUUACCGUCACAACAUCCAUCUUUUCAAGUACCAUCUUGCCAAGCUUGUAGCUAGCGCCACAGUUUUUAGGACAAUAGGUUCCGAGACAUAUCUUCUGGAUUUCUUCAUCACCUAUGGCCAAUAUUUCCAUCACUUGUUCUUCCAUGGCUUCUACAUUGCGGAGCCAGCCAUCGACUACAUGAGUACGCUUCUUCUGAAGUUUCUGUUAGAAUUCAACCAAGAUGAAUACCCUAAUUUCAUAUAUACUGGAAUAGUUAACAAGGUAAAUACCCUAAUUUCAUAUAUAUUGAAAUAUUUAACAAGGUGGAUACCCUAAUUUCAUAUAUACUGGAAUCUCCUGAUUAAAAAACAAUGAGUGGAAAAAUAAUAGCGAAAGCAUACCUGAAUCCAUUGAAGGAGAAACCUUAUAGGAAGAAAACCCUUUGAGAUGGUCUUCCAAUUCUAGCCACUAGAUUCUGUGUCAAUUUCUCUCUGAGAGGAUUUUCAGAAAUUGGAAUGCGUAGUCGUAGAAUGGGGACCAUAACCCUAUUUAUAAACCGCUAGGGCAGUUUUAAUUUUAUCACAAUUAUAUUUCUGCCCCUCAUAGAAAUAAUAAUUGUCUAAUAGUAUCUACACAAUAAUCUCAUGACAAUUAUACCCUUAAGCCAAUUAAUCAAUUAUUAAUUAGAUCACUAUAUUUAGGCUUAAUUAAAUGAUAGCACACACAUUUUAAUUAUUUACAUAAGUGGCCCAAAUUAUAGAUUAAUUACAAAAAUUAAUCUAACAAUCUCCCACUGGGCCACAUGCAUAUGUAAUCAAAUAAAUGUGCUUAACCUUAUGAGCUCAAAAUUUGCUAUCAUGUCCUUAGGGUAUAUCCGAACAAUCUCGUCCAUUAACUAUACUGACAUAGGAUCAAGGUGGCCUUUGUUACAUCAAUCAUUACUAGACCAAUCAAUGGUCACAUAUAUCUGCACAGCUAAAUGACAUAGAUCAAUCAUGAGUGCAUAACAUGGAAAUUACAUGCAAUGUGAUCUAUUCAUGCCUAUUUCCAACUGGUCCAACUUAACUUUAUUGAGAUCAAAUCUUUAGCAUAAUUUAACAGAGUGCAAUAAAAUGAAUACUUUAUUUCUGCAGAACACAAUCCAAAUGUAUAGAUAAAGUCUAAACAUAACAUAGAGCAAUAUACAAUGAAUAAUACAAACUCCCACUAAAUUUGGAUAUCCUCAAAUNNNNNNNNNNNNNNNNNNNNNNNNNNNNNNNNNNNNNNNNNNNNNNNNNNNNNNNNNNNNNNNNNNNNNNNNNNNNNNNNNNNNNNNNNNNNNNNNNNNNUGCUCUAUGGAUAUCUGUCAACUCUGUACUUUUUCUUUUACAACUAGGAACUUGAUAUCAAUGUAUUUUGAUUUUGUAGAACUCCUAUUGUUAUUGGAAUAUAAAACUGCUGAUUUAUUGUCACAAAAUAUCUUCAGUGGUCUUUCAAUACCAUCCAGAACACGCAGCCCAGUGACAAAAUUUCGUAGCCAUAUUCCUUGAUUGGAUGCCUCAUAACAUGCUACAAACUCUGCUUCCAUGGUGGAUGAAGUUACGAGUGUCUGUUUGCCAGACCUCCAUGAAAUUGCUCCACCAGCCAACAGAUAAAUAUAGCCUGAUGUGGAUCUUCUGCUGUCUUGGCAUCCAGCAAAGUCGGAGUCGGAAUACCCAAUCAACUCUAACUGAUCCAAUCUCCUAUAUGUAAGCAUGUACUCUUUUGUUCUCUGUAAAUAUCUCAUAACCCUCUUGGCUGCUCUCCAAUGAUCCAUUCCAGGGUUACUUAGAUAUCUGCCUAACAUGCCAACAAUGUAUGCAAUAUCCGGACGUGUACAUACCUGAGCAUACAUUAGACUCCCCACAGCCGAAGCAUAAGGAAUCUUUUGCAUUUCUUGACUUUCUAAACUAUUUUUAGGGCAUUGAUUAAGACUGAAUUUGUCUCCUUUAGCGACAGGGGUAUCACUUGGUUUGCUAUUUUGCAUGCCAUACCUUUGGAGGACUUUAUCAAUAUAGGUCCUUUGUGACAAUCCUAAAAUACCCCUAGAACGAACUCGGUGUAUCUGGAUUCCUAAGACAAAGGAGGCAUCACCAAGAUCUUUCAUCUCAAAAUGUUUUGAUAAAAAUCUCUUGGUGUCGUGCAAUAUGCUAAUAUCAUUUGUGGCUAGCAAUAUGUCAUCGACAUAUAAAACCAGGAAAAUAUACUUACUCCCACUGAAUUUGUGAUACACACAUUCAUCCAUAAGAUUUGCCUCAAAACCAUAUGAGACAAUAAUUUGAUGAAACUUGAAGUACCACUGACGAGAAGCUUGCUUGAGCCCAUAAAUGGAUUUAGUUAAUUUACAAACCAUAUUCUUUGAGUCUUCGGACACAAAAUUUUCUGGUUGUACCAUAUAAAUUGUUUCAUCAAUGUCACCAUUGAGAAACGCUGUUUUAACAUCGAUUUGAUGUAACUCAAGAUCAUAAUGUGCAACUAGUGCCAUGAUUAUCCUGAAAGAGUCCUUCGUAGAAACUGGAGAGAAGGUCUCUUUGAAGUCAAUUCCUUCUUUUUGAGUAAAGCCUUUAGCUACAAGACGUGCUUUAUAUCUUUCUACAUUACCAUUUGAAUCCUUCUUGGUUUUAAAUAUCCAUUUACAACCAAUGGGCUUCGUACCAACUGGUAAUGGGACAAGUUCCCAAACUUUAUUGUCUUGCAUAGAUUUGUACUCUUCAUUCAUGGCUUCAAUCCAUUUCUGAGAGUUGGAACUUUUCAUGGCUUGCUGGAAGUUGAUUGGAUCAUCUUCCAUCAUUCCACUUUCUACCUCACGUUCCUGGAGAUAUACGAUAUAAUCGUCCGAAAUUGCAUUUCUCCUCUCUCUAGUGGAUCUCCUUAAUGGCAUAUUUUCUUGAGGUUGUUGAGUUUGUUCUUCAGGAGCAAUGUCCUCAUUUGCAAUUAAGGGUUGAACAAUAUUGUCUGUUGGUUGAGGAUCCAAAUUUACUUCUUGAUCAAUGAUAGGUAGUGAAACCUGUACAUUAUCAAAAGCAAUAGUAGAUCCCUCUUCCUCCUCAAAGACAAUAUUCCUAGCCUGAUUUCUCCCCCCAAACUCAACAUCCUCAAAAAAUGUUGCAGUUCCCAUCUCAAAAAUUGACCUAAUAGCAGGAUCAUAAAAUUUAAAACCCCUUGAUCGCUCUGCAUAGCCAAUAAAGUAGCUGCUAACUGUUUUAGAGUCCAAUUUCUUUUCAUGAGGCUUAUAAGAUCUCGCUUCAGCUGGACAUCCCCAAAUAUGAAAAUGCUUUAAACUAGGCUUUCGACCUGUCCAAAGCUCAUAAGGCGUUUUAGCAGCCGCUUUAGUUGGCACCCGAUUUAGGAUAUAAGCUGCCGUUUUGAGUGCUUCACCCCAGAGUUUUUCGGGUAAAGUAGAAUGACUAAUCAUACUCCUUGCCAUGUCCUUAAGGGUUCGGUUUUGUCUUUCUGCUACACCAUUCAUGCUAGGUGAUCUUGGCAUGGUGUAUUGAGGGACGAUCCCACAUUCCUCUAGGUAUUUAGCAAAUGGUCCUGGACGUUGUUCACCUGAUCCGUCAUAUCUACCAUAGUAUUCACCACCACGGUCAGAUCUGACGCUCUUUAUUCUUUUGUUGAGUUGUAACUCAACUUCUGCUUUAAAUGUUUUGAACACGUCCAAUGAUUGUGAUUUCUCAUGUAUAAGAAAUAGGUAGCCAUAUCUUGAAUAGUCGUCUAUGAAUGUUAUAAAGUACUGUUGACCAUUCCAAGAUGCCAUAGGGUAUGGUCCACAGAUAUCUGUAUGAAUUAAUUCUAAGACGUCUGUAGCUCUAUUGGCACCUAAUUUCUUUGUUUUGGUCUGUUUUCCUUUAAUACACUCAACACAAAUAUCAAAAUCUGAAAAGUCAAGUGAAUCCAAAAUCCCAUCGGACACAAGUCGCUCAACUCUAGAUUUAGAGAUAUGACCUAGGCGUUUGUGCCACAAUGAGGCCGAAUGAUCUUUAUUCAAUUUACGUUUCGUACCUCGUGAUUCCACAUGCAAGGUUUCAUUAUAGGACGGAAUAGUUUCCAACAAAUAUAGAUUAUCAUAAACAUUAAGUAAACCGGUUCCUACAGCAUUUGAAUUAAUAGAUAAUGUAAAUCUAUUGUUUCCAAAUGAACAAUAAUAAACUGAUUUGUCCAAAACAGAAACUGAAAUUAAAUUCCGUCUGAAAGACGGUACAACAAAAGUAUCUAUUAAAUCCAAAAAAUAACCAGAUUUCAAUAAUAAUCUAAAGUGCCCUAUUGCCUCUACUUCUACCGACUGACCGUCUUCGACAUAGAUGCAUCUUUCAGCAUCACUUGGUUUUCGGUAACUCAGGCAACCCUGCAUAGAAACACAAAUGUGAGUAGUAGCACUAGAAUCUAACCAUCAUGUGUUUCUAGAUACUGAAGCUAAAUUAACUUCAGAACAGACCAAAGUAAGAAACAUACCUUUCUUAACACGCCAAGCAGCAUACUUGGUACAUUCCUUCUUAGUAUGUCCAGGCUUAUUACAGAAGAAACAUGUUACCUCAACUUUCUGUUUCUUUUGUUCUGGACCAUUAGAAGUAGCAACCUUAUUAUCCUUAUUCUUUCGUUUGCCCUUAUCCUUGGAAGUGCUAGCCAGAUGAGCACUUUCGGUCUUGUCUUGCUUCAAUCUCUCUUCCUCUUGCACACAGAAUGAAAUGAGCUCAUUAAGAGUCCGUUUAUCCUUUUGACAGUUAUAACUGACCUUGAAUUGAUUAAAUUGUGCAGGAAGAGAGAUGAGAACCAAAUGCACGAGUAAAUCAUCAGAUAACUCGAGUUUCAAAGCCUUAAGUUUUGAAGCAAGAUGAGACAUCUCCAUGAUGUACUCCCGAACAUUACCCUUGCCUUUAUACUUCAUUGAAAUCAAGCUUGCUAAAAGCGUGCUCGUUUCAGCCUUAUCGUUUUUGGCAAAACGUUUUUGAAUUUCCGCAAGGAAGUCACUGGCAUUAGUAACCUCAUCGGUUACCGCACCCCUGAAAGCUUCUGGAAUGCCGCGCUUCAUGAUCAUAAGACUUAGCCUAUUUGAACGUUCCCACUUACCCCAAUAAACCUCAUCCUCUUGAGUACUUUGCUCAUUGAGUUCAUCAGGUUUGGGCAUUCUCAAGGCCAAGUCUAUAUCCAUGCAGCCUAAGAGAAUCAUCAUAUUCUCUUUCCAGUCGUUAAAAUUAGUCCCAUUUAACAUAGGGACAUUAUUGAUGUUGGCAGAUAUAGAAGUAGUUGAUAUAAAAGCUGAAUCGAGAACAAAAUAAAAUGAAUCAAAUAAACCAUCAUGCUCACAUAAAAUAAGCAAUUAAACACAUAAUCUUUAAAUUUAAAAGCAAAUUAUGACAUUUCAAGAUACCUAGCACAACAUUAAUAUCAAGUCUUUGGACAGUAAUAUUAACUGUAAGUGGUACUCUUGUUGUAGUGAUCAAACAUUGAUGAUAAGUUAUGUCAAAUAAUAAAUCUAUCUUUGGAUUGAUUUAUUAUUCACAUUAAGUUACCUUUAUAAUCAUCACAUAUUUAUCACCACAAGUAUGUAUGCAAUUUGACCAAAUAUUAACUUUCCUUUGGGCCAGUCAAUACCCGCAUGAAUCACAUACACACAAAUAUCUAACACCCCGAACAGACUAAUCUACACGGAAGAUGUCACUUUGGUGAUUUUCCGCUUUAAUUAGCCUAUUUAAAAUGCUAGAUCAAUAACUUAAAUAUUAAUAUCAUAAAAUGCUAUUAAAUAAUAAUAAUAAUAAUAAUAAUAAUAAUAAUAAAAAUUUUAUCAGCUCAAUAUUUCAUAAAUCUUAAUCCAUUGACAUAUAUUAAAAUAAUAACUCAAAGAAUUAAUCAAGGAGUAGGCUCUGAUACCACUUGUUAGAAUUCAACCAAGAUGAAUACCCUAAUUUCAUAUAUACUGGAAUAGUUAAUAAGGUAAAUACCCUAAUUUCAUAUAUAUUGGAAUAUUUAACAAGGUGGAUACCCUAAUUUCAUAUAUACUGGAAUAGUCUUGUUAAAAAACAGUGAGUGGAAAAAUAAUAGCGGAAGCAUACCUGAAUCCAUUGAAGGAGAAACCUUAUAGGAAGAAAACCCUUUGAGAUGGUCUUCCAAUUCUAACCACUAGAUUCUGUGUCAAUUUCUCUCUGAGAGGAUUUUCAGAAAUUGGAAUGCGUAGUCGUAGAAUGGGAACCAUAACCCUAUUUAUAAACCGCUAGGGCAGUUUUAAUUUUAUCACAAUUAUAUUUCUGCCCCUCAUAGAAAUAAUAAUUGUCUAAUGGUAUCUACACAAUAAUCUCAUGACAAUUAUACCCUUAAGCCAAUUAAUCAAUUAUUAAUUAGAUCACUAUAUUUAGGCUUAAUUAAAUGAUAGCACACACAUUUUAAUUAUUUACAUGUGUGGCCCAAAUUAUAGAUUAAUUACAAAAAUUAAUCUAACAGUUUCUCUUCACGUUCCACCCCUUUCCUUCACAUCUUCGUAUAGGUUCUUGAGUUCCUCCAUUGCAGUUCUCAAAGAGUUGAGAUUUUGUGGGAGAUGACGGAUGUAAACAGCACGCUUGGCAGUGCAAUUCCACAAGCGAGUAGCGACAUCCAGGAUUGGGCUCACACAAUCCACGGAGAAAACAAGGACUGGGAUUCAAAGCCAAGAAGAACUUAAUCAGAAUAGGAAAACAGGUGCUGGAUUGAAAUUGGAGAGGAAAAGAGAAGAAUUCUGGAUUUAUGUUUGUUGUGUACAAAACCCAGCAAAGUUGUAGAUCAGUAAGGAGAAAAGUAAUAAUGAAAUAUCACUUUUUUUUUCAAGUAAAAGACUCCGCAAUCAGUGUAUGAUGUACUCAAAUUACAUAUCCAAAAUCAAAAUGAGUUCACAUUUGGGUAAUGGAAAAAAAUAAAUUCUAAACAAAAUUAGCAAAGUAUUGUGCAUGCUUUAGAAAGUUUGGUGAUUCAUAAAGGAAGAAAAGAAGAAAAGCACCGAAAGUGCGGAUUCUUUGAUAACAUUUUUCAAGACAUUCAUUCGCAUCAUAUAUCAUUUGUGUCUUUUAAUCAUUAUUAAAUGUUGGACAUCAUUCAUGACUCAAGACCUAUAUGAAGAGUGCUUUUUUUAUUUUUUAUUUUUAUAAAAUAUAAUAUUCUAAAUAAUAAAUAUUACUAACAUUUUACAAAAAGAAUAUUUACUUGUUCAUUUGUAAAUAAUUUUUAUUUUUUACUUUUGUUAAUUUUUUGUAAGAGGAUAUUUUGAUAUUCUCAACAACUCAAAUUAGUGAAACAGGCGAUGGAUAGGAGUUGGUGAGGUGAAGAGAAGAAUAUUGGGUUUAUGUUUUUGUGUUCAAAACCCAGAAAAGAUGAUAAUGAAUAAAGACUGAAGUAAUAAUGACAUUGUCUUCCAUGCAGACUGUCAAGCUCUGUAAAGAUGAAUAUAAGGCCACCCCACCACUUCUGGUAUGAUAUUUUCCCAUUCUUUCCUUCCUUUGUGUUUCCAUCAAUCAAGCAUAGUAAAGGGUCCACAGCUUUUCUGGGUUUCUCUUUUCCUUUAGUGGGAAUCUUUUUCUUCCAACACAAAUAUGAAUUCAUUUACAUAUGAAGUUUGUGUACUGGUUUGUAACUAUAAAACUGUAAGUAGCAGUGCAUAUAAUUCUUCAUCCGUUCUACUGUUUAAAAAUAUAAUUCUUUUUUCUUGAUAGGUUGGGAUCCAUUUUAUUAGUAAUUAUUUAGGAAUUUAUUAGGUUUCUUUCAUCAUUCCAAACACGAAUUUAUUAGGAAUUUAAGGAUUUUUCCGUAAUCCCAUUCCAAGUUUUGGAUUAUCAAACAUGGGUACAUGAGCGGAGGAGAAUUAAUUGGUUUUUGAAUUUUUUUUGAUGAUAUACAUAAACAAAAUUUUGUUAAUUUAUUUUUGGAGAAGUAAUUUUUAUUUAUUGAAAAUUUGAUUUUUAUUUAUUUGAAAAACGAGGAUAUUCAAAUUGUUGAUUAUAACCAAAUAUCUAAUUACAAGAAAAAAAAAAAGAUUAAUAUAAAGAUAAAAUUGCAACCUCUCUCUCAAUUAAGAUGAGAGAAUUUAAAAUCUUACAAAAUGAUGAAAGAAAGCCUCUUUUUUUUUUUUUUUUAAUGAAUAGUAAGGGGUGGAGACCACGUUUUAUAGCAUAGGGAAACUCCCCCCCUUUUGUCUUCUAAACGAGAUGGGAUGACUUCAACUUUGACACGAUACACUUAGAAAUGUAAGGUUGGAAUGAUUAUUUAUUUCUAUUUUAAUGUUAAGUAACAAUAAAAAUGAGAAUGAAAGAGAAAUAAGUUCACAAUAAUAUCUAUACGCAUAGUUUAAAAUAAUUUUUUAUUUGUAGGACAUCUAAUAAUGGUUUAAAAUCAUAGUUAUUUUUUACCAUAUUUUGUUAUGAUAAUAGUAAUUAACUCCAAAAACAAUGAAAGUUCAUUUGUAUAUUUGUAUAUAGGUUUAUUUGAGCACUUAAAAAUGGUUAACUUGGAUAUAUUUUUAUGAUAGAGAAUUCUCUAGCUAAGAAGUCUUCUCUUAUGCACUUGUUUGUACAUUUAUAAUUAUUUUCUUUAGGUUAUAUAUGGUUCAUGAUUUUUUUUUUAGAGGAAAGAAAAUAGUGAGAAAAUUAUAAGGAAAAAAAUUUAUAAAAAUAUUUCGGGAGACGUCUCCUUGAUGUUUGGGUUUGAUUCAGCUAUGGAUUUGGGUGACAAAGAUCACACAUUUGAUGAUGGAUGAUUUGAUGUUGUCCGAUUUUCGGCUUAUCCUACAUCUGAUUCCAUACUGGGGCAUAUUUCUGUUUCGAUUGAGAUUUACAGAUCUCAUGGAGUCGCAUGAUCAUCCUCACCUACUAGAUAAACGCUGAGAUGAUGACCUGUUUAUUAUCUUAUCAUGAUUCCUCAGUGGAGCCUCUCUAGAGCCAUCUAGUCAGACCCCCAUUUUUCGGCAUUUGGUUGUCAUCAUGUUUCUCAUUUUGGGGUACGCCUUUUGAUCUAUGAGUUCGAUUCAGUUAUGGAUGUGGAUGACUAGGAUUGCACAUUCAAUGAUGGAUAAUUUAAUAUCAUCUAGUUUCCCAACCUAUCACACAUUCGAUGCCAUACCAGGGCAUAUUUCCGUUUUGGUUGAGAUUUGUAGAUCUUCAUUGAUUUGCAUGAUUGUCCCCAAUCAUGAGAUGCACGUUGGGCUAAUGGUUUGCUUUCAUUUUGUCCAGAUUCUCUAGUGGAGCCUUUCUUGAGUCAUUCAAUCAAGCUCAUAUUUUCUGAUAUUGUCAUGAUUCUUAGAUGAAGUUAUCUCAGGUGCAUAAACUCCCACAUCAUCAUUUCAGUAGAGUGCAUGUCAGGUCUCUUACACGUCCCCAUUGAGCUAUACUGGGGCAUAUUUCCCUCUUUUAGUUGCGGAGAUGAUUGUAUUCUCACAGACUUGUUAUAGUCUUCAUUACUUGGACGAGGGAUAUUUCUUUGCAUUACUGGUCACAGUUUCAGUGAUUUUAGUCGAGAUGGUCUCCAAAGGAGCACAACCUUCUGGGUUUUAACUACCCCUCUAUCCAUGACCUUUCAGUAGAUUUUUGUGUUGGGGUCGCAGUAGUUACCCUAUUAGACUAUUCUCUUGAGACUUCUUAGUGGAUCAUUCAUUUGAGAUGACGAUGGACUCCUCCAGUAAAGCAUUUUGAGUUAGAGGCGCUUGACUUAUUGUGACACAUCAUCAGGCCUCGUGAUUUAGUCGGAUGGAUUAUGAGGCUGUACUUAUAAUCGAUUUGAUCAUUCCGACUCUCUAGUGGAGCAUCUUUCGAGACACAGUGAGCCUCUUUCAGACCUUUCCAGUGGAUUGAGAGUUGUGGCGGCACGCUACACUAGGGCAUGUUUCCCCCUUUAUCAUUUCCUUGCAGAUUGGCGUUCAGAGCCACCAUAUUUUCUCAGUUAUGACGUUUAGAGUCGUCAUUCUCAGUUCGACGUUCAGAGUCGUCCUUUUCAGUUUGGCGUUCAAAGCCACCAUCUCCUUGUAGCUUGGCGUUCAGAGCCAUCAUCGCUUCUCAGUUACGACGUUCGGAGUCGUCUUUCUCAGUUUGACAUUCAGAGAUGUCAGUUCUCAGUUAUGGCGUUUAGAGCCUUUAUCUUCUUUAGUUCAUUGUUCAGAGCCACCAUCUAUUCUCAGUUCGACGUUCAGAGUCAUUCUUCUCAGUUCGACGUUCAGAGUCAUCCUUCUUAGUUUCAGCGUUCAGAGCCACCAUCUCUUUUCAGUUUGGGGGUUCAGAGCCACUAUCUCUUUUCAGUUUGGCGUUCAGAGCCACCAUCUCUCCACAGUUUAGUUUUUAGGGCCACCACAUUUUUUCAGUUUGGCGUUCAGAGCCGUCGUUCAUAGUUUGACAUUCACAGUCGUCGUCCACAGUUAAGCGUUUAGAGCCACCAUCUCUCCACACCCGUCUAGGUUAACUUAGGCGGCCCAUUUAGACACUUUAGGCCCGUCUAGCUUCAUUUAGGCCCACUUAGGCACACUUAGCCCACUAGACAUUUUUAGAGUGACUUGUAUGGUUGCAUGGAUCAUUUAUCUCAUUUACUUAUUUAUUUUUAUUUUUUAUUAUUAUUAUCAAUCACUUUUAUUUAAUCAUUUACUAUAUUUUUAUUUGUUUAUUUAUUUUAAUUUACUUUCAUUGUUAUCAAUCACUUUUAUUUAUUGAGUUAUUUUUUAUUUCUUGUUUAUUUAUUUGUUUAUUAUUUUGUUGUUUAUUCAUUUAUUUAUUAUUAUUAUUUCAUCAUUCUCUAAUUUAUUUAUUUUAUUCAUUUAUUUAAUUUGAUAAUUUGAUGUUUUUAUGGGAAAAUUUGCCAACUGGAGGAAAAAGAAUUUUGAAAUUGGUAAGAAUUUGAAAAGGAAAGAAACUCUUCGAAGAUGGGACUCUUUACGUGAUAUGCAUGGAUUCACUUGUGAAAUUUUUAAAAAGGAGUUUUUUUGGUGGAUGAGAUAGAAUUUGGCAGAGAGGAGAAGUCCUCAGUGGGGACGACUCUAAUUGCUAUAAAAAGCAUAGGUGGUGGGUAUGAAUGGGGGGAUUUUUUGGAGGAUCUUGAGAGGGAGAAGAAGGAAGCACGACAAAGUGGAGUAAGUGAUUUGGGACAAUAUACAAGCGGGGAUUUUCUUAUCAGGGGGAGCGUUUUCCAGGUACGUUUUUUGUAGACCCUUUGUAAGAAAACAGAGUAGAAAUCUGGUGUAUAUUUCAUUCAUCAACUUAAAGGGAAGAAGAUACAUAUAUACAAAGUAUUGGUUAGCCUAUUUUAGGAAUCUAUGAGCAAACGUAUCAGUUACAAUCAAUCAAAAUAAUCUUCUAUAUACAAUCAAAUAUCAUCCUCAAAUUACGGGAUCCUUGAUUCCUUUCCCUUAAUACUCCCCCUCAAGUUGGAGCGUGUAUGUCAAGAACGCCAAACUUGCUGAGAAGGGAAUGAAAAAUUGAUGAAUUGAGUGGCUUAGUGAACAAAUCAGCAAGCUGGCAAGACGAUGGAACAUGAGCAGUUACUAUGGCUCCUGAUUGAAUUCGUUCUCGAACAACAUGACAAUCAAUUUCUAUAUGCUUGGUACGUUCAUGGUAAACUGGAUUAGCAGCAAUAUGGAGUGCUGCUUUACUAUCACAGAAUAGUUUGGCAGGUUGCGAGUGUUCUACUUUCAAGUCAUCCAACAAAUACCUGAGCCAUGUAAGUUCACAUGUAAUGGAAGCCAUUGCUCGAUAUUCUGAUUCAACUGAUGACCUUGACACUGUUGUCUGUUUCUUGGUUUUCCAUGAAAUGAGAGCUCCUCUAAGAAAAAUACAAUAUCCAGUCACAGAUCGUCUUGUGAUCGAACAUCGAGCCCAAUCUGAAUCACAAAAUCCUCUUAGUAGCAAAUUUCCUUUUGCAGGAAAAUAUAAUCCUUGUCCAGGUGCACCUUUAAGAUAUCGUAGAAGAUGAUGAACAGCAUGCAAAUGAGGCUUUCUUGGUUCUUGCAUAAACUGGCUUAAAAUGUGAACUGAAUAACUUAUCUCUGGCCUUGUAAUGGUAAGAUAAAUGAGUUGUCCGACCAAUCUUCUAUAAGUGGAUGGAUUCUUCAAUAAAUCUCCUACUGUGGGUAGGAGUUUAUUAUUUUCUUCCAUAGGUGUUGACAAUGGUUUGGCCCCAAGCAAGCCUGCUUCAUCUAAAAUAUCAAGAGUAUAUUUUCGCUGAGAUAUUGAAAUACCAUCAGUAGAACGAGCAACUUCAAUACCAAGGAAAUAUCGUAAUUGACCGAGGUCCUUGAUGCGAAAUUUGGUGUGGAGAGACUCCUUAAGAGCUGCAAUUACAUUCUCAUCAUUGCCGGUGAUGAUCAUGUCAUCUACAUAGAUGAGCACAGCUGUGAAAGAAUUACCAGAGAUCUUUGUGAAAAGUGAAUAAUCAGCCCUUGAUUGAUGGAAACCAUCUUGUUGAAUGGUGGCCGAAAAUUUCCGAAACCAGCUACGAGAGGCUUGUUUAAGUCCAUAUAAUGACUUGUUGAGUCGACAUACCAUAGGUGUCUCCCCCUGUUGACGAAAACCGAGUGGCAAUUGCAUAUAGACUUCUUCAAGCAAAUCACCAUGGAGAAAGGCAUUUUGAACAUCCAUUUGGUGAAGUGACCAAUGUCGGACAGCAGCUAUAGCAAGUAAACAUCGAACUGUAGUUAACUUAGCCACAGGAGAAAAGGUCUCCUUAUAGUCAAUCCCUUCGCGUUGAGUGAAGCCUUUCGCCACCAACCGAGCUUUGUAUCGCUCAACUGUGCCAUCAGAGUUAUAUUUGAUCUUAUACACCCAUUUGCACCCAAUUGGACGAUGACCGUAAGGGAGAGGUGUGAGUGUCCAAGUGUGAUUUUGUUCAAGAGCAUGGAGUUCUGCAGCCAUAGCUUCCUGCCAUUUUGGAUCUAAUACUGCCUGUUCAUAAGUUGUAGGUUCCACAAGAGUGGUGAUGGCACAAACAAAAUUCCGAUAUUUUGGUGAGAGUUGUGCAUAGGAAAUAUACCGAGUCAAAGGGUGACGCGUACCUGACAAGGAAGAAGAUUGGCUGGAAGCAACCUUGGCGGUGUGGUAGAGAUGAAAAUUCCGGAGGUGGACAUUGGGUUGCUUGAUGCGGUCAGAACGACGAGUAGUAGGAGGUGGAGGUGACACAAUGGUGUCAAGAUGAAGUGUGCGUUCAUUAGAGGUAGACUCAAGAGAUGAAAGCAAUGGUGGUGGCUGAUCAUCGGCUUGUGGUUUGGUUGUCUCUGUGGUUAUGGGUUCAUAUGAGGUUUGUGGUAAAGGAAGAACUACCACAUCAUGUUGUUCUUCUUGUGGAUUAGUGUGAAACGGAAAUAUAUGUUCAUGAAAGACAACAUCUUGGGAAGAAAAGAAUUUAUUAGUGUCAAGAUCAUAAACCCGAUAACCCUUUUGACCAAGAGGAUAACCAACAAAUAUGCAACGACGAGCUCUUUGAUCAAAUUUAUGUGUGGGUAAGAGAUUGGUGGCAUAACAAAGACAUCCAAAAGUUCGUAGAUGAUGAUAUGAAGGUAGCUUGUUAUGGAGAAGUUGGUAUGGCGAUUUGUGAGAAAGAAGGGGUGUAGGUAAGCGAUUGAUUAAAUAGCAAGCCGUUUGAAUACUUUCCCCCCAAAAUUUUAACGGCAAGUUUGCUUGAAAACGAAGAGCUCUUCCCACAUUUAAAAGAUGACGAUGUUUCCUCUCAACCACCCCAUUUUGUUGGGGGGUGUAAGCACAUGAAUGAUGGUAAUUGAUCCCCUUAGUAUCCAAAUACUGUUUCAUAGAGGAAAUUUCAGUCCCAUUAUCGGUUCGAAGGGUUUUAAUGCAACGAUUAAAUUGGGUUUCCACCCAAGAAAUGAAUGAUUGCAAUAUCCCUUGUGUUUCAGAUUUAAAACUCAUGAGAUGUAUCCAAGUAUAUCGAGUAUGAUCAUCAACAAUUGUUAGGAAAUAACAAGCCCCAGAGUGAGAAUUUAUUCGAUGUGGUCCCCAAAUAUCACAAUGUAUCAAAUCAAAAGGUGCAUGAGAAGAAAUGAAACUAGAUGGAAAGGACAAACGAGUUUGUUUGGCUAAAGGGCAAAUAUCACAAACAUGCUUGGAAUCAAAAUAAAUUUUAGGAUUAACUUUAGCAAGAACUUGAAGAGGACCGGAUGAUGGGUGCCCAAGACGUUGAUGCCAAAGAUCAGAAUGUUUGUGAAUGGCGUAAGCCAAGGCUGGAUUUUGGUCUUGUGCGAGGUAGUAGAGGCCAUUAUGUUGCUUGCCCAGGCCAAUCGUCUUCCUCGUAGUAGCGUCCUGCACAACACAAAAAUCGAAAAAAAACAUCACUAUACAUUGUAAUGCCCGCGUUAGUUUACUAACUGAUAGUAAAUUAACUUGAAAUUGUGGAACUUUGAGUACGUCAUCAAGUUUAAUGUGGGGGGUAACAUGCAAUGAACCAAUUGACUCAAUAUGUGCUUGACCACCAUUUGGCAAACUAAUGGUAGUGGUUUUGGGCAAAUUCUUCGGAUCUAAUAAUUCAGCUGAGGAAGUCACAUGAUCCGUGGCUCCGCUAUCAAUAAUCCAACACAUAUUUGAGUGUGGGCAAUUCGGAAUAAUUUUGGACGAUGACAUAUUUAUACCUGUGGCAUUUGCAAAAUGUUGUGAAUUACCACCGUUGUUUUUCCGAAUCAUAGCCAUUAAUUGGUUAUAUUCCUCAGUUGUGAGCCUUGGUCCAUCAUUUGUUGGAAGAAGUUUUGCUUCUGUCUCCACAGCCUUAUUUGUUUCCACUUUCACAUUGUUUGCAUUUGAGUGACGUUGAUUGGGAGGCUUCACGUUCUUCCCAUGGAGCUUGUGGCCAAUCGGAAAGCCAUGUAGGUAGUAACACUUCUCAAUGCUAUGAUAAUCACGGUCACAAUAAGAGCAGUGCAGUGGAGUCUUUUGCUUUUGAACCUGGUGUGCUGAAGUCGCCUUAUUGUCCCGAUCUGCAAGCAUGGCAUAAUGGUUCUUGUUCCCAUUAUUGAGAGAAACUUCAACCUGUUUUUCUUGUUGAAGGACAAGUGAGUAAACUCGGCGUGUAUCGGGUAGAGGGUGCAUCAAUAAGAUUUGUCCACGAAUGGCAGCAUAACUAUCAUUCAAUCCCAUGAGAAAUUGCAUAACUCUCUCUUUUUCAUCCCUUUCCUUAAGUUUCUCUAAUCCUCCACAAGAACAGGAUAACACUUCAUGAUAGGAUGAAAGUUCAUCCCAAAAAGCUUUAAGCUUUGUGUAAUAAACCGAAAUUGAUUGCUGCCCCUGCCUAUGCUCCACAAUGUCUCGCUUGAUUUGAUAAAUUCUUGAAUCGUUUCCUUGCGAAAAACGUUCUCGCAGAUCUGCCCAGAUUUCUGAUGCUGUUUCGGCAUAAAUCACACUGUUGGCUAUGUCUGGAUGAAUAGAAUUCAAUUGCCAUGAGAUCACCAUAUCAUUGCAACGUUGCCAAGAAGGGAAACUAUCAUCAGUCGAAGAGGGUGGCUUAAUGGAACCUGUGACGAAUCCAAUUUUGUCUUUAGCACUCAAACUGAUCCUCAUAGCCCGACUCCAUGUGCUGUAGUUAUCUCCUUCAAUUACUUUGGAGACAAGUACCAUACCCGGGUGGUCCGAGUGGUGUAGAGAGAAGGGAUCUAAAGCUUCUGUGGUAGCCUUAGAUGAUGUCAAUCCCGUUUUGUUGGCGUCCAUGGCAGCAGCUGUAACGAGGAAAUAAGUUGCGGAAGCGUUUGGAAGAAUUCAGAGUCACCAGGUUUGGUGCUCUGAUACCAUGUAAGAAAACAGAGUAGAAAUCUGGUGUAUAUUUCAUUCAUCAACUUAAAGGGAAGAAGAUACAUAUAUACAAAGUAUUGGUUAGCCUAUUUUAGGAAUCUAUGAGCAAACGUAUCAGUUACAAUCAAUCAAAAUAAUCUUCUAUAUACAAUCAAAUAUCAUCCUCAAAUUACGGGAUCCUUGAUUCCUUUCCCUUAAUACCCUUCCUUCAUUCCCAUUAUCCUUUUGUUAUGUAUUAAUCUUCGCUAGAUUUUGAGCCUCGUCUGGAUGUUUGGUUAUAGAAUGAAAGAAGCCAAAUAUUUAUUUGCAUUGAUACUAGAUAGCUCAUAUAGUUGUUGUUGAAAUAAAUUCCUUUGGAGGUUCCUAGUUUUGGUUUGGGACUGUAAGGUGGUGUUUGUUUUUUUGGCUUUUUGCUGAAAACCAUUUAGCUUUAGAAUUUAGGUUGUUUGUUUUUUUACUUUUUUAUGACUUAUUAUAAAUUUUUUACUAAAUAGAAAAAGCCAAAAAAUGUGGCUUUUUCUAAAUAGAAAAAAUAACACAAUGGUUUUUUUUACUUUUUAAUACUUAAUAGAAAUAAAAUACUAUAAAAACAAACAACCUAAUAUUUAAUACUAUUAAGUAUUAAGGUUCUAUUUAGAAUUAAGUAAAAAAACAAACACCACCUAAGACUCUGUUUUCCUGUUUACUGUGUGUUAUGUGUGUUAUGUGAGGACUUUGGUUGCCUUUGUUUGUUUGAAUCUGUUUAUACUCCUCCCACCAAUCUAAACCCCUCAUAUGAAACAUGAAAUGUGGCCUUCACCGUGUUUUUUUGGUUUACAUUCUUCAUGCUCUGUUUUCUUGGUCGUCUUCCUCUGUUUUCUAUGGGUAUUUUGGGUGCAUAGUUGUAUGUGCAUCACUAGUUGAUGGUGCUAGAGAAUGGCUUGCAUGGGUUGAAGGAGCAAUCCACUUUCCAUAGUGGAGAAUUGGCACUCGCGCACAGUCCUUAUUUUUUUUUAAAAGAGCAAGCGCACAGUUGAGAUGGUGAUAUUCACGCACAGCAGCCCGUUGUCAAUUCCAUGAAAAACUGGGAUGUAUCCUCAAGAAAUGAGUUGCGUAUCAAGAAGAACAGGAAAAGGAAAGCAAAAAUAGAAAAAGGAAGCAGAACAGGAAGAAGUGGGAACAGAGAGAGAGGUCUGAAGGGAAAUUCAAUGGAUAUCUUGAGGGGAAGAUAGCAAAAAUGCGGAUAAAAAAAAAUAAAAAAAAUCAGUCGAGGCUGACAAGGAGAAGCAUGAUGAUGCUGCCAAGGGAGUUUUGAAAAAAGCAAGGUUGUUACUCAUUGAGCCGGAACCAUUGGGAGGAUCGUGACACAUACAUACAGAAUCACAGUUUCGGACUCCGAGGAACAGAUCGGAUGAUCUGGAAGGCCCACAGUCUGUAUACAUGAUCAAUGUCCCUUGAAUGCAUGAUGAUGGGAGUGGUAUCCAUGAAGUCAUUACCAAUGGGAUUCAGAUUCAGGCCCACCGACGAGGAGCUCAUCAGCCACUACUUGAAGUUGUAGAUCGAAGGGUGUCAUUCGGAGGUGGAGGUUAUUCGGGAACUUGAUGUUUGCAAAUGGGAGCCUUGGGAUUUGCUUGGCUCCUCCACGAUCAAGACGGAUGAUCGGGAACGGUUCUUCUUCUGCCAUCGUAAUAGGAAGCACCCAAACAGCCGUCGUUCCAACCGGGCUACCGACGCCUGUUACUGGAAAGCUACUGGCAAGGGUCGAAUCAUAAACCACGGGGUUUUCUCUGCAACCACUAAUUUGGUUCUCAUCUCUCUGAUAUGGAGACUACUUCUGUGGCUUUCAAAUCCAAGGAGGAUCACCGAAAAUAGCUGGAAUUAGAGGAAGCCUGUGAAGCUGGGCUUGCACCAGCUGAGCUUGAUGAAGAUGGGAAAGAAAUCGACCCUCACAUUCCUCAGUAUAUGUCCUCAGUGCCUUGGUAUCUUAAUGCUGAGAGACCUAGUCUGAAACAUCAAAGGAAAUGAAUGUGAACUUGAUGAUUUGGAGAUUCUUAGAACGCUAGAGGAGGGACGUGAUUAUGUUUUAGUUCCUCAAGAAGUUUGGGAGAAGCUUUUUACUGGUAUAAAGGAGGACCGACAUUACCCAGAAAGAUGAAUCCUCAAGGUAUUACUCACAAGAAAUUCAUGGUGGAGAUUUAUCGACUAUGCCUUAAGUUAAUUGAUUUCAGCAUGAGCUUUAUGAGAGGGUGUGUACACUUAAAGAGGAAGCAACAGGUUGGUUUCUGUGCAUGAGCUUUAUGAGAGGGUGUGUACACUUAAAGAGAAAGCAACAGGUUGGUGGUCAAAACAUUAGUAUAUUGCACAACUUCGGUAGUCAAAGGGUGGACUUAGGUCCGGAUUGCAGCAGAAAACUUAUGCUUUUUUUUUAAAUGGGACUUUAAAUGGUGGGUCCCUUGGAAUCAGGGCUGAAAGAUAGUGAUAGUUAUGUAAGGAUGGUGGCAGCUUGUGGGGUUCUGAAAUUAUAUCACAUAUCAGCUUCAACACAUGUUGAUGCAGAUUUUCCAGCAAUGCUUAAGCAUUUAAUGCUUAACGAUCCAGAUACUCAAGUAGUUGCAAAUUGUUUAUCAUCUCUACAAGAGAUCUGGAGCAAGCAAGUACCUUUGAGGAAGCAUCUAGGGAGAGAGGGGCAAUAUGCAUUCAUUGAAGGAAGCGACCACCAUUCUGAUAUGAAUUCCCAAUUGGUGCACCUUGUUCAUGGUUGCCUUCCUACAAAAUACACAAGAUUUUGGUGGUAUGGAUGAUACUUUGUCAUCUCAGAUGCAGCUAUAAUAUCAAAUUACCUGUUAAGACCCCUUCUUAUUGAGAUUUAUUGAUUUAAAAUUGGUUUGUUAGAAAAGAAAUACCCAUCUUAGGUAUUAAAUGAUUUGAUCAUUGCUGUCAGUUUUCACUCAACCAUUGACCCUUUAAUUUCAAAAUUCGUUUCGGCAACUUUAGAAUAUUCAUAAAAAAUUUCCAAAACUUGUAUGAAUUUCCUUACUUCUUGAACUUGAAUUUAAAUUUUUGUUUGAGUUAGAAAGCCAUUCUAGAAUAGGAGGUAUAAACGAGUCUUUUAGGGGGCUCCUUUUCACCCAGUUCUAGACACUCGAGAUCUUUUUGCAAAAAUAAAAUACGAGACUACUUUUUAAUGGACGUCUAAGUUGGUAAUCUAUAUAUCAUGCAUGGGAAACUAUGGCCCAACAUACAUUUCUAGCUUCAUUGUCUAAUGUACACUUCUAGGCUCGUGCAAGGGAGAUGGUUAUCCAAAAUAUGUGAAUGUGAAGUUAACAUUUUUUAGUUUUGGUCAAUAUUACUGAAGAUAGUUAAUAUUAUUAUCAUCACUUGAAUCAUUGCUUAUUCAGAUGUAAGGGUGGUUCUCAUGUCAUUUGGUGGUGUUUCAAUGUUUGAUGAAUACCUUAUAACGACUUUUUGCUACAACUAUUGCACAUUUUCAAUUGAGUGUGUGUUCUAUUGUACUAUUGAUAAGUUUUUCAUAUAACAAUUUGAACACACAGGCAUGGUAUAUCAUAAUGCUAUCAUUCAUUGUAACUACCAUAUGAACCAUAUAUAAAUGUAUAAACAUAUAUGAAUAAUAUGUGUUUAUUUUUUAGUACCAAUUUCUUUACAAAAAGGUUUCAAUGUUUGUCAAUAGCACUCUUGAAACCAACUUAAAAACACAGCCCAUGCCAUACCAUUCACAAUCACCAACUUAAUAUUGGUCGACCAUGCUAAAUGAAGUGGUACCUUUAGUUGCCGUUAAUGUUACUUUUAGGUUAAUGUAGUGUUACUAUUAACAAUGUCUGUAUCUAGAAACAUAAACAUAAUCUUAAUAUUAUCCCACUUAGGUUUAAAGCACUGAGCUGACUGCCAAAUUAUGUCAUUGAAUGCUAAUUUACAUUGGAAUGGAGUAGUAGUCCAAAACAUGCAGCAUCAGAAUAUUUCAUAGUUUUUAUGGGAAAGUAUAUAUCAUUACCAAAUGGACAUAAUUUGUUAACAUCAAAAUAAAAUUGAAAACAUGUUGCUUUUAAAGAAAAGCAGCCAUACAAUUAUUUAAAAAAAAUGAAAUAUCCGUUAUAAACAACUUAAUGUUGUCCAAUCCGUGUAACAUUAAUGACAUUUUCAUUCUCCACAGGCAAAAGCCAUGGAGGUCGUUCGAAUUCUUCUUAGACAGAUAUAUGUUAAUACCAUUGAUGCUUCAUGCCAUGUCUUCACAAUGCCUCCUUUCUUUUGUGUCAUUGAUUGAGGAUGAUGUUUCUUUAGAUACCGAAGAUUUUAUUAAUACACUAUGAAGACAAGAAUCUGCAUAAAUUAAACAACGAAAAAUGUCAUACAGAUGAACAUUCACAAAUAAGUCAUAGUAAUAAAGCAAACUAAUCUUUUGUAUUGUUGCCACUGAACUUGUAUGUGGUAAAUGACACCAAAGAAGAUGAUCUACAUAGGCCUCCAUUUGGAGCUACUAGUUUAAUUUGUUCUCUCACCAUUUACAUGGGAGGAAUAUCAGUAAAAUGUCGCUUUUACAUUACCAUUGUUAUACCUUUCACUUAAACAUGCUUAGGUGGCAAUCCCCAGUCCAAAUUAUGGAACAUCAAAAAAGAAACCAAGCCCAAAGUCAAUCCCAACCCCAACUCACAUGAGCUUAGUACAUCAUUUAACCAACGGUUUUACAUUUGUUGGUACAUUAUUUAACCAACAAUGUUACUUUAAGGCCAAAAUGGUGUUACAUUUAUGUCACAUUUAUUGUAUCGUUAACUUAUAUAAGGAUUGGAUGACAUGACCUAGUCCAAAUCAUGUAGAAUGCCAACUAGGAAUGAAUUCCUACAUCAAUCUACAACCCAACUCACAUGAGGAUGGUACAUCAUUGAACUUAUAGUAAUACUUUAAUGCCAAAAACAAUGUUAGUUUAUGCCAAAACCACUAUUACAUUUAUAUUAAAAUUGUUUUACCUGUUGCUAAUAUGGAAGAAUUGUGUGUACUCCCAUUGUCCAAAAAAAAAAAAAAUGAUGAACCACAAACAAAAACUAAGUCAAUCUACACCUCAAAACACAUGAGGAUGGUACAUCAUUCAACCAAUGAAGGUACUUUAAGCCCAACACAGUGUUACUUUAAGACCAAAACACUGCUACUUUUACAUUACAAUUAUUGUACCCUUCAUUAUUUUCUGAAUACUACAUGUUUACAUAAUUCCCCCUCAAAACAAUGUAAUUGAUAAUGGAAAAUAAGUAACUUAAACUCAAGUGCAAAGUGAAAACCAACUCUAUGCUCAUAAUGCAAACCAAAUUGAUCCAUGCCAGAAUCGAUCUCAUAAAAAGUUCUACAAUGAAUAAUUUAAAUUGGUCGUUUCAUAAGCUUAACAUUACAAAAGCAAAAUUGCCAAUAUCACAACUAAUCCAUAAGUUGUUCAACUUCAAUAAGUAUUUUGAAAACUAACCCCAAAAUAAUCAAACAACAUCUCUUCAUAACUCUCUAUAAAAAGGAAGACCUAAUAUUGAAAGGAAAUUUAAUUCUCUAAGAGCAUUUUAGUUUCUUCUUCUUGUAAUUCUUCUAUUAUAUAACAAAACUUAUUUUUGUAUAUUACACCUAAUUUUCUUUUUUAUUUAUUUAUUCCUUAACCUUUAAUUUUCCCACAUAUCUUAAUAUAGCCUUGCAUCAAUUAAGCAUAGAUUAGCUAAAUAGUAAAAUAAUAGGUAUAAUAUAUUUAUAUCACUAUGGUAUAAACUUAUAGUUUAUGUUUUGUUUUACAUUAAAAAAAUGUAAUUAAAAUUAGUUAAAAAGUGAUGUAUUUUAAAAUUAUUUCAUCUUUAUAUAAAAGUUUUAAAAUAUGUAAAAAAAAAAAAAAAAAAAGACUGAGUUUGAAAUAACAUAUAAAAAUAUAAAUCCAAAUUGAUUCCAUUCAUUCUCCUUUCAUUUUGUGAUUUUGCAUUAAAGAAGCUCAUCCCAACAACCUCACAAAUAAUGCUUAUGAAAAAAUAAAAUAAAAUUAAAGGCAUGAUGAAGUGAAAAGAGGAACAUCCCAAUGAAUGAAGCAGAGAGCAAAGUUCUUAUCUUGAUUUCCAGUUGAUGUUUUUUCCCUGUUUUAGCUCCUUAAACUUUUCCUUUCAACUCCACAGCAAAAUGCUCUGAAUUUUCACCUUCUCUCCCCCAAUGCUCUCUUGGAUUUAUGAAAAUAAUCCCAUUAGUUUCCAAAGAGUCAAGCCUUUUCGCCAUUUUUUUUCUCCCAUGGAAUAAUUUUCCAACCUAUACUUUUAGUCAAAUAAUAAAGAGAAAAAUAAAUCUUGAAUUUAAAUAAUAAAAAGGCUAUAAAUUCAUUAAAUCUAUUUUUAAAAUAUUUUAAAUUUAAAUUUAACUACUUUUUACCUUCAAAGUUUUAAUGAGAAAGUGUUUUUAACCUAUCCCAUUGCUUUCUUACUCUAUCUUUCUCUAUUUUCAGCUUUCUUUCUCUAUAUUUCUCUAUUUUCAUUCGUCAACCUUGGAAAAAGACCUGAUUUUGAAUAUCGUCUUUGCUUCCUUAUCUUUCAAUCUUUGUUAAUUAUGUAAUUGUGUAAAUAAUUAAUUUAAGAAGAAAGUUUUUUUCAUUACUCAUGACAUGAAAUGAUAAAAAAAAAAAAAAAAGUAAUUAUAUGAAUAGCAUAUGAAAGGUUAAUCUCUUCUUAUGAAGGUAUAUGAUCAUAGUAAUGGAAUGUGAAAUCCAUUCCAUCUUCAACUUGCAUGAGAUUGCAUUAUUACAUGCCAAAAUCUAUUUAUAGCCAAAUAGAAAAACAGUCUAAGCUACUUCUUGGGACGCACCCAUGGGAGCACUUUUUUUUUUUCUUUAUGUUAGGAUCAAACACGGGUUCAAAUCUUCUUGUAAGGUUGGAAAUCUUGCGAAGAAGCCUACAAUUUUGAAGGUUGGGCUUAGGAUUUUGGAUCGAAACUUUCAUUUAUCUUCAAUGGUAUCACUGGGUAUGGUGCUUAAGCCAAAGUCAUUUCUGGAUCAACUACUGUUUUUGACAAUCCUUUCAAAUUAGAGAGAGAAUAAUCUUGUGCACUAGAGUAACUUAUACACAUGGCCCCAUUCAAUCAAUUUCAUUGUUCUAAGAUUUAAAAAUUCCAAUUUAUUUUCUUUUUCUUUACAUUAAUUUUCUAAACAAAUAAGCAGUUUCUCAUCUUCUACUUUUAUGAAAUCAACCAAAUCUCAAACAGAGCACCUACAAAACCACAAAAAAAAGAAAGAGAUCGAAAAAGUGAAAAAUUGCCAAUUCAAGCUUCCUUUCAAUACAAAAGCGUUGAAUCUAUAUUUAUCAUCAUCUUCAAGUUUUAUGGCACAGGCUGACAAGAGACUAAUGAAAGUAAAACAGAAGCUCUAACAAGAUAAUCAGAGCUUGGAGCUCAAGUUUGUAGACAUGGAAGCUCAUGUGCAAUGGAAAAGAUGAAAAUGCCUGGUGAUGAUCCAGCAAUGCACUAAUCGAGGCUUGUGGGGAUUGGAGAAGAUUGUUGUGUCUUCCUUUGAGCUUUUGCAUUUUGAUUUUGAAUUUCGUGGAGAUUAAGGGAUUGUUUCCUGGAGAAAGAGGUUGGAGAAAAAUAAAUGAUGAUGUUGCCAAACAAUCUUUACAAAUAAUAUCUAUUUUUGCAUUUUUCUACAAGAAUUUUACCUGACGGUUGUGUAUUAUCUAAUGGCUCCACCACUCCCAAGUGCCAAACAAUCUAAUGAAGCGUGUAGAGUGAGAAACUAGAGAGAAAUUAAAUAUAAUCAAAAUACAUCAAUAGUUAACAUAAUGUUUCAAAUAGAAAAUAAAAUAAUAUAUUGAGAGGCAAACUCAAACAAUCACAAUGCACAUUUGGACUUGGCCAUGUUUAUAUUAUGAAAAUUUUUAAAUACAAUUAUAUAUAUAAAAAAAAAAGGAAGAAAAAGGGAUUUUACCUAUAAUAAGACGAAUGCAAUGGGUGCUCAAAUCUUGCCUCAAAUUUUUGAGGGUUGAAAAUAUGGAGUGAGGUUGUGCAUAAUGGUUUGAUUCUCCCAAUCCAAACCAUCCCACCAUUCUUGGUCUCCCAUGAUUUUCUCUAAUUUCUUGCUCACUCCAAUAUUGGAAUCAAAUGGCAGCUUCCUCAAACUUGAACAUCCAAGCAUAAGAAUGUGUCUUAAAGAUGGAAAAAGUAGGGCACGUCCAUGUAUACUUCUUAGCUUUGGUAGAUAAACUAAGGUGAGAGAUACGAGUCUCGAGAAUACGCCCAAAUGAUCUACUUCAACAAUUUCUAAAACUUCACUCCUUUCAUCAUCUAUCACUUUUUCCAUUGAUUCACAGAAUUCAACACUUAGCAAUUGAAGGUUUGGAGCAUAAAUAAGCCAUGUCAAAUUCAACAAUUUAUGACAUCCAAAUAUUUCGACAUCACAAAGGUUGUUCAAGCAUUGGUGCCUUGGGAAUUUUGAGUAGACCACCACUUCCUUUUCAAAAUUGAUUUUCACAUCUUGCAAUUCAACACAAUUUGUAAUACGGAGUGUCUCUAUAUAAAGGGAUAGUUGGACUAGGUUCAUACGCUUACAAACUAAUUGUAGCCAUCUUGUGGAUCUUUGCAACUUGUGGGAGUUAAAUAAUGUUUGGAUGGUUGAUACACUUGUAAGGUUGAUGGAUAUAUCAUCAAUGUGUUCCAACUGCUCUAACUCUUCUAAUAACUUUCCUUCAUGAUCUCCUGUAAAGUCUGACCCUACAAUCGUUCUAUACAUGCUGAACAGUUGCAAAGAGGAAAGACUCGAUACCAUUUGAGAUGGAAGUGACUUGAGCAAAUACAUAUCAUUCAAUAUCAAGCACCUUAAUUUUUUCAAGUUUUUGAGCUCCAUAGGUAAGUAUUUUAUACUUAGACCUGACAAAUUAAGAUAUUGCAAAGUAACUAAGUUUCCAAUCUCCAUUGGUAACUCUGUGAGUUCAAAAUUGUUUGACAAGUCCAAAACUCUUAUAAUAGGCAUGUUUGUAAAGAAUCUAUUUGGAAAUGACCGAAUAAACUUACGAGAUGCCAAAAAGGUCUCCAUAUUAGGGAAAUAUGGUGGUUCCCCAAGUUCUUCAAUGUUGGUAUCCCACAAUGAUAUCCUCUGUGUCUCUUUCCAUUUUUCAACUUCCUGAGCUCUAAUCGAUUCAACUCCAUCUUUUACCACAAAUUUGUUCUUCUUCUUCCCGUUUUCGCGAGCCAACCACAAAGCCAUAUCACGAAUAACAUCAUGCAUCUUCGAAUAUUCGUCUUUUUUAUCUAAUCGAGAUCUGCCAUUCUCUAAUAGACAUGCAAGUUGUAAACUUUUAAUAACUUCUUCUCCUUGAUAUCUUGCUUCUUGUAUGUUGUCAUAUUCAUCCAGAAAACCCUCCCCGAUCCAAAGUUGUAUAAGAUUUCGAUGAGAGAUUUCAUAAUCCUCCGGAAAUAAAGAGCAAUAUAGGAAACAUGAUUUGAUGGCUUCAUCGGGUAGGCGAUCAUAACUGAAUGCCAAGCGUGAAAACAAAUGAUUCUCCAUACCUGGAAACUUUGCCGGAUAAUUCUUCAACAUUUGUAUUUUUUUCUCCCAUUCUUCUGGUGUUUUUGUUCCCGCCAUUGCUCGCCCUAUGGUGAUGAGGGCAAGUGGUAAGCCGCAACACUCUUUGGCAACCAUCUCCGCCAGCUUUGGUAUAUCUGGAUGAGAAUUUAUGGUGUCUGCUCCCACCUUGGUCUGAAACAGAGCAAAAGCAUCCUCCCAUGGGAGACAAUUCACUUCAAUGCUCUCUGUAACUUCCAUAUCUUGGCACACAUCUUUAGAUCGCGUUGUAAGUACCAUCUUCAACUUAUCUUGAGGAUUCAGAGGAGGAAUACCAACUUUGGAUAGAUCCAGCCGCUCCCAUAUGUCAUCUAACAAAAGCACAAAUUUCUUUGUCUUCAGGACAUUGAAUAUUUCUUCUGCCCUUUCAUCCUCACUUCUACCUUCCCAUUUAUCUUGGGGAAUCUCCACUUUAUUGAAAAGAACUCGCUGAACCUUUUCCACAUUGGCUGGUCUGGACACAGUCACCCAAAUCACUGCAUCAAAUUCAAGCCUGGUUUUGAGGAGCUCAUUGUUGAUCCUGGUCAAGAGGGUGGUUUUGCCCACACCCCCCAUUCCAUAUAAUCCGAUACUGCUUACCUGCUCUCCACCAUCUUGGAGCCAUUUCCAGACCUUCCCAAACAACAAAUCUUGGCCCACAGUCUUGUCAAGCUGCCUCUCCAUCACGGGAGGACUAGGCAAAGGUUCAGCAACUACACUGAAAUUUGAGCCCUCCGUCUUCUUUACCGUCACAGCAUCCAUCUUUUCAAGUACCAUCUUGCCAAGAUUGUAGCUAGCGCCACAGUUUUUAGGACAACAGGUUCCGAGAUAUUUCUUCUGGAUUUCUUCAUCACCUUUCGCCAAUAUUUCCUUCACUUGUUCUUCCAUGGCUUCUACAUUGCGGAGCCAGCCAUCGACUACAUGAGUACACUUCUUCUGAAGUUUCUCUUCACGUUCCACCCGUUCCUUCACAUCUUCGUAUAGGUUCUUGAGUUCCUCCAUUGCAGUUCUCAAAGAGUUGAGAUUUUGUGGGAGAUGACGGAUGUAAACAGCACGCUUGGCAGUGCAAUACCACAAGCGAGUAGUGACAUCCAGGAUUGGGCUCACACAAUCCAUGGAGAAAACCAGAACUGGGAUUCAAAGCCAAGAAGAACUUAAUCAGAAUGGGAAAACAGGUGCUGGAUUGAAGUUGGAGAGGAAAAGAGAAGAAUUCUGGAUUUAUGUUUGUUAUGUGCAAAACCUAGCAAAGUUGAAGAUGAAAUAUCACAUUUUUUUUUUUCAAGUAAAAGACUCAGCAAUCAGCAUAAGGGUUUUUGAUUGGCUACAUAAGGGUCCACCACUAGUGAUAUUUUCCUAUUCUUUUCUUCCUUUUGUGUUUCCAUCAAUCAAGCUUAGUAAAGGGUCCACAGCACUUCUGGUUUCCUCUUUUCCUUUCAUGGGAAUCUUUUUCUUCCAAUACAUAUGAAUUCAUUUAGAUAUAAAGUUUGUGUAGUGCAUAUAAUUCUUCACCACUGUUUUUGAAAUAUAAUUAUUUUCUCUUGGUACGUUGAGAUCCAUUUUAUUAGUAAUUUAGGAAUUUAGUAGGUUUCUUUCAUCAUUCCGAAUACGAAUUUAUUAGGAAUUUAGGAAUUUUUUUGUAAUCCCAUUCCAAGUUUGUGAAUUCAUUGGUUUUUGAAUUUUUGAUAAUAUAAAUAAAGAAAGUUUGUGUAUUUAUUUUUGAGAAAAUAAUUUUUAUUUAUUUGAGAAACCAAUACAUUCAAAUUGCUCAUUAUAACCUACCUUGACUAUUGUGGAUUAGGGUAGACAUUUUAACCUGCUAUAAUAACAAUCAAGAAUAUAAGAGGAAAGUGACAAACUAAUAGAGAGAGAAGUCAUGCAAAUAAAUCACUUAAACUCAGUAAGUCCACCAUGCUAGAAUUCCCAUUUCUCAGUUAGGAAAGCAAAUAAAGAAAAAAAAAAAAAAAAUCAAAUGCACAACUAAUUAAAUACCAAAUUUUUCCUUAACUCAAGUUCCAGUUUGAACCUUUUACUAUCCCAACAAAAUCGUUAUUUUGUCUAUCGGUAUAUUUUAUUUGCAACCUUGCUUGAUGACUAAAUUAUCUUCUAUUAGAAAAACACUUUUAAAGGUUAAUUAUGUAUGCUUUCUCUUUCGUUUAUAAUUUUUUUUACUAGUAUUAAUGAUUAAUUCUCUUUUAUUCACGGAUAUAAACAUAAUUAGUUGAACUCACUUUUUUUAUGUUUACAUUUACUUUUGUCUGUAUGUUAUUACACUAAUAUGUACUUGAUAUUGAAUUUUUUUUAACAUAACAAAUAUAUAUACACUCAAAUUACAUAUCCAAAAUCGAAAUGAGUUCACAUUUGGGUUGUGGAAGAAAAAAAAUUCUAAAAAAAUUGACCAAAGGCAUUGUGGACUCUUUACAAAGUUUGGUGGUUCAUAAAGGAAGAAAAUAAGUAAGAUAUGCUCAAAUUACAUAUCCAAAAUUCAAAAUGAGUUCAAAUUUUGGUUAUGGAAGAUUUUUUUUUUUUUUAAAAAAAAAAAUGAGCAAAGACAUUGUACCCAUUAAAAUUUUGGUGGUUCAUAAACGAAGAAAAGAAGUAAAGAUAUACUCAAAUUAUGCAUCCAAAAUUCAAAAUGAGUUCACAUUUGGGUUAUGGAAGAAAAAAAAAGAGCAAAGACAUUAUGGACCCUUUACAAAGUUUGGUGGUUCAUAAAGAAAUAAAAGAAGUAAAGAUGUGCUCAAAUUAAAUAUCCAAAAUUCAAAACGAGUUCACAUUUGGGUUAUGGAAAAAGUAAAAAUUCUAAACAAAAUUAGCAAAGUCAUUGUGUACCCCUUACAAAGUUUGGUGAUUCAUAAAGGAAGAAAGAAGUAAAACACCGAAAGUGCGGAUUCUUUGGUAACAUUUUUCAAGACAUUCAUUCGCAUCAUAUAUCAUUUAUUAAGGAAGAUUGCCAAAAUCAAGAUCAAGUCAAACCUUCAUGAUUUCAGCCUACAAUCAAGCCAUUUGAAUAAAGUCUUUGAUCUGUUUCUAUUUAUGUGAUUAUUAGCCGAGAUUGGUGUAUAGUUAUUUUGUCAUAGUAAUUGCUAUAAAUAUUUCCUAAAAUAGUUCUCUGUGAUGUUGUAUAUAUUUACGUACAGAUCAAUUGAAUAAUAGAUGAAGAAAUAGUUUAUUUAAUCCAGCAGUAUAUUUCUCUAUAUGGUAUCAGAGCAACCCUUCUCCAACGAGUCAAUCCCUCCCAUUUCCCCAAUGUCUUCCUCACCCGAACAACCUCAAAUUCAUCUCAACACCCACCCCAUUUCCUCCAUUGAAACCACUCUUGUUGCUCUCAAUAUCACUGCCCAGAUUAAUGAAAAAUUGACUCCUUCUACUUUUCCUCAAUGGCGUGCUCAAUUUGAAGCCUUACUCAUAGGAUAUGAUUUGCUUGAUUAUGUCACCGGCAUCUCUCAAUGUCCCUCUCCGAGUGAUCUCUCUGUUUCUGCCCUACACAAAACUCAUUGGGUUCGGCAAGACAAACUUAUACUCAGUGCCCUUCUUGCUUCCACUUCCCCUACCAUCACCCCACUCAUUGCAACAGCAAAAACGUCCCAUGAGGCUUGGCAAAAAUUGAACACCCUCUAUGCUAGCAAAUCACGAACUCGGGCUAUGUAAUUAAAAGAGGAACUCACCUUAAUACAGCGUGGAAAUCGGCCUAUCUUUGAUUAUCUACAUGCUGUGAAGUCUCUGGCAGAUGAAAUUGCCAUUAUUGACCACCCCAUUUCUGAUGAUGACCUAACCCUCUAUGUGCUUAAUGGCUUAGGUUCUGAUUUCAGGGAAAUUGCAGCACCAAUCCGAGCUCGCGAAAAGUCUCUUGCCUUUGAGGAGCUCCACGAUCUUCUGGUCGGCCACGAACAUUAUUUGCGUCGCCUUGAAACUGCUACUCAGCAACUGGUAGCCGCUGCAAACUAUACAACCAGGAAGUCUGGUUCUUCGGGAGGUCAACAACGCAGCUAUAGGAAGCCGAAUGGGCCUCAGCGUCAGUCUGGGCAAGCUCCAGCCCGAAGUGGAAAUCGUGAUGGUCGACGUCCCAAUGGUUCCAAUCGGCCCAGCAACAACCAGCGGCCUUAUAGGCCCAAAUGCCAAUUCUGUGAUGAGUUGGGCCAUACGGCCAAAAAUUGUCCUCAGCUGAAGCCCAGUGAAAUUACUGCAAACAGUGCAACAACUUCUACCAUGAAAGAGCAAAAAUGGCUCCUUGAUUCCGCUGCCUCCCACAACAUCAUUGGUGAUCUUCAGAAUUUAUCUAUUCACUCCGAAUAUGACGGCACCGAUGAAGUGGUUCUGGGUGAUGGUUCAGGUUUGGCUGUUUCACAUGUUGGUUCUUUAGCUAUACACUCACCCAAUCGAACCUUUAUCUUGCGUGAUACUAUCUGUGUUCCAAAUCUUAAAAAAAAUUUGAUUUCUGUUCAUCAUUUUACCUCACAAAAUAAUGUAUAUGUUGAGUUUCACCCAUCUUAUUUUCUUGUGAAGGAACUGAUCACGGGGGCGAUCCUACUAAGAGGUUCAUGUGAGAACGACAUUUACAUUUUUCCGGAAUCACUUGUGGGAAAUUUUUCACAAAAGGUUGCUAAUGUGCAUGAACGGACGUCGCUUGAUGGGUGGCACAAGCGUCUUGGUCAUCCUUCCUAUCCCAUUGUUAAAAAUCUUGUUUCUACUUUUUCUCUUCCUACCACUACAAAUAAAAUGUCCAUGUUAUGUCGUUCUUGUUCUAUUAAUAAAUCUCAUCAACAACCUUUUCGCACAACUAGUCUUUCGAGUACUGGUCCACUUGAAAUUAUUUAUACGGAUGUUUGGGGUCCCGCACACUCAAUGGGUCUUGAUGGCUCUCGUUAUUAUCUUCUUUUUGUGGACCACUACACGAAAUACAUGUGGUUUUAUCCCAUGGCUACCAAAUCGAGUGUGUCAACUAUUUUUCCACAAUUUAAAAUUUUUGUUGAAACUCGGUUUCAAGCCAAAAUUAAAACCCUUUACUCUGAUAAUGGUGGUGAAUUUAUUUCUCUCAAACCUUUUUUAAAUCUUCACGGCAUUAGUCACUAUACUACUGCUCCUUACACCCCGCAACAAAAUGGAGUCUCUGAACGCCGUCAUCGACAUCUUGUUGAAACUGGCCUCACCUUACUUUCGGAUGCUUCCUUGCCUCUUUUAUAUUGGCCUCAUGCUUUUCGAACUGCCACCUAUCUCAUAAAUAGGCAACCGACUCCUCUUCUCACCAACAAGUCCCCCUUUGAGGCUCUUUUUGGACAUAAACCAAAUUAUCUUAAAUUAAAAAAAUUUGGUUCGCUUUGCUAUCCCCUUACACGUCCAUAUAAUAAUCACAAGAUGCAACCUAAGUCCAUUCCAUGUCUUUUUUUGGGCUAUUCUCAAACUCAAAAUGCCUAUAUUUGUUUGGAUCUUAAGACCCACAAAACUUAUGUGUCUCAUCAUGUGUUAUUUGAUGAGACCCAACUGCCUUUUCAAUCCGAGCAAGCCCAGAGCCCAGCCUAACCCGAGUCUUCUUCUCAUCUGUGCCCUACUUCCUUUAUUCCAUUGUCUUCUCAGCCCGUGCGAGUUCCUCCUCAAGUGAUUCCGUCCGUGCACUCUUUUGGCUCGGCACCAUCACAUGUGCUUCCGGCCGAUGUUUCUACUGCAUCUCCAUCACCUCCAGGUAACCCCCCUCUCUCUUCUCCUAAUUUUCCUUUGACUGAUGUUCUUAGAAAUUCCGGUUCUCAUUCGGAUGUUCUCAUCUCGCAUGACCCUGUUCUUCCUUCCUCCCUUCAUCUGACUCACACACACACGGUUGUUGAUCUUACUUUAUCUCAGUCCCAUUCCAUUCCCCCUUCGUGUGUUCAAACUGGGAACCCUCGUCUCCACAAAAUGACAACCCGUUCCAUGAACAACAUCUUUAAACCCAAGCAACUUCAUUUGGUUUCCAAACAUCCCAUUCCUCUAGCAAUUGAGCCAACUUGUGUGACUCAAGCCGUGAAUCAUCCUCAGUGGCGUGAUGCUAUGUCCAUUGAGCUCACUGCCUUGAUGAAACAUGGAACCUGGGAUUUGGUUCCACACCCCCCCCCCCCCCCCCCCAAAACUGUACACCUGUGGGCUGUAAAUGGGUGUUUAGAGUAAAACACAAAGCUGAUGGCUCGGUGGACAAAUUUAAGGCCAGGCUUGUGGCCAAAGGCUAUACUCAAAGACCGGGCCUAGAUUACAAGGAAACCUUCAGUCCUGUUGUUAGGCCAGCCACUAUUCGAUGUGUUUUGACUAUAGCCGUGAUGAAUGGGUGGCCUUUACGCCAAAUGGACAUCAACAAUGCUUUUUUACAUGGAACCCUCACAGAAACUGUUUAUAUGAUGCAACCUCCAGGGUUUAAAGAUACCAGUAAGCCUGAUCAUGUGUGUCGAUUGAGAAAAGCCAUUUAUGGGCUUCGACAGGCUCCUCGAGCUUUGUACACAACUCUGAGAACUGCUCUUUUUCAGCUUGGGUUCAAAAAUUCCAAAGCUGAUUCUUCUCUAUUUAUUUAUACACAUGGUCCUAUCAUUUGCUAUUUUUUGGUUUACGUUGAUGAUCUUGUAAUUACUGGCAAUGAUAUUCAGUUUGUGGAUCACAUAAUUCAGAAAUUGGGUGAAAUUUUUUCCCUAAAAGAUAUGGGAAACCUUAGCUUCUUUCUGGGAGUAGAGGUUAUUCCUACUCGUGCUGGUGUGUUCUUGUCACAGCAUCAAUACAUUCGUGACUUAUUGUCCACAACGAAUAUGCUUGGUGCUAAGGAUGUGUCCACUCCUUUAUCCACAACUGCUUCUCUGAAAUUGUUUGAUGGCACAACACCUGUUGACAGCACUGACUUUCGGCGUGUCAUUGGUAGUCUUCAGUAUCUUUCACUGACCCGACCGGACAUUUCGUUUGCUGUGAAUAAGCUAUCUCAAUUCAUGCAUAAGCCAACUACAGCCCACUGGACAGCCACGAAGAGACUGCUUCGUUACUUGAAACAAACCAUUUUUCAUGGUAUUCAGCUUACUAGAAACACAACUUCAGUUUUAACCACGUUCUCUGAUGCUGACUGGGCAGGGAAUGUGGAUGACAGAACCUCUACUUCGGCUUAUAUUAGUUUUCUUGGCACAAAUCCCAUUUCUUGGAGCUCCAAGAAACAACGAGCUGUUGCUCGCUCAUCGACGGAAGCUGAAUACCGUGCUCUUGCCAAUGCUGCGUCUGAAACUGUGUGACUGAACUCCUUACUUCAUGAACUCGGUUUUCCACUCAAGGUGCCUCCCUUGUUGCUAUGUGACAAUCUUGGCGCCACGCAUCUGAGUUUUAAUCCAGUUAAUCAUUCUCGCAUGAAGCAUAUUCAGAUUGAUUUACACUUUGUCCGAGAGCUUGUUCAAAAUGGGACCCUUCAUGUUCGUCAUGUUCACACGCAAGAUCAACUUGCUGAUCUCUUGACAAAACCCUUGUCACGACAACGGACUGAAUUGUUACGUACCAAGAUUGGUCUUGCCGAUGGAAGCUCAAUCUUGCGGGGGCGUAUUAAGGAAGAUUGCCAAAAUCAUGAUCAAGUCAAACCUUCAUGAUUUCAGCCUACAAUCAAGCCAUUUGAAUAAAGUCUUUGAUCUGUUUCUAUUUAUGUGAUUAUUAGCCGAGAUUGGUGUAUAGUUAUUUUGUCAUAGUAAUUGCUGUAAAUAUUUCCUAAAAUAGUUCUCUGUGAUGUUGUAUAUAUUUACGUACAGAUCAAUUGAAUAAUAGAUGAGGAAAUAGUUUAUUUAAUCUAGCAGUAUAUUUCUCUAUAUCAUUUGUGUCUUUUUAGUCAUUAUUAAAUGUUGGGCAUCAUUCAUGACUCAUGACCUAUAUGAAGAGUGCUUUUUUUAUUUUUUAUUUUUAUAAAUAUAAUGUUCUAAAUAAUAAAUAUUACUAACAUUUUACAAAAAGAAUAUUUACUUGUUCAUUUGUAAUUAAUUUUUAUUUUUUACUUUCGUUAAUUUUUUGUGAGACGAUAUUUUGAUAUCCUCAACAACUCAAAUUAGUGAAACAGGUGAUGGACAGGAGUUGGAGAGGUGAAGAGAAGAAUAUUGGGUUUAUGUUUUUGUGUUCAAAACCCAGAAAAGAUGAUAAUGAAUAAAGAGUAAAGUAAUAGUGACAUUGUCUUCCAUACAGACUGUCAAGCUCUCUUUUCUUUUAACGGGAAUCUUUUUCUUCCAACACAAAUAUGAAUUCAUUUACAUAUAUGAAGUUUGUGUGUACUGUCUUGUAACUUUAAAACUGUAAGUAGCAGUGCAGAUAAUUCUUCAUCCGUUCUACUGUUUAGAAAUAUAAUUCUUUUUUCUUGAUAGGUUGAGAUCAAUUUUAUUAGUAAUUAUUUACGAAUUUUUUAGGUUUCUUUCAUCAUUCCGAACACGAAUUUAUUAGGAAUUUAGGGAUUUUUUCGUAAUCCCAUUCCAAGUUUUGGAUUAUCAAACAUGGGUACAUGACCGGAGGAGAAUUAAUUGGUUUUUGAAAUUUUAUGAUAUACAUAAACAAAAUUUUGUUUAUUUAUUUUUGGAGAAGUAAUUUUUAUUUAUUGAAAAUUUGAUUUUUAUUUAUUUGAAAAACGAGGAUAUUCAAAUUGUUGAUAGUUAGGAAGUGUCCCAAAUUCCUAAUUAGUAUAGAUUCUUUUUUUGUAAAUAAUAUUAUAUAGAAUAUUUCUAGGUUGAUAUAUUAUUGUAAUAUUAGACUUCCUUACAGAAUAAGGAAGGUUGUUGGAAAUAUCUCUAUAAAUAUUCUAGGUCAUGAGGGGAAAAAGUUAUGAGAUGGAGAUGGACCUGUAGAGACUAUACGAGGUGGAUAGAGAUGCGAGGAAGAACGAGAGGUACUCUAUGGAGCAAGAGGGCUCGUAGUAGGGUAUGGAUACAAGGAGUGGGGAAACAUGUGAUGUUUCGGGAACCCAAUAGUUGUAUUUGGUUCUGUCCUCUGUAAUAUUCUCUAUUGUAUAGUGGAAUCAUUCUCUCUCAUCCGUGGACGUAGGCAUGGUUGGCCGAACCACGUUAAAAUCUCAUGUACCGUAUGUGUGAUUGUUUUAUCUUUGUGUUCUUGAACUAACAUUGUUGGCAUCAAGGCUUUCGCUGGCCCUACAAUUGGUAUCAAAGCUUGGGUUGAAGAUUUCUGAAAGAGUAAAAGAUCACAAAGCACACAAGAUGAAAACAAAAGGAAUUUUCACUGAAGGUGGAGUCGAUUGCUCUUUCGUGGUGAUAUGAUACUAAAAGGUUUGUGUCAUGGAGAGAUUGAAGAUUAACUUCAUGGAAUUUACUCAAAGGUGGAGAUUGUUAGGAAGUGUCCCAAAUUCCUAAUUAGUAUAGAUUCAUUUUUUGUAAAGAAUAUUAUAUAGAAUAUUUCUAGGUUGAUAUAUUAUUGUAAUAUUAGACUUCCUUAUAGAAUAAGGAAGGUUGUUGGAAAUAUCUCUAUAAAUAUUCUAGGUCAUGAGGGGAAAAAGUUAUGAGAUGGAGAUGGACCUGUAGAGACUUCCGUAUGUGUGAUUGUUUUAUCUUUGUGUUCUUGAACUAACAUUGCUGGCAUCAAAGCUUUCGCUGACCCUACAUUGAUUAUAACCAAAUAUCUAAUUACAAGAAAAAAAAUAGAGAUUAAUAAAAAGAUAAAAUUGCAACCUCUCUCUCAAUUAAGAUGAAAGAAUAUAAAAUCUUACAAAAUGAUGAAAGAAAACUUUAUUUUAAUGAAUAGUAAGGGAUGGAGACCUCCUUUUAUAGCGUAGGGAAACUCUCCCCCCCCCCCCUCCCCCCCUCCCCCUUUGUCUUCUAAACGAGAUGGGAUGACUUCAACUUUGACACGAUACACUUAGAAAUGUAAUGUUGGAAUAAUUAUUUAUUUAUAUUUCAAUGUUAAGUAACAAUAAAAAUGAGAAUAAAAAAAAUAAGUCGACAAUAAUAUUCAUACGCUUAGUUUAAAAUAAUUUUUUAUUUUUAGGACAUCUAAUAGUGGUUUAAAAUCAUAUUUCUUUUUUACUAUAUUUUGUUAUGAUAAUAGUAAUUAACUCCAAAAACAAUGUAAGUUCAUUUGUAUAUUUGUAUAUAGGUUUAUUUGAGCAUCUAAAAAUGGUUAAUUUGGAUAUAUUUUUACGAUAGAGAAUUCUCUAGCUAAGAAGUCUUCUCUUAUGUACUUGUUUGCACAUUUAUAAUUAUUUUUUUUAGAGGAAAGAAAAUAGUGAGAAAAUUAUAAGGAAAAAAAUUUAUAAAAAUAUUCUCUAUUUUGAUGUCCAUUAAAAAAUUGAAGGAAAUAAAAUUAAGUUAUUUAGAAAUACACUUUACUCACCUUUAUAUAAGGAAAAUGAUGAGGACAACCAUUUAGCAUUUUCCAAUUCUUUUGCUUAAUAUAUAUUUUUUCAUCGCCUUUUUUCUUAAUAUUUUUAUUUCAUUUUUUAAUAUUUUUUAAGAACUAAAUAUGAUCUUAAUUAUCAUAAUUAUUAUAUUUAAAAGGUCUACCCAUUUUUGGUAUAGCGUGUCAUGUAUGCAAAACCUUAGUUGUAUUACAAAAGGGAUUUGUAUGCAUUAAUAUCACAACAAGAAAAGUGAGAUAUGGUCACAUAGUUUUUUUAAGAGGGGUCAACAAAAUUCACAAUGAAAGAGUGUAUAUAACCUCACUACUAUUUGAGCCACAAUAGUAGGAAUUCUCCCACCAAGCUUAUAGUUCCAGGAUUAAUCGGAUACAACCAUAAAACCUCCUAUUGUUGAGGGAUAAAAUUGGUCGCUAUAAUAUAUGGCCCAAUGAAUGCAAGUUGGUCACUACAAUAAAACCAAUAUAUAAAUUCCCUACCAUUUCUCUUUUGCUCACCCUUGAUUGCUAAACUCAUUUCUUCUUUCAUCAUUGCUAGUCCAAUGUGAGAUUAAUCUUUAAUCAUGAAUUUUUUUUUCUCAAUGAUCACUCAUUGUGGGACGUAGCUUGAUGUUUUUUUAUUCACACAUUGCCCUCUCAUUAUUGUCAUUUUAUUUUAUUAUGAUUUCACUCUCUCAUUAUCUACUGUCUAAUUUUCUAGGAUUUUGAAUUGCUAGGUUUCGAGUUAUCACAAGAUUUGAAGGCUUUUCAAGCAUGACUUCUCCAUCAUUUUUCUCUUUUCUAGGGUUUUCUAGUUGAUUUCUCCUUUUCCAUUUUUGGGUUUUAUUUCUCUUCAUGUUUUGUGAUUUUCUAGCUUUCUAGAUUUUUUUUUUUAAUUUUUAUAUUAAAAUGUGAGAGGUGAUUGAUGCAUAGGGAAAUCUAGAUUUCAUAAAAUUGUUGAAAAGUAUAUAACUCUAUUUUCCAAACAAAAACUCCUUUGUUUGCCAAAAAGAUGAGGUGAAAGUUGAAGUAGAUAAGAAGUACAGGGAAGGGAGGGGAGAAGGAGGGGCCAUCAACCAUGUAUAGAAUGAGAAAACUUGAGAAGAGUGGGUUGUGUAUUUGAGGGGUGAGGGGUUAGUAUUCUCUAUACUUACUUUGGCCAUAUGUUUUUUCUUUGUCCUAUUUGGUUCUAGAUAUUUUUUUUACUAUGAAUUACUUCUAACAUAGUAAAAAUAUUUCUACCUAGCUUAACUAGUUGUGUUGAAUUCAAACAUUACAAUGACUAUGAGAAUGUGGAGUGAUAGGUAAGAUAAGUAGCUAUUAUAUCAACAAAUGAACUAAUUAAGGUGCAUUUGAAGUGUAGUAGAGUACUUAUUAGCUCAAAAACACAUAAAAAACUUGAUAAUUUUGAAAAGGCGACAAAUGACUAAUCAGUUCAAAAUUGAGAAACUAAUUACUUUUGGAGAGGUACAACUAAAACAAAUAGCUACUAAAGAUGUACAAAUUGAAUAAAUAACCCCUGAAAGACACAUAUAGAAAUAGCCCCUAAAGAGAUACAAUUUGAACAAAUAGCCCUUUACUUCACUAGGGUUUUUCUUAAUGGGUGUUUUGUAGUUCUGAGAUAUAUUUUUAUGAUCAUCCAAGAUGGAGUGUUAAUAAAAUAUGAGAAUAUGGAAACUUAUGAAUGAUCAUCUAUAUUGAUGUAAAUCUCUUCAUAACUCUCUAUAAAAAGGAAGACCUAAUAUUGAAAGGAUAUUUAAUUCUAUAAGAGAAUUUCAGUUUCUUCUUCUUGUAAUUCUUCUAUUAUAUAACAAAACUUAUUUUUUUUGUAUAUUACACCUAAUUUUCCUUUUUAUUUAUCUAUUCCUUAACCUUUAAUUUUCCCACAUAUCUUAAAAUGGCCUUGCAUCAAGCAUAAAUUAGCUAAAUAGUAAAAUAAUAGGUAUAAUAUAUUUAUAUCACUAUGGUAUAAACUUAUAGUACGUUUAUGUUUGGUUUUACAUUAAAAAAUAUAAAAAUAUAUAAUUAAAAUUAGUUAAAAGUGAUGUCUUUUAAAAUUAUUUCAUCUUUAUAUAAAAUAUUUAAAAUAUGUAAAAAAAAAAGGAUUGAGUUUGAAAUAACAUAUAAAAAUACAGAUCCAAAUUGAUUCCAUUCAUUCUCCUUUCCUUUUGUGAUUUUGCAUUAAAGAAACUCAUCCCAACAACCUCACAAAUAAUGCUUAUGAAAAAAUAAAAUAAAAUUAAAGGCAUGAUGAAGUGAAAAGAGGAACAUCCCAAUGAAUGGAGCAGAGAGCAAAGUUCUUGUCUUGAUUUCCAGUUGAUGCUUUUUCCCUGUUUUAGCUCCUUAAACUCUGUUCCUUUCAACUCUACAGCAAAAUCCUCUAAAUUUUCACCUUCUCUCCUCCAAUGCUCUCUUGGAUUUAUGAAAAUACUCCCAUUAGUUUCCUAAGAGUCAAGCCUUUUCGCUAUUUUUUUUUUCUCCCAUGGAUUUUAAUAAUUUUCCAACCUAUACUUUUAGUCAAAUAAUAAAGAGAAAAAAUAAAUAUUGAAUUUAAAAUAAUAAAAAGGCUACAAAUUCAUUAAAUGUAUUUUAAAAAUAUUUUUAAUUUAAAUUUAACUACUUUUUACCUUCAAAGUUUUAAUGAUAAAGUGUUUUUAAGUUAUACUGUUGCUUUCUUACUCUAUCUUUCUCUAUUUUCAGCUUUCUUACCCUAUCUUUCUCUAUUUUCAUCCGUCAACCUUGGAAAAAGACCUGAUUUUGGAUAUUGUCUUUACUUCCUUAUCUCUUAAUCUAUGUUAAUUACAUAAUUGUGUAAAUAAUUAAUUUAAGAAAAAAGUUUUUUUUCAUUACUCAUGACAUGAAAUGAUAAAAAUAAAAUAAAAUAAAGUAAAAAAGUAAUUAUAUGAAUAGCAUAUGAAAGGUUAAUCUCUUCUUAUGAAGGUAUAUGAUUAUAGUAAUGGAAUGUGAAAUCCAUUCCAUCUUCAACCUGCAUGAGAUUGUAUUAUUACAUGCCAAAACCUAUUUAUAGCCAAAGAGAAAAACAAUCUAAGCUACUUCUCGGGACGUACCCAUGGGAGCACUUUUUUUUGUUGUUGUUGUUUCUUUAUGUUGGGACCAAACACGGGUUCAAAUCUUCCUGCACAGAGGUUGGAAAUCUUGCCAAGAAGCCUACAAUUUUGAAGGUUGGGCUUAGGAUUUUGGAUCAAAACUUUCAUAUAUCUUCAAUGGUAUCACGGGGUAUGGUGCUUAAGCCAAAAUCAUUUCUGGAUCAACUUCUACUUUUGACAGUCCUUUCAAAUUAGAGAGAGAAUAGUCUUGUGCACUAGAGUAACUUAUACACAUGGCCCCAUUCAAUCAAUUUCAUAGUUCUAUGAUUUAAAAAUUCCAAUUUAUUUUCUUUUUCUUUACAUUAAUUUUCUCAACAAAUAAGCAGUUUAUCAUCUUCUACUUUUAUGAAAUCAACCAAAAUCUCAAACAGAGCACCUACAAAACCACAAAAAAGGAAAGGGAUCGAAAAAGUGAAAAACUACCAAUUCGAGCUUUCUUUGACAAGAUAAUCAGAGCUUGGAGUGCAAGUUUGUAGACAUGGAAGCUCGUGUGCAGUGGAAAAGAAGAAAAUGGCUGGUCAUGAUCCAGCGAUGCACUAAUCGAGGCUUGUGGGGAUUGGAGAAGAUUGUUGUGUCUUCCUUUGAGCUUUUGCAUUUUGGUUUUUGAAUUUCGUGGAGAUUAAGGGAUAGUUUCCUGGAAAAGGAGGUUGGAGAGAAAUAAUUGAUGAUGUUGCCAAACAAUCUUUACAAAUAACAUCUAUUUUUGCAUUUUUCUAUAAGAAUUUUACCAAGUGGUUGUGCAUAAUCUCAUGGCUCCACGACUCCCAAGUCCCAAACAAUCUAAUGAAGUGUGUAGAGUGAGAAACCAGAAAGAAAUUAAAUAUAAUCAAAAUACAUGAAAAGUUAACAUAAUAUUUCAAAUAGAAAUAAAAUAAUAUCUUGAGAGGUAGACUCAAACAAUCACAAUGCACAUUUGGACUUGGCCAUGUUUAUAACAUUAAAAUUUUUAAAUACAAUUAUAUAUAUAAAAAAAAAAGGAAGAAAAAAGGAUUUUACCUGUAAUAAGAUGAAUGCCAUGGGAGCUCAAAUCUCGUCUUGAAUUUGUGUGGGUUGAAAAUAUGGAGUGAGGUUGUGCAUAAUCACUUGAUCCUCCCAAUCCAAACCAUCCCACCAUUCUUUUUGUCCACGGAUUUGCUCUAAUUUCUUGCUUAUUCCAGUGUUGGAAUCAAAUGGCAGCUUCCUCAAACUUGGACAUUGAAGCACACGGAUGUAUCUUAAAGAUGGAAAAGGUAGGGCACGUCCAUAUAUACUUCUUAGCUUUGGUAGCCAUGUUAAAGUGAGUGAUAUGAGUCUCGAGAAAACACCCAAAUGAUCUACCUCAAUUUCUAAAACUUCACUUCUUUCAUCAUCUAUCACUUUUUCCAUUGAUUCACAGAAUUCAACACUUAGAAAUUGAAGGCUUGGAGCACAAAUAAGCCAUGUCAAAUUCAACAAUUUAUGACAUCGAAAUAUUUUGACAUCACAAAGGUUGUUCAAGCAUGGGUGCCUUGGGAAUUUUGAGUAGACCACCACUUCAUUUUCAAAAUUGAUUUUCACAUCUUGCAAUUCAAAACAAUUUUUAAUAUGGAGGGUCUCUAUAUAAAGGGAUAGUUGGACCAGGUUCAUACGCUCACAAACUAAUUGUAGCCAUCUUGUGGAUCUUUGCAACUUGUGGGAGUUAAAUAAUGUUUGGAUGGAUGAUACACUUGUAAGGUCGAUGGAUAUAUCAUCAAUGUGUUCCAACUGCUCUAACUCUUCUAAUAACCUUCUUUCAUCAUAUCCCUUAAAGGCUGACCCUUCCGUGCUAUACAUACUAAACAAUUGCAAAGAGGAAAGACUCGAUACCAUUUGAGAUGGAAGUGACUCAAGAAAAUACAUAUCAUUCAAUAUCAAGCACCUUAAUUUUUUCAAGUUCUUGAGCUCCACAGGUAAGUAUUCAAUACUUGUACACGACAAAUUAAGAUAUUGCAAGGUAACUAAGUUUCUAAUCUCCACAGGUAACUUCAUAAGUUUAAAAUUGUUUGACAAGUCCAAAACUCUUAUAAUAGGCAUGUUUGUAAAGAAUCUAUUUGAAAAUGACUCAAUAAACACACUUGAUGCCAAAAAGGUCUCAAUAUUAGGGAAAUAUGGUGGUUUCCUAUGUUCUUCAAUGUCGGUAUUCCACAAUGAUAUCCUCUGUGUCUCUUUCCAUUUUUCAACUUCCUGAGCUCUAAUCGAUUCGACUCCAUCUUUUACCACAAAUUUGUUCUUCUUCUUCCCAUUUUCGUGAGCCAACCACAAAGCCAUAUCACGAAUAACAUCAUGCAUCUUCAAAUAUUCGUCUUUUUCAUCUAAUGGAGAUAUGCCAUUCUCCAAUAGACAUGCAAGCUGUAAACUUUUAAUAACUUCUUCGCCUUGAUUUCUUGCUUUUUGUAUGUUGUCACAUUCAUCCAGAAAACCCUCCCCAAUCCAAAGUUGUAUAAUAUUUCGAUGAGAGAUUUCAUAAUCCUCCGGAAAUAAAGAGCAAUAUAGGAAACACGAUUUGAUGGUUUCAUCGGGUAGGCUAUCAUAACUGAAUGCCAAGCGUGAAAACAGACGAUUCUCCAUACCUGGAAACUUUGCCGGAUAAUUCUUCAACAUUUGUAUUUUUUUCUCCCAUUCUUCGGGUGUUUUUGUUCCCGCCAUUGCUCGCCCUAUGGUGAUGAGGGCAAGUGGUAAGCCGCAACACUCUUUGGCAACCAUCUCCGCCAGCUUUGGUAUAUCUGGAUGAGAAUUUAUGGUGUCUGCUCCCACCUUGGUCUGAAACAGAGCAAAAGCAUCCUCCCAUGGGAGACAAUUCAUUUCAAUGCUCUCUGUAACUUCCAUAUCUUGGCACACAUCUUUAGAUCGCGUUGUAAGUACCAUCUUCAACUUAUCUUGAGGAUUCAGAGGAGGAAUACCAACUUUGGAUAGAUCCAGCCGCUCCCAUAUGUCAUCUAACAAAAGCACAAAUUUCUUUGUCUUCAGGACAUUGAAUAUUUCUUCUGCCCUUUCAUCCUCACUCCUACCUUCCCAUUUAUCUUGGGGAAUCUCCACUUUAUUGAAAAGAACUCGCUGAACCUUUUCCACAUUGGCUGGUCUGGACACAGUCACCCAAAUCACUGCAUCAAAUUCAAGCCUGGUUUUGAGGAGCUCAUUGUUGAUCCUGGUCAAGAGGGUGGUUUUGCCCACACCCCCCAUUCCAUAUAAUCCGAUACUGCUUACCUGCUCUCCACCAUCUUGGAGCCAUUUCCAGACCUUCCCAAACAACAAAUCUUGGCCCACAGUCUUUUCAAGCUGCCUCUCCAUCACGGGAGGACUAGGCAAAGGUUCAGCAACUACACUGAAAUUUGAGCCCUCCGUCUUUUUGACCGUCACAGCAUCCAUCUUUUCAAGUACCAUCUUGCCAAGAUUGUAGCUAGCGCCACAGUUUUUAGGAUAACAGGUUCCGAGACAUUUCUUCUGGAUUUCUUCGUCUCCUUUCGCCAAUAUUUCCUCCACUUCUUUUUCUAUGGCUUCUACUCCGCGAAGCCAGCCAUCAACUACACGAAGACGCUUCUUCUGACGUUUCUCUUCACGUUCCACCCUUUCCUUCACAUCUUCGUACAGGUUCUUGAGUUCCUCCAUUUCAGUUCUCAAAGAGUUGAGAUUUUGUGGGAGAUGACGGAUGUAAACAGGACGCUUAGCGGCGCUAUCCCAUAAGCGAGUGGCGACAUCCAGGAUGGGUCUUACACAAUCCAUGGAGAAAACAAGGAUUGGGAUUCAAAGCCAAGAAAAAUAGAAGAUGAGUAAGGAGAAAAGUCGUAAUGAAAUGUCACCUCUCUUUUUUUCAAGUAAAGACUGAGAAAUCAGUGUGUGAUCAAUAAUUAUAAUGGGUGAGAUUGUGGUUGGAAGAUUGAAUGGUAUAAAAUGCUGAAUUCAUAAUGCCGACACUGUCAGUGUCCUCUAUACAGACUGUCAAGUUCUGUAAAGAUUAAUUUAAGGCCCCACCACAUCUGAUAUUUACCCUUCUUUGAACAUGUAAAUUUGAGAGGGUGCUCCAAUAUGAUAUUUGUUUGGAUAAGAGGACUAUUUUACCCCAAAAAAAUAAGUAAAAUGCACUUCACUCUCAUUUAUGUUGGUAGGGUGAGAUCCAUUGUCAAGCCUUUCAUCUAUUCAUAUUGGUUUCUCUUCUCCUUUCGUAUCAGUAGAAGAUCAUGAGAAAGAAAGUCCUCUCUUUAUAGCCUUUUCUGAAAUAAAUUAUCAACAAGUAAUUGACUUGUCAACUCUAGCUGCCAAUAAGUUAAUUGGAUAGCUAUCACUUUAUUUAUGAAGAAGAGAACACUUGGAUUUAUUUGUUUACCGACUUAUUGUUUCCUUAAAAGCUAUCAUUCUUUUCUUGAUGCAUUAAAUUUUCAUUUGCAUAUUUUUUAGUGCACCUUUGUGAUUCGUCUUGACCUUGAGUUGUAUUUGAGUCAUUGUUGAGCUAGGUUGAGAGAUUCAAACUUAUUAUUUGAGUAUUAAAACCUUCAAUUGAGUAGAGACUUGAAGAGAUUAUGUAGGAAUCCAUUGGAGUCGGAAUCCAAGUGUAAAAGUGAUUAGAUGUUUGGUUGAAACUUCAAGUACAGUGGAACCCUCACUCGAUUAGGAGCUUGAAGAGAGUGGAUGUAAGCAAGGAAGUGCUGAACCACUAUAAAAUCUGAGUUUGCUUUCUUUAAUCUUAUCUCUUUAUAUUUGUGCUUCUUGUGCUUAAAUUUGUUGUGUUUGAAUUUAUUUUUUUUAAACUCCAAUUCACCCCCCUUCCCCCUCUUGGGUGUUUUCUCUAUUAAGGUUAACCUUUAUUUUCUCAAUUGAUAUCAGAGUUAGACCUCUUGUUUAGGACUUAAUUGUCUAAAAAGAAAUGGUGAAUCCAUCAAGCUCAUCUCACAUUGAAAGUUUUGCAACCAAUAAACCUCCAUUUUUUACGGGAACCGAUUAUCCAUAUUAGAAAACUAAAAUGACUUGGUUUUUACAAUCAAUCAAUUUAGACGUAUGGGAUGUCAUUGAAGAUGACCCAAAUUUUCCUUCAAAACUAGUUGAUGGAGUCUGGUUCCAAAACCCAAGUAAGAAUGAGAUGAGUGUGAUAAAAGAAACUUCCAAUUAAAUGCUAAGACCGUUUAUACUUUGCAAUUUUCUAUGGAUAGAAAUGAAUAUGAUAGUUAUGUUUUAUAUAUUAUGCUUAUUUUUUCUUUAUUUCUUGUUCUUUUAAUUUUCUCACGUCUUUCAAGAUUGAAAAACAACCUUGUAUUAAACAUUAAAUAGUUAAGGAAAAAAUGUUUGGUUUUAUAUUAAAAAAAUAAAAAAUAUCAAAUAUAAUUAAAAUUACUUAAAAAUUUUAAAAUUAUUUUAUCUUUAUAUAACAUAUUUGAAAUAUAUAAAAUAGGUUUGAAAUAUGAUAAAAAAUAAUUUAUUAAAUUUAAAUAUUUUUAUUUCUUCUAUUUUGUCUUUCUAUUUUCUUUGUAUCACAUUUUCCCUUCAAUAUUUUGAAAACUAAUCAUUGUUUGGAAUUACAAAAUUAGUCAAGAUCAAAUAUUGUCAAAAGCAAAAUGUGUGGAUGACAUAAAGCUUAUAUGAUUAAUUGAUCCAUAAAUUUUACAAAUUAUUAAAAAAUUUAUUAAAUACGACUCAUCAAUUUUUGUGGAAAUGAAUAACCUAACUGAAAAUCCAACUAAAUGGUAAACUGAUGAGAUGUGUUAAAUAUAUAUAUAAAUAACUUAUAUACUGUCAAUUUGAUGAAAAAAUAGUUUUUUUUUUUUUUUGGUAAAAUUAAAAGAUAUAGUUGAAAUAUUUCUACUAGAUAACAAGAGAAAAAAGUUAUGAAAUACAAGGGAGAUUUGGACUGAUGGAGAAAAAAAUCAUCAUUCAUGAUAUAGGUAUUGAGGGGAAGGAAGAGAAUUAUAUAACCAUAUAUGGGUUUCUUUUUUGUUUGUUUUUUUUUUUUUCUCAUAUUACACCAGCACUUUAUAUUGAAUUUUUCUUUUUUAAAUAUAGCGAGUGAAUAAAUUAGAAUUUUUAUUAAAACAAUAGUCUCUUUCUCUCUCUACAUAUAUAUAUAUAUAUAUAUAAGAUAUAAAUUUUGUUGGGUGUAAUGAUGCUACUCUUAAAUCGGAAGAUAGGUUAUUCAAACAAUAGUUUUUAGGACAAAUAAUAUUUGACUAAUCUUCAUUAAUUUGUCUUUAGAUGAAAUAGUCAAAAUACCUACAAUAAACUUCAUAUUGAAAGUUUCAAAUUCAAGAUUCAUCAAAAUGAGUUCAUAUUUAGGUUAUUGAAGACAAAAUCAUAAUGAAAUAUCAUCUUUUUUUUCAAUUAGAAGACUGAGAAAUCAGUGUAUAUAUCCAAUGGGUGAGACAUUGAAUGCUAUAAAAAAUUCAUAUAUUGAAUAUAUAAUGCCGGCCAAUAAUAUCAUUGUCUUCUAUACGGACUGUCAAGCUCCAUAAAGAUUGAUAUAAGGCUCCACCACUUUCAAUAUUUUCCCUUUUUUUCUUCCUUUGUGUUUCCAUCAAUCAAGCUCAGUAAGCUUUUCUCAUUUCCUUUUUCUCUUCAGCGGGAAUCUUUUUCUUCCAACACAAAUAUGAAUUUAUAUAUAUAUAUAUAUAUAUUGUCUUCUGUACAGACUAUCAAGCUAUAAUGAUUAAUAUAAGGCUCCACCACUUUUGACAUUUUCCCUUCUUUUCUUUCCUUGUGUUUCCAUCAAUCAAGCUUAGUAAGCUUUUUUCAUUUCCUCUUUUUCUCUAUAUAUGUAUGUAUAUAUAAUUUCAAUUUAAUUUCAGCCAAAAGUGGCAUUUUAUUUGGCCAAAUAAUAUCGAUUGUGGGUUCCAUUUAGACCCUUUUGUCCAGGUGGAUGCCAUGACUUUUUAUUUUGUACUUUUAAUUUUCAUAAAAAAAUUAAUGGUUUGUCUUAAAAAAACAAGUCUUAAAACUAAUGGUUUACCUUAAAUGUCUUUUGAUAAGAAGAUUUUUAAAGUAACAAUUAUAAAGAUAAAUCAAAAUAAAGGAAAAUUAAGAAAAAAAAAAAAAGAAGACCUUAAAGAGAAGAUCAAUUAAAAUCAUUUGUCUAGAAUCUCUUUGUAAUGUUGUUGAUACACUAGGUUCAUAUUGCAUUACAUUUUUAUUAAAAAACCUAAAAUUAUGUAAGUGUUUAAAUUGAUUUUAUUCUUUUAUAAAUUGGAUGAAAAGUAUUUUUAAAUGAAAACCACCUUUGUUUACUACUAUUCAUAAUUAAAAAGGUUCUCAAAAUGACAAGGUAUUUAUCUAGCCAAGUUCCCUUAAAUAUUUUGUGGUAAAGAUACAAAAACUAUGGAGUUUAUUUCUACAUCUUAUAGCAUUUUUUUAUAAAAAGUAAGAUUGAUUGUUUCAAGGAUAAAAACUAAUAUUUUGACAUAUAUUUCAUCAUUAAAAGGGUUUUCAAUCUUAAGUUUUCAUAUUGAAAUAAUCUAGGUCAUUAAAGAUCAUUUGUGUAUUGAUUUCCUAUAUUUUGUGUAUGUUUGACUAGGGUAUGACCAAAGUGGCUCAACUAAUUACUAUUCAACCGACUCAACUGGUUAUCAUUCACUAAACCAAUUAAGACUAUUCACUCAAUCGGUUGAGGAUUGAUUCAAUUGAUAACCGAUUGAUUGAACUCUUGUAACCUAAUAGUCACUUUUUGUGCCUUCUGCCACCCAACUGCUAGUAGACAGUUUGAUUGGUUAGUUGACUUAUUGACCCCAAACCAUGCCUAACGACUAGUUUGAAUUUUGAACUCCUAUUUAAAUGCUCCAAACUUAUUGUUUUAAAAAAAAGAAGAGUUCCAAAUUAUUAUUCAAUCAUCUUUUGAGUCAUAUGAAAAUCUUUUGAGUGCAUUAAGCUUAGCUUGCAUUCCAUUCUUAGUGUAUAUCUCAAUCCAAGUUUCCUUGUAUUCAUUGAGCAAAAAAUUGUAAACUAGGAAAUUGUAUUGAAAAAUUCAUUUUUUGUAAACCUUGUGAGGUGAGCUCAAGUAUGGGGUAUUGCUUGAGAGGAAAAUCUAAAUGUGAGAUAUUACUUGGGAUUUGCCAAGUGUGAGGUAUCACUUGUGGAGUUCAAAAGUGAGGCAUCUCUUGGGGAAUAUUGUAAAUUCUUGUGCUAGUGGAAGCUUUAAUGAAACCAAUAUUAGUUGAAAAACACAAAAAUAAAAUAAUCCACACAGCUACAUGAGGUUUUAAUAUGGUUUGACCAACCAUGCCUAUAUCCACGAAUGAGAGAGAAUCAUUUCACUAUAUCAUAAAGAGUAUUACAAAGGAUAGAAACCAGAUAUAAUUAUUAAAUUCCCAAAACAUCCCAUAUUUUCCCAUUCCUUGUAUCUACACCUUGAAUCACGAGCCCCUCACUUCUUCUCGUAUCUCUAUCCACCUUGUAUAUAUUUAGUCUUUACGAGCAUAUCUCCAUCUCAUAACUUUUACCUUUCAUGACUUAACAUAUUUAUAAAGAUAUUACUAAUAAUUUUCCUCAAACUUUAUAAGGAAAAAAUUUAUAAAAAUAUUCUCUAUUUUAAUGUCCAUUAAAAAAUUGAAGGAAAUAAAAUAAAAUAAUACAAAAAUACACUUUCCUUAAACUUUACUCAUCUUUAUAUAAGGAAAAUGGUGAGGAUAACCAUUUAGCAUUUUCCUACUCUUUUGCUUAAUAUUUUUUCAUCACCUUUUUUGUUAAUAUUUUUAUUUCAUUUUUUAGUACUUUCUAAGAACUAAAUAUAAUCUUAGUUAUCAUAAUUUUUAUAUUUAAAAGGUCUAUGCAUUUCUGGUAUAGUGUAAUGCAUGUAAAACCUUAGUUAUAUUACAAAAAGGACUUGCAUGCAUUAAUCACAACAAGAAAAGCAAGAUAUGGUCACAUAAUUUUAUGAGGGGCCAACAAAAUCCACAAUGAAAGAGUAUAUAUAACCUCACAACUAUUUGAGCCACAACAGUAGGAAUGCUCUCGCCAAGCUUAUAGUUUUGGGAUUAAUUGGAUGCAACUAUAUAACCUCCUAUUGUUGUGGGAUAAAAUUGAUUGCUAUCAUAUAUGGCCAAUGAAUGCAAGUUGGUUGCUACCAUAAAACCAAUACGUAAAUUGCCUACCAUUUCUCUCCUACUCAUCCUUGAUUACUGAACUCAUUUCUUUUUUCAUCAUUGUCGAUGCCAAUGCGAGAUUAAUAUUUAAACAUGAACUAUUUUUUUCUUAGUCAUCACUCAUUGUGGGAUGCAACUCGGUAUUUUUUUUAUUCACACAUUGUCCUUUCAUUAUUGUCAUUUUAUUUUAUUACGAUUUCACUCUCACAUUUUCUACCCUCGGGUUUUUUUAGGGUUUUGAAUUGCUAGGGUUUCGAGUUAUUAGAGGAUUUGAAGGCUUUUCAAGUAUGACUUCUCCAUAUUUUUUUUCUCUUUGCUAGAGUUUUCUAGUUGAUUUCUCCUUUUUCCAUCUUUUGGUUUUAUUCCUCCUCACAUUCUCUGAUAUUAUAGCUUUCUAGAUUUUUUUUAUUUAAUUUUUCUAUGAAAAUGUGAGAGGUGAUUGAUGCAUAGGGAGAUAUAGAUUUCAUAAAACUGUGGAAAAAUAUAUAGCUCUAUUUCCCAAAUGACACCUCCCUUAUUUCCCUAAAGAAGGUUGUGAAAGCUGAAGCAGAUAAGAAGAAUAGAGAGGGAAGGGUCCGAUGAAAGGGCCAUCAACCAUGCAUGGAAUGAUAAAACUUGAGAAGAGCAAGUCGUGUAUUUGAGGGGUGAGGGGUUAGUAUUCUCCAUCCUUGCUUUAGCCAUAUGUUUUUUCUUUGUCCUAUUUGGUUCUAGAUAUUAUUUUUACUAUGAAAUACCUCUAAUGUAGUAGAAAUAUUCCUACUUAGCUUAACUAGUUGCAUUAAAUUCAAACAUCACAAUGACUUUGAGAAUGUGGAGUCAUAGUUAGGUGGUGGAGUUGUUAGCUUAAAUGAUGUAAUUCAUUGAAAAAGGAAAAUAGAAGAAAAAAAAACACAUAAAAAACUUGAUACUUUUGAAAAGGCUACAAAAUAACUAAUCAGUCCAACAUUGAAUUCAUAACUUUUGAAGAGGUGCAACUGAAACAAAUAGGUAGUAAAGAUGUACAAAUUGAACAAAUAACCCUUAAAAGACACAUUGAACAAAUAAUCCCUAAAGAGGUACAAUUUGAGAAAAUAGCCCUUUACUUCACUAGGGUUUUCCUCAGGGGUAUUUCCUAAUUCUGAGAUAAGUGUUAAUAAAAUAUGAGAAUUUAUUAUAUUAUGAAAACUUGUAAAUAAUCAUCUAUAUUGAUAUACAUCUCUUUAUAACUUGUAAAUAAUUCUUUAAGAGUAUUUCCGUUUCUUCUUCUUGUAAUUCUUUUAUUCCAUAACAAAAGUUAUGCUUUAUAUAUUAUUCUAUAAAAAAAAAUAUUUUUUUUAUUUGUUCUUUUGAUAAGACCAAUCACUUUCCCACAUAUCUUAAAAUAGCCUUGCAUCAAGCAUAGAUUAGCUAAAAUAGUAAAAUAAUAGGUAUAAUAUAUUCAUAUCACUAUGGUAAAAUGUUUGGUUUUACAUUACAAAAAUAUAAAAAAAUCAAAUAUAAUUAAAAAGUGAUGUAUUUUAAAACUAUUUAAUCUUUAUAUAAAAUUCUUAAAAUACAUAAAAAAAAAUCAAGUUUGAAAUAACAUAUAAAAAUAUUUUAUUGGUUUUACAUCUUUUUUUUUAACACUAAUCCAAAAUAAUAAGUAGUUGAAACUAAACCGUGCUCAGUUGAGGGUUGGUCUUAAUCUACCGCACAAAUUUGUACGGUGGGUGGCUGUGAUUUGUGAAUAAUCAAGGCACUUAAAAGAGGUUCUUGAUCUCUCUCCAGACUAUUCUCUUUCUGUCAAAAGCAGGAAUAUAAAGUUUUUGAAAUUCUGCAUGCAUGCGCACAAGGAUGUUACCUCUGUUACUCAACCAUGGUUUUUAUCUAAGUGCAGGACUAAUAAAAAAAUUUGGUAAGAUCUAUAAUUUGGAUAAUUACAGAGGUUAGAAACUUAGGACUAAUAAAAAAAAUCAAAGCACUUCCUCUUUUUUUUUUCUCUUUAUGUUAGGAACUUAGGACCAAACGUCAGGUUCAAAUCUUCCUGUACUGAGGUUAGAAAUCUUGCCAAGAAGCCUACAAUUUUGAAGGUUGGGCUUAAGAUUUUGGAUUGGAACUUUCAUAUAUCUUCAAUGGCAUCACUGAGUAUGGUGCUUAAGCCAAAGUCAUUUCUGGAUCAACUUCUACUUUUUACAAUCCUAUCAAAUUAGAGAGAGAACGGUCUUGUGCACUAGGGCAAAUAAUACACAUGGCCCCCAUUCAAUCAAUUUCAUAGUUCUAAGAUUUAAAAUUCCAAUUUAUUUUCUUUUUUCUUUACAUUAAUUUUCUCAACAAAUAAGCAGUUUAUCAUCUUCUAGUGCUUUUAUGAAAUCAACCAAAACCUCAAACAGAGCACCUACAAAACCACAAAAAAAGAAAGGGAAAAAAUGAAAAACUGCCCAUUCAAGCUUCUUUUCAUUACAAAAGCGUUGAAUCCAUAUUUAUCAUCAUCUUCAAGUUUUGUGGUACAGGCUGACAAGAUACUAAUAAAAGUGAAACAGAAGCAGCCGACUCUCAACUACAAUUGUUUCUUGCUUUACCUCCAAGAACUGAGUCUCAAUGGGCAGUUUGCAUCUAAGCUUGUGAUGCCCUAUACACGUCAAAGCUAAUUUAUGCUGUGAAUUAGAGCAGAUUUGCGGUGGAAAUCAGAGCUUGGAGCUCAGGUUUGUAGACAUGGAAGAUCAUGUGUUUUAAAUUAUUUUUAUAGUCAUUAUAUAUACUUUUUCAGUUUUAAAUUAUUUUUUAAAAUUAUUAAACUUAUUGAUAAAUUCAAUAUAAAGUCUCACUUGAUUUGAAAUUCAUUGCCUCUAAUGAAAUAAGAUUAGGAGAACAAUUCUCUCUUUUACUUUAUUUUUAAAAAUUAUUUCUAAAAAACAACAACCAAAUGAUGGUAUAAAUUUUUAAAAACGAUUUUGUUUUUAAAUUGCAUGCCCAAAUAGGUUUAUAUUAUUUAGCAAAAAAAAAAAAAAAAAAAACUCCCAAUGAUUUUUUUAAAUAAAAAAAAUUUAUUUUAAACCAUAUGUCCGAAUAUUAUUGACAUUUUUUUUUUCAUUUUUAUUCCCAUUUUCACUUAACAUUUAAAUGAAACAAAUCAUCAUUCCAAUCUUAUAUUCUUACAUGGAUCCAAACACAAGAAUUGAAAUUACUAAAAUUAUUUCUAUUUGACAAGAAAUAGGAGUGGACACAAAAGAUUCAUUCCCAUUUCUGAUUCUCAUGUGCCAAACAUGUCCUUAGGAUAGCGGCUAAUAAAUUAUUGCAACUAUGUGUUUUCCUAGGAAUUUUUUCCACAUGUACCAACACCUUUAGACACUAGUGGAGCAAGUGGGUAGCCAUAUAUUUUUUUGACUAAACCUACAUGAUAUCUCUCUUUUCUUAUAGUGAGUGGUUUGAAUUAAUGGUGAAGAGGAUGAUAUGUCGAGCUUCUGCAUAAGGAGAUCAGUGGAAAUGAGGCCCGUAAACUGAAGAUUAAAUGAUUAAAGUGAGAGAUGGGAGAAAGAAAAAAAAAAUGAUAAUGGUUGCCAAACAAUCUUUACAGUGCGCGAGAAUAAAGUAGUGUCUAUUUUUGCAUUUUUCUCUAAGAAUAUUUCCAUGAGUUCCAAGCACUGAAGAAUCUAAUUAUAUGAAUGAAGUAUGUAUGUAGAGUGAGAAACUAAAUAUAAUUAAAAUACUUGAAAAGUUAAAAAUAAUAUUUCAAAUAGAAAAUAAAAUAAUAUCUUGAGAGGUCGACUCAAAUACAAUACAAUUAUAUAUAAAAGGAAGGGAAAGAAAAUGAAUUACCUAUAAUGGGGCGAAUGGGGGCUCAAGCCCUUGAUAUGAGCUUCGUAUAUAAGGGUCGGAAAAUAUGGGAGUGAGGUUGUGGACAAUGGUUUGAUCCUCCCACUCCAAACCAGCCCACCAUUUUUGUUCUCCCUCGAUUUUCUCUAAUUUCUUGCUCAUUCCAGUGUUUGAAUCAAAUGGCAGCUUCUUCAAAUUUGAACAGGAAACCACACUGAUAUAUCUUAAAGAUGGAAAGGGUAGGGGGCAUCCACAUAUAUUCCUUAGAUUUGGCAGACUAGAUAAAGUGAGAGAUAUGAGCCUUGAGAACACACUUGAAUCUUGUUCAAUUUCUGAAACUUCACUCUUUUCAUCUUCUAUCACUUUUUCCGUUAUACAGUCUUCAACAUUUAGAAAUUGAAGUUUUGGAGCAUGAAUAAGCCAGUUCAAGUUCAACAAUUUUCGACAUUCACAUAUAUGGACACUAUGAAGGUGGUUCAAGUGUUGUUGCCGUGGGAAUUUUGAAGGGACCACUUCCUUUUCAAAAAUCAUUUCCACAUCUUCCAAUUCAAGACAAAAAUUCAGCUCAAGAUUCUGUACACAAGGGGAUAGUUGGACCAGGUUCAUACCUUUGCAGCCACAUAACACUAGCCAUCUUGUGGACCUUUGCAACUUGUGGGAAUUGAAUAAUAUUUUGGUGGACAAGACUCUUGUAAGGAAGAUGGAGAUAUCAUUAAUGUGUUCCAACUGCUCUAACUCCUUUAACAGUGCUAUCUGAUCUCCCUCAGGCGGUGAGGAUUGCAUGCCGAACAAUUGCAAAGAGGAAAGACUCGAUACCAUUUGAGGUGGAAGUGACUUGAGUGAAUACAUAUAAUUUAGUAUCAAAUACCUCAAUUUUUUCAAAUUCUUGAGCUCCACUGGUAAGUAUUCUAUACUUGUAUUUGACAAAUUAAGAUAUUGCAAGGUUACUAAGUUGCCAAUCUCUGCAGGUAACUCCAUAAGUCAAUUAUUGUUUGACAAGUCCAAAACUCUUAUGAUAGGCAUGUUUGUAAAGAAUCCAUUUGGAAAUGACUCAAUAGACUGAUGUGAAGCCAAAAAGGUCUCAGUAUUUGGGAAAUAUGGUGGUUCCCUAAGUUCUUCAAUGCUACUACCCCACAAGGAUAUCCUUUGUGUGUUUCUCCAUUCUUUAACUUCAUGAGCUCUGAUCAAUUCAACUCUAUAUUCUACCACGAAUUUGUUCUUCUUCUUCCCCUUUUCACAAGCUAACCAUAGAGCCAUAUCAUGAAUCACAUCAUGCAUCUUCAAAUAUUCUUCUUCUAUGAAUGGAGGUGUGCCAUUCUCGACAUGCAUCUUUUAAGCUUUCAAUAAUUUCUUGUCCUUGGAUCCUGUCACAUUCAUCCAAAAUCCCCUCCCCGAUCCAAAGUCCUAUAAGAUCUCGAGAAGAGAUUCCAUAAUCCUCCGGAAGUAAAGAGCAAUACAGGAAACACGAUUUGAUGGCUUCAUCGGGUAGGCUAUCAUAACUAAACGCUAAUACUCGAAAUAAAUCAUUCUCCAUACCUAGAACCUUGUCCGGAUAUUCCCUCAACCUUUGCAUUUUUCUCUCCCAUUCUUCUGGUGUUUUUGCCCGAGCCAUUGCUCGGGCUAUGACAACGAGGGCGAGCGGCAGGCCUUUGCAUUCUUUGGCAACGAUUUCGGACAGCUUUGGUAUAUCUGGAUGAGAAUUUAAAGUGUCGUCUCCUACCUUGGCCUGGAACAGAGAUAAGGCUUCCGCCUCUUUCAAGCACUCCACUUUAAUGCUCUUCUGUGCUUCCAUGUAGCCACACACAUCUGCAGAUCGUGUUGUGAACACUAUCUUGGACUUUUUAAUUCGAUCACUCAAAGGAGGAAUUCCCACUUGCAAGAGAUUAAAGGGCUCCCAUAUAUCAUCUAACAAGAGCACAAAUUUCUUGGUUUUCAAGACCCUGUAUAUUUCUGCAGCCAUCUCAUCCUCGCUCCUAUUUUUCCAUCUGUCAUCGGGAAUCUGGAGUCUACUCAGAAGUGUUUCCUGGAUCUUCCGCAAGUUUGUUGGUUUGGAGAUGACAACCCAUAUCACAAUAUCAAAGUUAUUAUUGGGUGUGAGGAACUUGUUAUUGAUUUUCUUCAAGAGGGUGGUUUUCCCCACAUCCCCCAUUCCGUAAAUUCCAAUAGUCCCCACUUGUUCGUCUUGGAGCAAUCUCCAGACCUCAUGAAAAGGUGAAUCUAAGCCUACAGGCUUCUCCAAUGGCAUCUCAAUCACCUGAGAAAAACGCAAAGGGACAGCCACUUCUUGAAAAUUAUUUCCUUCGGUUUGUAGUGCAGCCACAGCAUCCAUCUUCUCCUGUACGAUUUUCGCAAGCUUGUAGGUGGCGCGACAGUUUCUGGGACAACAGGUUCCGAGACAUUUCUUCUGGAUUUCUUCAUCACCUUUUGCCAGUAAUUCGUUCACUUCUUUUUCCAUGGCUUCUGCUCUCUGAAUCCAUCUAUCCACAACAUGUGUACGCUUCUUCUCAAGACUCUCUUCACGUUCCACCCUUUCCUUCACAUCUUCAUAGAGGUUCUUGAGUUCCUCCAUUGCACUUCUCAAAGAGUUGAGAUUUUGUGGGAGACGACGGACUUUAACAGCACGAUGGCCAACGCAAUUGCAGAUGAGAGAGGCAACAUCCAAGACUGGGCUCACAAAAUCCAUGGCAAAAUUCAGGGGUUGGAAUUCAAAGCAAAGAAGAAAUUAAUCAAAGUAAUAAGACAGGUGAUGGAUUGGAGUUGGAGAGGUGGAGAGAAGAAUUCUGGACUUAUGUUUGUUGUGUACAAAACCCAGAAAAGUUGAAGCUGAGUAAUAAUGAAAUAUCACCUCUCUUUUCUCAAGUAAAAGACUGAGAAAUCAGUGUAUAAUGUAUAAUGUCCACUGUGUGAGACUGUGGUUGGAGGAUUGAAUGGUCUAAAAAUCUGAUGUACUGACUACAUUAGGGUCCACCACUUCCACUUUUCAUAUUUUCCCAUUCUUUUCUUCCUUUUGUGUUUCUAUCAAUCAAGCUUAGCAAAGGGUCCACAGCUCUUUUGCUUUCAUGGGAAUCUUUUUCUUCCAACACAAGUAUGAAUUCAUUUAGACAUAAAGUUUGUGUGUACUGGUUUGUAACUUUAAAACUGUAUGUAGUAGUGCAUAUAAUUCUUCAUCUGUUUUAUUGUUUUUGAAAUAUAAUUCUUUUCUCUUGGUGGGUUGAGAUCCAUUUUAUUAGUAAUUUAGGAAUUUAUUAAUUUAUUAGUUUUCUUUCAUCAUCUCCAAUACAAAUUUAUUAGGAAUUUAGGAAAUUUUCGAUAAUCGUAUUCCAAGUUUCAAAUUAUCAACCAUGAGUACAUGAGCGGAGAAGAAUUAAUUGGUUUAUGAAUUUUUGAUAAUAUAAAUAAACAAAAUUUUGUUUAUUUACUUUUGGAAAACUAAUUUUUAUUUAUUUGAAAAAUGAAUAUAUUCAAAUUAGUAAAUUACUCAUUAUAACCAAGUUUCUAAUUACAAGAAAAAAGACCAACCUUGACUAUUAUGGACACCGCCGAGCAAACCAAACUAGAAGAUUUUCCCCCUCCAAAAAAAUAUAAAUUUAAUUGAUAAAAUUUUUAAAAAUAUAAAAUAAUGAUAACUAAAUGUUAUUACCAAAAUUAAUAUUUACUAUUAAUUACUAAUAGUAUAUUGAGAUUGAACUAAAAUUUUUUUUUUUUUAAAAUCUUAUUUAAUAUUAUUCAUAUUUAUUUUUUCUUAUUCAUUCAAUAUUUUUCCUUUUUAUACUUUUUUUUUUUUUUUAUGAUUGGUUUAACUAAAAUAUGAAAAAUAAUGCUUGCUAAGUUCUUAUUAACUAUUUAUAUUUCUACUUAGAAGUAAGAAUAUAACGUGAGUCCAUCAAAAUCUUAUCAUUAAGUUACUAGUGUUUUAGUGAUUUAUUAUAUGAAACAUAAAUUUUAAAUUUUAAGUAAAAGACUUUACUUUCAACUAUCUUACAUUUAAUUAUUUAAAAAAUGAGAAAAAUUAAGGUAUUGAUUUGGUAUUUAUGAAAAUCUUAAUCUCCACUUUUGAUAUUACAUAGAAAAAUCUAGACCUUUGCAUGUAAGUACAACAAAUGAGAUAAAAUUGUAAGACAAUGAGAUCUAAAGCUAUACAGUUCUUCUAUUUGAAAAAUAUCAAAAUUUAUAACAAAAAUUAUUGAAUUCUUUAAAAUAAUUUUAAAGGUUUUUGAUACAAAAUGAUUUAAAUUAUUGAAAAUUUUAGUGAGUUUUCUUUCUAUUUUUUUAAAUUCUUUUGAAAAUUUCCUUUAAAUAUUUUUGCUAAUUUUUUAUAUAAAAUCUAAAACUUUUUUUAAGUGUUAUUAGUAUCAUGAUUGUUCAAUUUGAUACAUUUUUAUAAUUAAUAUUUAAAAUUAUUUAAUUUUUAAAUAAUAAUAUAAAAUUCUAUUAAUUACCUUACAAUUUUUAAAUAAUGACUAUAAUAUAUUAUUUUUCUUCAAUGCCCUCGCGACAAAAGUCUUUGGCUCCGCCACUUAUUGUGGAAUAGGGUAAACAUUAAUGAGUUCACCAUACUAGAAUUCUCAUUUCUCAAUAGGAAAAUAAAUAAAGAAAAAAAAAAAAUCAAAUGCACAACCAAUUAAAUAUCAAAUUUAUCCUUAACUCAGGUUCGGGUUUGAACCUCUCACUAUCCCAACAAAAUUGUUAUUUUGUACACCCGUAUAUUUUAUUUGCAACCCUGCUUGAUGACUAAAUUAUCACCUAUCAGGAAAAUACUUUUUAAUGGUCAAUUAUGUGUUUUCUCUUUUCAUUAUAAAAUUUUUUAUUAGUAUUAAUGGUUAAUUAUCUUCUAUUCACGGAUAUAAACAUGAUUAGUUGAACGUGCUUUUUUUAUAUUCACAUUUAUUUUUGUUUGUAUGUUAUUACACCAAUACUUAAUAUUGUAAUUUUUUUUAAUAUAACAAAUAUAUACAUAUAUAUACUCAAAUUACAUAUCCAAAAUUCAAAAUGAGUUCACAUUUGGGUUAUGGAAGAAAAAAAUUCUAAAAAAAAUGAGCAAAGAAACUGUGGACCCUUUACAAAGUUUGAUGGUUCAUAAAGGAAGAAAAAAAUAAAGAUAUACUCAAAUUACAUAUUCAAAAUACAAAAUGAGUUCACAUUUGGGUUAUGGAAGAAAAAAAAAAUUCUAAAAAAAAUAAGCAAAGACAUCCCUUUACAAAGUUUGGUGGUUCACAAAGAAAAGAAGAACCAAAAAUGUGGAAUCUCAGGUAACAUUGUUUAAGACAUUGAUUGACAUCAUAUAUCAUUGUCUUUUAAUCAUAUCAUUGUUAAAUAUGGGGCAACAUUCAUGACUUAUGACCUAUAUAAAGAGCGGUUUUUCAUUUUUUCAUUUUUUUCUUUUUUUGUAAAAUAUAAUAUUCUAAAUAACAAUUAUUAAUAAUAUUUUACAAAAAGAAUAUUUAGAUGAUCAUUUGUACUUAAAUCUUUAUUUUAUUUUAUUUAAAAUUUUUUUUUAAGAGGGUAUUUGGAUCUUCUUAGCAACUCAAAUUAGUGAAACUGGUGAUGGAUAGGAGUUGGAGAGGUGAAGAGAAGAAUAUUUUCCCAGAAAAGAUGAUAAUGAAUGGAGAGUAAAGCAAUAAUGGCAUUGUCUUCCAUACAGAUGUCAAGCUCUGUAAAGAUGAAUAUCAGGCCGCCACACCACUUCUGAUAUGAUAUUUUCCCAUUAUUUUCCUCCUUAGUGUUUCCAUCAAUCAAGCUUAGUAAAGGGGCCACAGCUUUUCUGGUUUUCUCUUUUCCUUUAAUGGGAAUCUUUUUCUUCCAACAUAAAUAUGAAUUCAUUUACAUAAAAAGUGGGUAUGUACGCUUGUAAUUUUAAAACCGUAAGUAGUAGUGCAUAUAAUUCUUCAUCUGUUCUACCGUUUUAGAAAUAUAAUUCUUUUUUCUUGAUAGCUUGAGAUCCAUUUUAUUAGUAAUUUAUUAGGUUUCUUUCUUCGUUCCGAACAUGAAUUUAUUAGGAAUUUAGGGAUUUUUCCGUAAUCCCAUUCUAAAAAUUUUGGAUUAUCAACCAUGGGUACAUGAGCGGAGGAGAAUUAAUUGGUUUUUAAAUAUUUUUGAUGAUAUACAUAAACAAAAUUUUGUUUAUUUAUUUUUGGAGAAGUAAUUUUUAUUUAUUGAAAAUUUGAUUUUUAUUUAUUUGAAAAAUGAGGAUAUUCAAAUUGUUUUAUUAUAAAGAUAAAAUUGCAACCUCUCUCUUUUAAUUAGGAUAAGAGAAUAUAAAAUCUUACAAAAUGAUGAGAGCCUUUAUUUGGGAUGAACAAGGGGUGGAAGCCUCCUUUUAUUGCAUAAGAAGCUCUCCCUUUUGUUUUCUAAAUGAGAUGGGAUGACUUCAACCCUGAUAGGAUGCAUUUAAAAAUGUAAGGUUGGAAUGAUUAUUUGUUUAUAUUUCAAUGUUAAGUAACAAUAAAAAAUGAGAAUAAAAAAGAAAUAAGUUGACAAUAAUAUUUAUACACAGUUUAAAAUAAUUUUUAAUUUUUAGCACAUCUAAUAGUGGUUUAAAAUCAUAUUUCUUUUUUACUAUGCAUUGUUAUGUUAAUAGUAAUUAACUCUACAAACAAUGAAAGUCUAAGAAGAAUGAAAGUUCAUUUGUAUAUUUGUAUAUAGGUUUAUUUGAGCACUUAAAAUGGUUAACUUGGAUAUAUUUUUAUGAUAGAGAAUUCUCUAGCUAAGAAGUCUUAUCUUAUGUUUUUGUUUGUACAUUUAUAAUUAUUUUCUCAACGUUAUAUUUGGUUCAUGAUUUUUUUUUUUUAAGGAAAGAAAAUAGUGAGAAAAUUAUAAAGAAAAUUUUUUAUAAAAAUAUUCUCUAUUUUGAUGUCCAUUAAAAAAAUUGAAGGAAAUAAAAUAAAAUAAUUUAGAAAUACACUUUACUCACCUUUAUAUAAGGAAAAUGAUGAGGACAACCAUUUAGCAUUUUCCAAUUCUUUUGCUUAAUAUAUAUUUUUUCAUCGCCUUUUUUCUUAAUAUUUUUAUUUCAUUUUUUAAUAUUUUUUAAGAACUAAAUAUGAUCUUAAUUAUCAUAAUUUUUAUAUUUAAAAGGUAUACCCAUUUUUGGUAUAGCGUGUCAUGUAUGCAAAACCUUAGUUGUAUUACAAAAGGGAUUUGUAUGCAUUAAUAUCACAACAAGAAAAGUGAGAUAUGGUCACAUAGUUUUUUUAAGAGGGGUCAACAAAAUUCACAAUGAAAGAGUGUAUAUAACCUCACUACUAUUUGAGCCACAAUAGUAGGAAUUCUCCCACCAAGCUUAUAGUUCCAGGAUUAAUCGGAUACAACCAUAAAACCUCCUAUUGUUGAGGGAUAAAAUUGGUCGCUAUAAUAUAUGGCCCAAUGAAUGCAAGUUGGUCACUACAAUAAAACCAAUAUAUAAAUUCCCUACCAUUUCUCUUUUGCUCACCCUUGAUUGCUAAACUCAUUUCUUCUUUCAUCAUUGCUAGUCCAAUGUGAGAUUAAUCUUUAAUCAUGAAUUUUUUUUUCUCAAUGAUCACUCAUUGUGGGACGUAGCUUGAUGUUUUUUUAUUCACACAUUGCCCUCGCAUUAUUGUCAAUUUAUUUUAUUUUAUUUUAUUAUGAUUUCACUCUCUCAUUUUCUAUUGUCUAAUUUUCUUGGGUUUUAAAUUGCUAGGUUUCAAGUUAUCAUAGGAUUUGAAGGCUUUUCAAGGAUGACUUCUCCAUCUUUUUCUCUCUUUUCUAGGGUUUUCUACUUGUUUUCUCCUUUUUCCAUUUUUUGGUUUUAUUUCUCUUCAUGUUUUGUGAUUUUCUAGCUUUCUAGUUUUUUUUUUUUUUUUUUUUUUUUAAUUUUUAUAUUAAGUGCGAGAGGUGAUUAUUGCAUAGGGAGAUCUAGAUUUCAUAAAAUUGUGGAAAAGUAUAUAUCUUUGUUUCCCAAACAAAAACUCCUUUGUUUGCCAAAAAGAUGAGGUGAAAGUCGAAGUAGAUAAGAAGACCAUGGAAGGGAGGGGAGGAGGAGGGGGCAAUCAACCAUGUAUAGAAUGAGAAAACUUGAAAAGAGUGGGUUGUGUAUUUGAGGGGUGAGGGGUUAGUAUUCUCUAUACUUACUUUGGCCAUAUGUUUUUUCUUUGUCCUAUUUGGUUCUAGAUAUAUAUAUAUUUUUUAACUAUGAAUUACUUUAAAAAUAUUCCUACCUAGCUUAACUAGUUGUGUUGAAUUCAAACAUUAAAAUGGCUAUGAGAAUGUGGAGUGAUAGGUAAGAUAAGUAGCUAUUAUAACAACAAAUGAACCUAAGGUGCACUUGAAGUGUAGUAGACUUAUCAGCUCAAAUGAUGUAAUUCAUCAAAAAAGGAAAACACUAGAAAAAAAAACACAUAAAAAACUUGAUAAUUUUGAAAAGGCUACAAAAGACUAAUCAGUUCAAAAUUGAGAAACUCAUUACUUUUGGAGAGUUACAAUUGAAACAAAUAGCUACUAAAGACGUACAAAUUGGAUAAAUAACCCCUGAAAGACACAUAUAGAAAUAGCCCCUAAAGAGAUACAAUUUGAACAAAAAGCCCUUUACUUCACUAGGGUUUUUCUUAAUGGGUGUUUUGUAGUUCUGAGAUAUAUUUUUAUGAUCAUCCAAGAUGGAGUGUUAAUAAAAUAUGAGAAUAUGGAAACUUAUGAAUGGUCAUCUAUAUUGAUGUAAAUCUCUUUCAUAACUCUCUAUAAAAAGGAAGACUUAAUGUUGAAAGGAUAUUUAAUUCUCUAAGAGCAUUUCAAUUUUUUCUUCUUGUAAUUCUUCUAUUAUAUAACAAAACUUAUUUUUUUUUUUUGUAUAUUACGUCUAAUUUUCUUUUUUUCUUUAUUAUUUAUUCCUUAACCUUCAAUUUUCCCACAAAUCUUAAAAUAGCCUUGCAUCAAGCAUAGAUCAGCUAAAUAGUAAAAUAAUAGGUAUAAUAUAUUUAUAUCACUAUGGUAUAAACUUAUAGUUUAUGUUUGGUUUUACAUUAAAAAAUAUAAAAUAUAUAUAUAUAACUAAAAUUAGUUAAAAAGUGAUGUAUUUUAAAAUUAUUUCAUCUUUAUAUAAAAGAUUUAAAAUACGUAAAAAAAAAAAAAAAAAAAAAAAAAAAAAAAAAAAAAAAGGACUAAGUUUGAGAUAACAUAUAAAAAUACAAAUCCAAAUUGAUUCCAUUCAUUCUCCUUUUAUUUUGUGAUUUUGCAUUAAAGAAACUCAUCCCAACAACCUCACAAAUAAUGCUUAUGAAAAAAUUAAAUUAAAUUAAAGGCAUAAUGAAGUGAAAAGAGGAACAUACCAAUGAAUGAAGCAUAGAGCAAAGUUCUUGUCUUGAUUUCCGAUUGAUGCUUUUUCCUUGUUUUAGCUCCUUAAACUCUUUCCCUUUCAACUCCACAACAAAAUCCUCUAAAUUUUCACCUUCUCUCCCCCAAUGCUCUCUUGGAUUUAUGAAAAUACUCCCAUUAGUUUCCUAAGAGUCAAGCCUUUUGCUAAUUUUUUUUUCUCUCCCAUGGAUUUUAAUAAUUUUCCAACCUAUACUUUUAGUCAAAUAAUAAAGAGAAAAAAUAAAUCUUGAAUUUAAAAUAAUAAAAAGGUUAUAAAUUCAUUAAAUGUAUUUCAAAAAUAUUUUUAAUUUAAAUUUAACUAUUUUUUACCUUCAAAGUUUUAAUGAGAAAGUGUUUUUAAGCUACCCCAUUGCUUUCUUACUCUAUCUUUCUCUAUUUUCAUCUGUCAACCUUGGAAAAAGACUUGAUUUUGAAUAUCGUCUUUGCUUCCUUAUCUCUCAAUCUUUGUUAAUUAUGUAAUUGUGUAAAUAAUUAAUUUAAGAAGAAAGUUUUUUUUCAUUACUCAUGACAUGAAAUGAUAAAAAUAAAAAUAAAAAAGUAAAAAAGUAAUUAUAUGAAUAGCAUAUGAAAGCUUAAUCUCUUCUUAUGAAGGUAUAUGAUCAUAGUAAUGGAAUGUGAAAUCCAUUCCAUCUUGAACCUGCAUGAGAUUGUUUUAUUACAUGCCAAAAUCUAUUUAUAGCCAAAGAAAAAAAACAGUCUAAACUACUUCUAGGGACGUACCCAUGGGAGCACUUUUUUUUUUCUUUAUGUUAGGACCAAACACGAGUUCAAAUCUUCCUGUAGAGAGGUUGGAAAUCUUGCCAAGAAGCUGACAAUUUUGAAGGCUGGGCUUAGGAUUUUGGAUCGAAACUUUCAUGUAUCUUUAAUGGUAUCACUGGGUAUGAUGCUUAAGACAGAAGCUUUGACAAGAUAACCAGAGCCUAAAGCGCAAGUUUGUAGACAUGGAAGCUCAUGUGCAAUGGAAAAGAUGAAAAUGGUUGGUGAAGAUCCAACAAUGCACUAAUCGAGGCUUGUGGGGAUUGGAGAAGCUUGUCAUGUCUUUCUUUGAGCUUUUGCAUUUUGGUUUUUGAAUUUCGCAGAGAUUAAGGGAUAGUUUCCUGGAAAAGGAGGUUGGAGAAAAAUAGUUGAUGAUGUUGCCAAGCAAUCUUUACAAAUAACAUCUAUUUUUGCAUUUUUUUCUACAAGAAUUUUACUUGGCGGUUGUGCAUAAUCUAAUAGCUCCAUGACUCCUGAGUCCCAAACAAUCUAAUGAAGUGUGUAGAGUGAGAAACUAGGGAGAAAUUAAAUAUAAUCAAAAUUCAUGAAAUGUUAAGAUAAUAUUUCAAAUAGAAAAUAAAAUAAUAUCUUGAGAGACCGACUCAAACAAUCAUAAUGCACAUUUGGACUUAGCCAUAUUUAUAAUAUGAAAAAAAAUUUAAAUACAAUUAUAUAUAAAAAGAAGAAAAAAAGGAUUUUACCUAUAAUGAGACGAAUGCCAUGGGUGCUCAAAUUUCGUCUUGAAUUGUGUGGAUUGAAAAUAUGGAGUGAGGUUGUGCAUAAUGGUUUGGUCCUCCCACUGCAAUUCAUCCUACCAUUUUUUUUCUCCACUGAUUUUCUCUAAUAAUUUCUAGCUCAUUCCAAUGUUGGAAUUAAAUGGUAGCUUCCACAAAUUUAGACAAUUAAACACCUUAAUGUGUCUUAAAGAUGGAAAAGGUAGAGCCCGUCCAUGUAUACUUCUUAGAUUUGGUAGUCAUCUUAAGGUGAGAGAUAUGAGUCUCGAGGAUACACACAAAUGGUCUACUUCAAUUUCUAAAACUUCACUCCUUUCAUCAUCUAUCACUUUUUCCAUUGAUUAACAGAAUUUAACACUUAGAAAUUGAAGACUUGGAGCACAAAUAAGCCUUGUCAAAUUCAACAAUUUAUGACAUCGAAAUAUUUUGACAUCACAAAGGUUGUUCAAGCAUUGGUGCCUUUGGGAAUUUUGAGUAGACCACCAUUUCCUUUUCAAUAUUGAUUUUCACAUCUUGCAAUUCAAAACAAUUUGUAAUACGGAGUGUCUCUAUAUAAAGGGAUAGUUAGACCAGGUUCAUACACUCACAAACUAAUUGUAGAAGGUUCAUCAAUGUGUUCCAACUGCUCUAACUCUUCUAAUAACCUUCUUUCAUCAUCUCCCUUGAAGGUUGACCCUUCUGUGCUAUACAUACUAAACAAUUGCAAAGAGGAAAGACUCGAUACCAUUUGAGAUGAAAGUGACUCAAGUGAAAACAUAUCAUUCAAUAUCAAGCAUGGGUUUGAGACCUCAAAUCUAAAUCUACUAUAUGAGAUCAAGUUACACAAAUUUACCUGGCUACUUAUCUCAAAGGUUUACUUUCUAGUACCUACAACUUGAUCCAUGUCCACGAUACAGUAAUCUCCAAUGCUCUAUUGAAUACUCCCCAGUCUCACUAAAGGGAUGCAAAUCUUCAAACAACCUAAGAUUCAAUAUUUGUCACCUAAUUUACUAUGUUUGAAAUAACAUGUCAAUUUUUGAGCCAAAAUUGACAUUUUAUUUAGCUAAAGAACAUCAAUUGUAAACUUCAUUUGAAACUUCAAUAUAGAUCCCUUUUAUCCAUGCUGACUUUUAUUUUUUAUUUUUUAUUGUUUAUGCCAAACCAUAUUUUUAUAAUGCAUUUCAUUUUUAAAUUGAAGCCAUAUUUCCAAAAUAAGACUUCAAUGCAAAUUUCGAAAAUAUAUUUUUAAUUCAAAAAUAAAACCGCAAUUUUAAAAUGUGUUUCAAUGUAAAAUAUGAAAUUAUUUUUUUGAAAUUACAUGUUGCUUGAAAAUAAAACAUAAAAUCAUAUAUAUUUUUAAAAUAUGAUUUCAGCCUAAAAAAACCAUAUGUAGCUCCAAUAACUUAUGUGGCUCAUAUUUGGCAAAAAGACUAAUUUUAGCAUGUAAGGGUUUGUUUUGGCCUAUUUUGACCCAAAAUUCUAUUUUAAUUAUGAUAAAAUAACUACUUCUUUGACAAAUAAAAUAAUUGAACUUAAGGCUUUAUUUGAUAUUUUUCAGAUUGAAAGGAAAGAAAGCGUGAAGCUGAAAUAACUCCUUUCUAACACCCUCGAUUGGACCGAAUAAGCCCUCCCUUAUGGAAUAAAUAUUCGAAUAAAAUGUACUCCAUUAUCUUUUCUCUUGGUAGGCCAAGAUCCAUUAAUUUUAUUAAGACUUGUCAAGCUUUUCUUUGACAACAAUGAUAUGAUAAAUGGUAUCAAUAAUGUUGUCAAUAAUGCUAGAUAACUUCAAUUAUGAGCGAUGACCAUAGAUUGUAGAAGAUAGAAGAAGGAGAGUCCUCUCUUCAUACCCUUCUCUAAAUAAAUUAUGAACAAAUAACUGGCUUGUCAACCUCGAGCAAUAAAAGCUCAAACUGCCAACAAGUUAAUUGGAUAGCUAUCACUACCUAGCAUUUAUUAUGAUAUCUUGUUAUAUAUAAAUUUUAUUUAUUUAUUUAUAUUAAGAGGGAAAAAUGGUUUAAAAUAAAACUCAUGUUUUAUAUAUUAUGCAUAUUUUUUUUCUUUUUUGCUCAUACUUUUAAUUUUCUCACUUCUUUCCACAUCGAAAAAUAGCCUUUUAUCAAGCAUGGACAUUCCUUUUUACAUUGAAAAAUAACAAUAUAUAUAUAUAUAUAUAUAUAUAUAUAUAUAUUAUUUAAUUUGUAUAUAAAAUAUUUAAAAUAAGUCAAAUAAGUUUGAAGUAACAUAUAUAAAUAUAUAUAUAUAUAUUUUUUACUUUAAAUCAAUGUUUUCAAAAUCAAAUCAAUAAUUGAAUAGACAAAGUUAUUAAUUGAAAAUGGUUUAUCAACCAGGGGUGUAGGAGAAUUAAUUAUUUUGUUAAUUUUUUAUUUAUGUGAAAUUCACAUAUAGACCCUCAUGUGCUUAUAAUAUAGAGUAUACAUGUAUAUUAAAUUAAAUUACAACUACAUUAUUUGACUUCAAUUAUGAGGGGUGACCAUAGAAGAUCAUGGGAAGGGGAGUCCUCUCUAAGCCUUUUUUUGAAAUAAAUUAUGAACAAGUAACUGACUUGCCAACCUCCAACAAUCAAAAAAGAAAAAUACAAUCUCUAGCUAUUAGUAAGUUAAUUAGAUAGCUACCACUGCCUUGUAUUUAUUAUGAUAUCAUGCUAUUUGUAAAAUUUAUUUAUUUAUUUUUAUAAAGAGGAAAAAAUGGUUCAAACUCAAAAAUUAUGCUUAAUUUUUUCUUUAUCUCUUCUUUUAAUUUUCUCACAUGUUUCAAAAUUGAAAAACAACCUUGUUCUACUAAGCAUAUACCAAUUAAGGAAAAUGAUUUCCUUUUGUUUUGUGAAAAAUUGAGGUUAGUAGAGUAACAUCUUAAGGGGGGUGGGGGUGAAUGGGUGUAUUUUAAAAAAUUAAAAUAUAAGGAUUAAGGACUAAUACCCUAAUAUACCUUACUAGAUAAUAGGCAUUAGUAGAAUAUCCAAAAUAUUCAAGAUAACCUAAUAGAUAUGUAAUGAACACAAGAAUUUUUACAUGAAAAACCCCCACAUUAACUGUGGAGAUAAAAACCAUGGGUGUAAGACCUCAAAUCUAAAUAUACUAUAUGAGAUCAAGUUACAAAAAUUUACUUGACUGCUUAUCUCAAAGGUUUACUCUCCAGUACCUACAACUUGAUCCAUGUCCACGAUGUAAUAAUCUCCAAUGCUCCAUUGAAUACUCCUUAGCCUCGCUGAAAGGAUGCAAAUCUUCAAACAACCUAAGAUUCAAUCUUUGAAUCUUUUUGUGAUUAUCCGGUUGAAUUAACAACCUCAAAUCUUCAAUGAAGAGUAAGUCAGUAUCUAAAAAGAUUCCUAAGCUAGAAAAUAAAUUAGAAUAAAAUUGUCAACACAUAAUAAAUACUUAUUGUCCUAACAGUCUCCCCCUUUGGCAAUUUUGUGAGAAAACAUCGUUACAUAACAACCACCCUCCCGUAUGCUCAGGAAAACAUUACAUCAUCUUGUAGUACUUAUCUCUCAAUCUUGUAACCUGCACACAAAAAACUAUACCUAGGGUAAAGUAAUAUGUGGGAUAAAAUAAAGUCAAGGAAGCAAAACAAGAUAGUAAGAAGUUUUUCUUGAGAAAUUACAAAAGAUUAAAGAAGAAACACAAUACUGUAAGGAACCAAUGUGCAAAGUCCAAAUGGACACACAUAUGAUUAGAAGCAAGAACUAAGUCUUAGAGAAGCUUUACAAGCCGCAAUUGAUCAACAGUAAAGCACAUGAGGCUUUCACCAAUCAGAAUAUACACAAAAAGGACCAUGUGAAUAAGCUUCAAUGACAGAAAAUAGUUUAAGAGAGUCAGACAUAUCAAUAAGAAAUAUUUUGUUGGAAACUUCCUUGUCAAAUAUCUCUCUUACACUUCUAAAACAUGUAAUUAACAGAUAAUAUGGUUUUCUCCAAUAUCUCAAGUUUGGUUUCCUCCAAUGCCUUAAUUAAUUUCUCCUAGAAUUUCAUAAAAUUAAAAGAAUUCUCCCCCUUCUUAACAAAAGUUUUAUUCUCCCUUUUUUUGUCACAAAAAUGGUAAAGAAAGAUAAGUACGAGAGACACAAAAAGAAAGGUAUAUAGAUAAUAUAUAAGUAAAGGUUCUAGAUAUAUCGAGAGUUAUGUAAUAGUGAACAAACAUCCAAACCUAACAAAGACUAGCAAUAAACUGGGAAAAAAAAAUGAACUAAGCACUAGGAGCGUGGAAAGAUAACGCUUAAGUGUUGGAAGAAGAGCUUGGGCACUCGAUGUAGAACAUAAAGCCCUAGGUUGAAACAAAAACCUUAAAAUAGGAAGUUGGAAACAAUUAUGAAAGCCAACAUAAGAUAAAGCCAAGACGACACUAGGGAACAAAAUAACCAAACAUUCUAGGGCAAAUUUAUAAUGUAGAAACUCACAAAAUUAGAUUGAAAAAUAAUAAAACAAGUAGAAUUCCCAGAUAGUAUAAGUAAUCAAACAAGAAUGAAGUUUCAGCUCCAUAGAACAAAGUUAAUCCCAAUUUCAGUUUCGAAACUCAAUGCAUAACUAUGAGUAAAUAAGAAGACCGCUAUAGAAAUAUAAGUAUUGAUGUUUAAGGGAAGAUGACUUACUGUCUAGUUUUAUAUUUUGAAAUUAAUCUCUUAGAAGAAAUCCAAGUCAUACAUUUGGUCACAUUAAGAACACAUCCAGUCAAUUUGUUCUAAAAUCGUCGGAUUUCUAUUUUAACAUGACAUCGUUGGUCUACAUACAACACAACUUAACUUUCCCUUAAUUAGAUAUCAUCUUUUUAGUCUUUUUUUUUCUUUUUUCUUUUUUUUUAAAGUGGAGGCAUUCUACACCAUUAUCUCAUUUGAUUUUUCUUUAUUUUUAUUUAUGGUUGCCUUUGUAUCCACUUUUGGGGGUGUUUCUAAAUAUUACAAGUAAGCAACAUAUACAAUAUAUAUAUAUUUAAAGAAAGAAUCUUGGAAAGUAUAUGAGAGUUGAUCUUAGCCAAAGAUUCAAAUUUUGCAUUGACUCACUUUGGGAAAAAUAUUAAUGAUCUUAGUUGAACAAGGUAUAUGGAUAAUGAGAUUUAGGCAUGACAAUAGAUCCUUCCAAAUAAAUCAAAAUCUACUUUAUUAGUUAAACUUAAAAAGUUUCCCUUUUGUUUAAUCACAAAGUAUAAAUAUUGUUGAUUUUCCACUAUACAAAGAUAUUUAAUUAUCAAGAAUCAUGUACCUUAAAAGUGAUUAACAAAUAUCUUAGGAAAAUCAACAUCAAAUAUUGUAGAUUUAAUAUAUUUUUCUGGGUAACAAACUCGAGAUAUUACAAAUCAUGCCAAUAAGGCUAGUAAACAAACAAUAAUCAUAUGCCUAAGAAAGAUAUAAAGAAGGCCAAAGGAGUAGAAAAAAAAAUGAGUAAAACAAGCACGAAACCUUAAGCCUGCACACAUUGACUUUUAAGCAAAAAAGAACUCUCCCUGUGAUGAACACUCCCCCUAAACAAGAAACUUGCUUUCAUCUUCACAAAAAAUACUAAAAAGAAUUCUUAAGAGAAGCAAUGACUUCUAAACAGAACAAAGCUCUAGGACAAAAGAUAAAGCAAUAAAAGAAGGUCCUAGGCUAUGGAACAAUGAGUUAAGUAGAGGUAGAGACUCAUAAUGAUUUUCUAGGAUCUGGAUUCCUAAGAGAAUAUAAAGGAACAUCUUCAAACAUAAUUAAGCCCUUAUUCUAGAGAAAGAUGAGGUCUUAUUUCUUUAUCCAGGUUUUCUUCAUUCUAAGAGGUAUGUUAGGUGGUGUUUUUUUUUAUACUUAGGCUUACUAUUUGUUUUUCUUUCUUUUUCAUUGUUUAAAAUAUUGUUUUUUAGAGAAUUAAAAUCAUUCAGAAGCCUAUUUAGUUGAGACUCAUACCUCUAAAGAAAUCUAAUGUGACACCUAUGUUGAGUAUGUCUAGACUUCUUACAACAUGUGCAAAGUGAAGGAGUGAAGGUGUUACUUGGCUAAGGGUUUCUUCCUUACUUUUAACAAAAAUUGUGUUUCCACUAAUAGGAGUUUCGAUUCGGUUAAUAUACCCAACCCUCUUUUAUCACCAUAGGAUUUGCAUUUAUCAAGAAUUUCAUUUAAAAUUUUAGUUUUAGGGUGAAAUAUCUCAUUAACAUAAGAAAAUAACUUAACUUUUUUAAUAUCUUGAGUGAGAACAUUGUUUCUCUCAAGAAGGGAAUGAUGUCCAAACUAAAAAAAAAAAAUCAAUUUUUUGAAGGAAAUUUGUCCUCUUUUUUAUUAAGCAAAUCAAUCUUAGCUUUAUGAGCAUCUAGAAUAUCAUGAUUCCUCAAAAUUGUUUUAAUAAAAUUCUCAUGCUCAACAAUAAGAUUAUUCAAGUAGCAUUUUGUUUAUCAGUGUACUCACAAUCACUAUCAUGCACAAAAUUAGUAGAUGCAACAAAAGUUAAAAAGUUAUUUUGAUCCUAUCUUGCAUUUUCAGAAGUUGUGGAGUCACUCUCUUCAGAAUCCAUGUCACUCCAAGUAUCCUGCAUAGGCUUUUUAAUAUCCUUGGAAAUAGGACAACAAGUAGCAAAGUGUCCUAGACCACCAUAGUUAAAAUAUUCUAUCUUUACCUUUGGAGAUAUUUUUAUCCUUUUCUUUAGAGGAUUUAUCAUUAGUUCUUUUUUCCUUUUCCAUAUUCUUGAUUUUUAUUAAAUUUUCUAGUGAAUUUCAUGACCUUUUUAAUUCUUUUAGCCAUAUGAGUUAGUUCAUCCUUAGUUAUGUUAUUUGACAUUUUAAUGUCUUCUUCCUCAAUCUUAGAGGCCUUGAAAGUAUAAUCUUUAGGCCUUUAAGAGUUGGGAAUGGUCAUCUCAUAUGUUUGAAUGAAGUCAACAAGUUUAUCAAUUCUCAUCAAAUCAAUGUCCUUGCUCUCUUCUAAAGCAAUGACUUUAGGCCUAAAUCUUUCUGGAGGGGAUCUUAGGAUUUUCCUUAUCACUUUAGAAUUGGGAAAAUUCACAAUAUUACUCAAUUGAGAAUAAAAAGAAGAAAAAUUUUGAUUUUCAUGCAUCCUAUCAUUUUUUUUUCUUUUCACCAUUUUUUUUCUCCUAUAUAUUUUAAUAAUUUUUCAACUGACAUUGUUAGGUAAAUAUUUCUUACCAUCUUUAUUUUAUUUUGACAAAUGUAUCAUUUAAAGCUUCCUUUGAACACAAAAGCAUCAUUUUAAAGUUUUAUAAGAAUAGUGAAAGUAAAACAGAAGCAAUCAAAUUGAUUAAAUUUCUUGUUUUACCUCUGAGAACUGAAUCUCAAUGUGCAGUGUGCAUCUGAGCUUGUGAUGUGAAAUCAAAGCUGGUUUAUGCCGGAAAUUUGAACAGAUUUGUGGUGAAAAUUGGAGCUCAUAUGCCAUGAAAAUUGAAGCAAAUUGAAGGUAAAGUGUAUUAGAGAUAUAAGCAAAUGUGUGGUGGAGAAGAUAUGCACUAUUUGAUGCUUUUGGGAAUUGGAGAAGAUUGCCAUGUCUUCCUCUGAGCUUCUGUAUUUUGGUUUUCGAAUUCUUUGGAGAUUAAGGGAUUGUUUCUUGGAGAAAGAGAUAAGUGAAAAUAAGGCCUAGGAGCUGAAGAUUGUAUAGUUGAAGUGAUAGAUGGGAGAAAGAAGAAUAAUAGUUGAAGUGCCAUGUCUUCCUUUUCAAAAUUCAUUUCCACAUCUUCCAAUUCAUUACCAUAUGUUAUACAAAGCUCUUCUAUGUAAGGGCUUAGUUGGAGCAAUUUCAUACACUUUGCUGUUAAUGAUUCCUAACCGUCUUAUAGACCUUUACAAUCUCUGGGGGUUUAAUAAUGUUUGGAUGGACAACACAAAUGUAAGGUCGAUGGUUGUAUCAUCAAUAGUUUUUUUUUCAUCAUUUCCCUUAUACUCUUGACUCAAACAUAUUGAACAAUUGCAAAGAUGAAAGCAUUUGAUACCAUUUCAGAUGGAAGUGUGUCAAGUGAUUACAUACUGUCAAAUAUCAAGCACCUCAAUUUUUUCAAGUUCUUGAGCUCCAUUGGUAAGUAUUUUAUCCUUCUAUCCACAAAGUAAGAUAUUGCAAGGUAACUAAGUUGCCAAUCUCCACAGGUAAAUUCAUAAGUUGAUCAUUGUUUGACAUGUCUAAACCUCUUAUGAUAGGCAUGUUUGUGAAGGAUCCAUUUUGAAAUAUGACUCACUACACUCACUCGAUGCCAGAAAGGUCAUAGUAUGAGGGAAAUAUGGUGGUUCCUUAAGUUUCUUCAAUGUUGGUAUCCCACAAUGGCAUCCUCUGCGUCUCUUUCCAUUCUUCAACUUCAUGAGCUCUGUGUAUCAGGGAAAUAUGUGAAAUCAUUCUCCAUCUUCAACUGCUGCAUCAACUGCAGAAGGAAAUGUAGAAGGAAGAAGUUGAUUCCAAUUAUUCUCCUUUGUUUUGUGAUUUUGCAUUAAAGAAACACAUCCCAACAGCCUGACAGAUAAUGCUUAUGAAAAAUAAAAUAAAGAGAUAUUAUGAAGUGAAAAUAGGAUUAUCCCAAUGAAUGAAACAAAGGCAUUCUCUUGAUUUUCAGUUGAUGCUUCGUUUUCCCUGUUUUAGCUCCUUAAACUCUUUCUUUCAGCUGCACUCUAAAAUCUCUGAAUUUUCACCUUCUUUCCCCCAAUGCUCCCUUGGAUUUACAGUAGGCAACCUCCCAAGAUUUGAUUUUGGGUAUCAAUUUCAUAGUUCUAAGAUUUAAAAUUCCAAUUCAUUUUCUUUUUCUUUACAUUAUUUUUCUCAACAAAUAAGUAGUUUAUUAUCUUCUAAUUUUAUGAAAUCAACCAAAAUCUCAAACAGAGCACCUACAAAACCACAAAAAAAGAAAGGGAAAAAGGGAAAAACUACUAAUUCAAGCUUCCUUUCAAUACGAAAGUGUUGAAUCUAUAUUUAUAAUCUUCUAUUUUUAAGGCACAGGAUGACAAUAGACUAAUGAAAGUAAAACAGAAGCUUUGACAAGAUAAUCAGAGCUUGGAGCUCAAGUUUGUAGACAUGGAAGCUCAUGUGCAGUUGAAACGAUGAAAAUGCCUAGUGAUGAUUCAGCAAUGCACUAAUCGAGGCUUGUGGGGAUUGUCGUGUCUUCCUUUGAGCUUCUGCAUUUUGGUUUUUGAAUUUCGUGGAGAUUAAGAGAUUGUUUCCUGGAGGAGGUGGGAGAAAAAUAAAUGAUGAUGUUGCUAAACAAUCUUUACAAAUAACAUCUAUUUUUGCAUUUUUCUACAAGAAUUUUACUCCCAAGUCCCAAACAAUCUAAUGAAGUAUGUAGAGUGAGAAAUCAAAGAGAAACUAAAUAUAAUUAAAAUACAUGAAAAGUUAAAAUAAUAUUCCAAAUAGAAAAUAAAAUAAUAUCUUGAGAGGUCGACUCAAACAAUCACAAUGCACAUUUGGAACUGGCCAUAUUUAUAAAAUGAAAUUUUUUAAAUACAAUUAUAUAUAUAUAUAUAUAUAAGGAAGAAAAAGAAGGAAUUACUUGUAAUGAGACGAAUGCAAUAGGUGUUCAUCACUCGGAUUGAAAAUAUGGAGUGAGGUUGUGCAUAAUGGUUUGAUCCUCCCACUCCAAUUCAUCCCACCAUUCUUGGUCUCCCUUGAUUUUCUCGAAUUUCUUGCUCACUCCAGUAUUGGAAUGAAAUGGCAGCUUCCUCAAACUUGGACAUCCAGACACAUGGAUGUGUCUUAAAGAUGGAAAAGGUAGGGCACGUCCAUAUAUACUUCUUAGCUUUGGUAGCCAUAUUAAAGUGAGAGAUAUGAGUCUCGAGAAUACACCCACAUGAUCUACUUCAAUUUCUAAAACUUCACUCUUUUCAUCAUCUAUCACUUUUUCCAUUGAUUUACAUGCUGAAACACUUAGAAAUUGAAGGCUUGGAGCACAAAUAAGCCAUGUCAAAUUCAACAAUUCACCACAUCCGGAUAUGUCGACAUCACAAAGGUUGUUCAAGCAUUGGUGCCUUGGGAAUUUUGAGUAGACCACCACUUCCUUUUCAAAAUUGAUUUUCACAUCUUGCAAUUCAAAACAAUUUCUAAUACGGAGUGUCUCUAUAUAAAGGGAUAGUUGGACCAGGUUCAUACGCUCACAACCUAAUUGCACCCAUCUUGUGGAUCUUUGCAACUUGUGGGAGUUAAGUAAUGUUUGGAUGGAUGAUACACUUGUAAGGUGGAUAGAUAUAUCAUCAAUGUGUUCUAGCUGCUCUAACUCUUCUAAUAACCUUCCUUCAUCAUCUCCCGUAAAGUCUGACCCUACAAUCGUGCUAUACAUGCUGAACAAUUGCAAAGAGGAAAGACUUGAUACCAUUUGAGAUGGAAGUGACUUGAGCGAAUACAUUUCAUUCAAUAUCAAGCACCUUAAUUUUUUCAAAUUCUUGAGCUCCGCAGGUAAGUAUUUUAUACUUAGACCCGAAAAAUUAAGAUAUUGCAAAGUAACUAAGUUUCCAAUCUCCGCAGGUAACUCUGUAAGUUUAAAAUUGUUUGACAAGACCAAAACUCUUAUAAUAGGCAUGUUUGUAAAGAAUCUAUUUGGAAAUGACCGAAUAAACUUAUGUGAUGCCAAAAAGGUGUCCAUAUUAGGGAAAUAUGGUGGUUUCCUAAGUUCUUCAAUGUUGGUAUCCCACAAUGAUAUCCUCUGUGUCUCUUUCCAUUUUUCAACUUCCUGAGCUCUAAUCGGUUCAACUCCAUCUUUUACCACAAAUUUGUUCUUCUUCUUCCCGUUUUCACGAGCCAACCACAAAGCCAUAUCACGAAUAACAUCAUGCAUCUUCAAAUAUUUGUCUUUUUCAUCUAAUGGAGAUCUGCCAUUCUCUAAUAGACAUGCCAGCUGUAAACUUUUAAUAACUUCUUCUCCUUGAUUUCUUGCUUGUUGUAUGUUGUCAUAUUCAUCCAGAAAACCCUCCCCGAUCCAAAGUUGUAUAAGAUUUCGAUGAGAGAUUUCAUAAUCCUCCGGAAAUAAAGAGCAAUAUAGGAAACACAAUUUGAUGGUUUCAUCGGGUAGGCUAUCAUAACUGAAUGCCAAGCGUGAAAACAGACGAUUCUCCAUACCUGGAAACUUUGCCGGAUAAUUCUUCAACAUUUUUAUUUUUUUCUCCCAUUCUUCGGGUGUUUUUGUUCCCGCCAUUGCUCGCCCUAUGGUGAUGAGGGCAAGUGGUAAGCCGCAACACUCUUUGGCAACCAUCUCCGCCAACUUUGGUAUAUCUGGAUGAGAAUUUAUGGUGUCUGCUCCCACCUUGGUCUGAAACAGAGCAAAAGCAUCCUCCCAUGGGAGACAAUUCAUUUCAAUGCUCUCUGUAACUUCCAUAUCUUGGCACACAUCUUUAGAUCGCGUUGUAAGUACCAUCUUCAACUUAUCUUGAGGAUUGAGAGGAGGAAUACCAACUUUGGAUAGAUCCAGCCGCUCCCAUAUGUCAUCUAACAAAAGCACAAAUUUCUUUGUCUUCAGGACAUUGAAUAUUUCUUCUGCCCUUUCAUCCUCACUCCUACCUUCCCAUUUAUCUUGGGGAAUCUCCACUUUAUUGAAAAGAACUCGCUGAACCUUUUCCACAUUGGCUGGUCUGGACACAGUCACCCAAAUCACUGCAUCAAAUUCAAGCCUGGUUUUGAGGAGCUCAUUGUUGAUCCUGGUCAAGAGGGUGGUUUUGCCCACACCCCCCAUUCCAUAUAAUCCGAUACUGCUUACCUGCUCUCCACCAUCUUGGAGCCAUUUCCAGACCUUCCCAAACAACAAAUCUUGGCCCACAGUCUUUUCAAGCUGCCUCUCCAUCACGGGAGGACUAGGCAAAGGUUCAGCAACUACACUGAAAUUUGAGCCCUCCGUCUUCUUGACCGUCACAGCAUCCAUCUUUUCAAGUACCAUCUUGCCAAGAUUGUAGCUAGCGCCACAGUUUUUAGGACAACAGGUUCCGAGACAUUUCUUCUGGAUUUCUUCAUCACCUUUCGCCAAUAUUUCCUGCACUUCUUUUUCCAUGGCUUCUACUCCGCGGAGCCAGCCAUCAACUACACGAAGAUGCUUCUUCUGACGUUUCUCUUCACGUUCCACCCUUUCCUUCACAUCUUCGUACAGGUUCUUGAGUUCCUCCAUUUCAGUUCUCAAAGAGUUGAGAUUUUGUGGGAGGUGACGGAUGUAAACAGCACGCUUAGCAGUGCAAUCCCACAAGCGAGUGGCGGCAUCCAGGAUGGGGCUCACACAAUCCAUGGAGAAAACAGGUGAUGGAUUGGAGUUGGAGAGGUGGAGAGAAGAUGAGCAAGGAGAAAAGUAAUAGUGGAAUAUCACCUCUCUUUUUCCCAGUAAAAGACUGAGAAAUCAGUGCCGGCCGGAGAUUGUGGUUGGAGCCUACGUUGAAUGCUAUAAAAAAUUCAUAAUCUGUAGAUAAUACCAAUAAAUAAUGUCAUUGUCUUCUAUGUACAGACUGUGUAAAGAUUAAUAAAAGACUCACCACUUGUGAUACUUAGACUCGUAUAAAAAAUUAAUAAACUGAAUACAUAUUGCCUAUAAAAGACUCCACCAUUUGUGAUAAGUCACAAUUUUUCUAGGGUAAGGGUAAGUUACUAUUUAUUUCUUUUUAUUAUAUUUAUUUAAACUUUAAUGGUAUUAUAUAUAUAUAUAUAUAUAUAUAUAUAUAUAUAUAUAUAUAUAUAUAUAUAUAUAUAUAUAUAUAUAUAUAUAUAUAUAUGUUUUAGAGCGUUCAUAAUAGGAAACCCUAGAUUUUCUUUUUUCUCUUUGAAUUUUUUGGAUUUCACAUGGUAUUAUAGAGCAAAAUUGAUCUUUUAAUAAAACUUUUGAUUUAUGAUCUCAUGGAAGAGAGUUUAAUCUCAUACAUUUGCAAAAAAUGGUCUUUUUAUAUUCGUUUUAUUAUAAAAUUCUCUUUUGUCAUAUUUAAUUAUGGAACAUCGUAAUGGAUGAUCACAUCAUUUUUUCCCCAUUUGAUAUGCUAUUGAAAUAGCUUUUCUAGCUAUAUUUUUUCCCUAUUUGAUAUGCUAUUGAAAUAGCUUUUCUAGCUAUAUUUUAUGCUACUCCGCUCAUUUCAUAAAAUAUUAUUCCUUAUUUAAUUAUAACUACCCAAUAUUUGGGAGAUCCUUUCCCCGGACCCAUACGUCUUUCUAUAGGUUGGAUGGUGAUCGUUGACUAAUAUAUUAUGAUAUCAUGUUGUAUAUAAAAUUCAUUCAUUCAUUUACUUUUAAUUUUUAUUAGGGGAUAAAAUACAUUUAACCUCAACUUAUGUUUCAUAUAUUAAGCUUAAUUUUUUUCCCCUUUUCCUUUAUUUCUUAUCCUUUCAUUUUUUUUCUCAAUCUUUCAAGAUCCAAAAACAAUAUUGUAUUAAUCGGUAAUAUAAUGGCUAUAAUAUAUUUACAUUAAUUAUGAGAAACUUCGAUGGUGUUUGUUUGUUUUUUUUUUUUUUUAUUGAAUAGAAAAAGUUUAAAUAUUUAAUUUUUUUAUUCAGUUAAAAGUAAUUUACUAUAUCAACUAACAUAAUUAAAAUGAACUUGUUAUUCAUAGGUUCAUUUUAAUUAUAUGGGACGAUAUCAACAUGUUACUAUUAAUGAAAAAACCAAAUAUUUUAACUUUUUCUAUUCAAUCAAAAAACAAAUGAAGUUAUAUGGCUUCAUAUAGAUAAUACCCAAGUUUAACUAAGGUAGUACUUGAGGCCAGUUAAGAUAGUACCUAAAGUAAAUUAAGGUCGCACCUAAGGGUUAUUGAGGUAGUACUUAAGGUACAGUCGCGGGUUCAUUCGGACCCAAUACUUUAAGAGUCUCUCUUGCUUCAUUUUCUACAUUGUUUCCUUUAGUUUUUUAAGGAUUUCGCCGAUUUAAUGGUCUAGGAGAGAUGUUUGGUGUUAUUUCUUGCUGAUAAAACUAUAUUUGACAAGAAUUUGCUAAUCUAGGACACAUUUGGAGGUUAGGGUUUCAAUUUUUGGGUACAUACUCUCUCCACUCGAGCUCCUUUUCGUUUUUCCUGGAUUCUCUUGGACUCCCAUGGCUCCUAGAUGAGCCGAAAGACGCGUUUAAUUGACACCGCCUUGGAGUUUUGGAUUUGGGUUUUUGAACUUAAAUGAGAGAGAUUUUGAGUUUUCAAGAGUGAAAAAAGAUGAGAGAAAACUUCCAAAUGAGAGAGGGUGGCAUGGAGGUUGGGAUGAUGCUGAGGAUGUUGAGCUGGAGAAAUGGAGGGACAAUUUGGACAUAGAAGAUGGAGCCGGCUCAAAAAUGAUAAUACUUUUCCUAUUAAAAGCUUAUUCUCAUAUUUCCAUUGUUGGGUUUUAAAAAUGCUAUUAUAUUGGGAUGGGAAGCCCAAAGCACAACUUUCCCAAAAAAAAAUGCCAUUCUCUUCAACGUACAGACUGUGUAAAGAUUAAUAAAAGACUCCACCACUGGUAUAAAAAUUAGUAAACUGAAUACAUAAUGCCAAUAAAGUAAUAAUGUCAUCGUCUUCUAUGUACAGGCUGUCAAGCACCAUAAAGAUUAAUAAAAGACUCCACCAUGUGAUACAUAGAAUGUUAUAAAAAAUUAAUAAACUGAAUACAUAAUGCCAAUAGAUAAAUGUCAUUGUCUUCUAUGUACAGACUGUCAAGCUCUAUAGCAAUUAAUACAAGACAAUUCAGAAAUAAAACUAUAUAAUGCAUGUUAGAGUACUUAUUUAUUUAGAAGUUUUAUUUAGUUACUAUUUUUCUAGAGUAUGGGUAAGGUUGUUGUAGACCCCCAUUUUGGGGCUGAUUUUUCUCACCAUUUUUGCAGCUCAUUUUUUGCCAGGUGUCACGUUUCUAAGUUACUACAUGCUAUCUUCUGGUUAACUGUUGAAGAAUCAGGUGAACUUUUGAGAGCCAUUGGAAGCUUGACACAUGGCUGGAAUAUUCAGAGGAAACGCAUUUUGGCUGUUAGAGGGAGCGUUGCCAGCUGCAUGGAGAGGUGCCUUUUUUUGCCAGAAAAAGAUAUUUUUGAGGGGUUGUUGGGGAAGAUUUUUUUGGAGGGUGCUUUUGGUGGUUGUUUUUGGAUAGGGAUUUGGGGAGUUUUUUUUUUUUUUUGGCUUGAGGAAUACCAGUUAGGAGGGGAGAGAGUUGUAGGGAGAUAUUUUUGAGAGGUAUGGGUAUCCAUUGCCGAGGGGAGAGACAUUUUCUGGAGGGAAGUUCAUUUUUCUUGGGUAGUGACAGAGAGAGAGAUACAGAGUGUUUUGUUUGAGAGAGAUUUUGGCUUGGGAGAUUAUAGAGGAAGAGAUACAGAGUCAGAGACAAGAAGAGAUACGCGUGGGGAAAGCCUUGAAAGAAGAGGGUUUAGGUAUUAUUUCUGUGGGUUAGCGUUUCGGCGGGAAAUCGCUAAGUUGGUUAGAGUCCUGGUCCGUCACGCCAGAAGUCGCGGGUCCCUGUUCUUGCUGUUUUACUGUUUUAGGUAUCAUGAGACUCUGUUUUUAAUGUUUGAAUGUGUUUGUUGGGGAUUUUCACUUGACUCAGCUUUGAUUUCUAACCUGUUUUUGUGUCCUCUGCUUUUGGUAUUCCAUAUGUGAUAUUGGCAUUCAUGAUUUGAUUUUGUUUUCAAAACUCAUUUGAAAUCUGUUUUAGCCCAUUCUUAUAUCUGAGCCCAUUGAUUGAUAUAUGAAAUGAGAUUUGUGGGGUUUUUUUCGUUUUCUUCUACUUGUGCCCUUUUUUUUUUUUUUUUGUUUUUUGUCCGUCCCCUGUCUCUAGCAUCCGCCCAUGGUGUACAUCAAUUUUCACAUCUUUACUUGAGGAAGUAAAGAACUACAAGAAAUGUAUUCUCAGUUGGUGAGUAUGAUGAGUUGCAGCAUGUUUGUCAAGUUAUGGGGUGUCUGAUUCAUUUUGUGGGAGGCUAUUCUCGACCAAGAGCAUCAUUUUGUACACUCCUCUUCCAGUUUUUAUUGACUUUUUCAGUUUCCACCUGGUUUGGAUAGCAAGGCCACUGCAUCCUUUUACUAGAGAGCGAUUUAUAUAUUGAAGACAAACCCACUUUGCGUUUUGGAAGCGUGCUUGAUUCAAUUCCAGAAUAACUUCUCAUUGUUUCUCAAAUCACGAUUGGAAGAGAUAUUUCCCAGGGGACGCAUGGUAUUAUCAUUCAUGGGCAAGAGAUCUCCAGAUCCCGCUGCAGAUGAAAGUUGGAACCAUUGGCAGUAUUGGCAGCUUGACUAUACUAGAAUCCGAGUUAUCAGCUGUUCCAGUGAUACUUGAAGAGUGACUAUGCUUAACAGAUGUCACAGAAAGAAUUACAUAUUUGUGAACGGAUUGAAAUGCAGAUGGGAUUCCCGUCAAUGUGAUUAUCGGUGGUUUAGUGAAAUACAUAUUUGUUUAUUCCCUUUCACCUUUAAUCACGUGCAUGUGUCUCAUCCCAUAUCACCUAUCCCAUGCAUGCACCCAUAGCCAUCAAAUCUAUUGCUUCACACCCACCAAACCCGCGCCACAUGUACCCACGACUAAUCCAUCCCAUGCAUGCACCCAUGGCCAUCAAACCCAUUGUUCCGUACCCACAUCAACCUAUCCUACACCCACGGCUGUAACUCAUCCCAUAUCACCCAUCCCAUGCAUGCACCCAUAGCCAUCAAAUCCCUUGCUUGGCACCCACCAAGCCCGCGCCGCAUGCACCCACGGCUAAUCAGCGCUGCAUGCAUCCAUGGCCAUCAAACCCACUGCUUCAUUCACAUCACCCAUCCCACACGUACACCAUCCUAUUCUUGUCAAUGAGAUAUGUCACCCGCUACCGGCGUCAUGUGAUGAAGGUGGAGCCUUUUGAGAAUGAGCAAGUUGCAGCUGCAUCUAUGGGUACAGUCAAGAAUUGGGCAAUUUCUUUCGAAUACAUGGAAAUCAUUCUUCCAGCUAACGACAAUGAAACGAAACCAUGCAUGGCGUUUAGCAAGAUUAAUUUCCCGUCUUUGGCACCUGUGACCCAAGUCUCAACAUCCCACAAUCAUGCAGCCUUCGUCAUGCAGUCUGGAGAGGCUUCCACUUGUGGAAAUUAUUCCUCCUUUCGCUGUGGGCAUGGAGAUACAGUUUGUCCCAUGUUCCGGCUCGACUUUGUUGAAGCACUGAAGGAAGUUCCUUACAAGCAGGUUGUUGCUAGGUUUAGUUUCGCCGCGUUUCUCCCAAUAAAAGGCCAUGUCUUUGCAUGUGGAAUGAACAUACAUGGUCAGCUUGGUUAUGGUGACACUGUAGACAGACGGACACUUAAAAUUGUUGAACUACUUGAAGGUGUUGAUCCUGUGGUUCAGAUGGCUGCAUGACCAAGUUGUGUCAUGGCCGCAAAUGAUGAUGGGACUGCCCACUCUUUUGGGUUUGUGACAAAUUUCUGUCUUGCCUAGGAUGAACAGCAUAAUGAGCUCUGACCACGUGUAAUUCAAUCAAUUAAAAGAAAGACUGUUCAUGUGGUUCUCAUCUCUGCUGGUGAUGAGCACGUGGCGACACUUGACUCCAGUGGAUUUGUAUAUACCUGGGGCAAAGGUUAUUAGGGUGCAUUGGACCAUGGUGAUGAGAUUGGUAAGACUGCUCCUGAGAUCUUAAGCAGCCUUAAGAGCCACCUUGCUGUGCAGGUUUGUGUAUGGAAGAGGAAAACCUUCGUCUUGGUGGAUACCGGUUCUGCAUAUGGUCUUGGGCAGAUGGGUUUUGGUAGUUUUGGGUUUCCAGACAGGGGAGAUUCUGAUAAAGUCACGAGGCCUUGGAUCCUUGAUAACCUGAGAGGCCACUACAUUUCUCAAAUGAGCACAGGUCUGUAUCGCACCAUUACAGUCAUUAAUAAGGGACAAGUCUUUGGGUUAGGUGACAAUGAAAGAGUACGACUCGGGCACGACACCUUGAGAGGAAGCCCCGAACUUGCUGAAAUUUUUUGUUCAAGAAGCAACUGAUAAUGCAGGCCUUGACUCGAAAAGUUGCAAUGAGGACUAGGUUAGGAGCACCCUAGAAGAAUAUUUUUGUGUCAUGUGGGGAGGUUUCAAGGAUUUCUAUCCCUAAAGAUCGUGAGUCCGGUUCUGUUGAGGAUGAAUGGAAUGUGAUCUGGGAAAUCCUCAAGUGAACUAGGGAAUCGGUCAUAUCCUGCGCAUUCUAUUCUGCAUGUAUCAAUUCGCAUGAGGCGAAAACUGUUAGGUUCACACCUUCCUCCACCUCUCAUAUGCAUGGCACGUGGCGUUCUCUAGCAUGUAUAGAAAUGGAAGGAUGAUUUGAAAGUAUGGGACAGAUUGUUGCUGUUGAAUGACUGGAUGGAAAGAGGGUCUUCAAGGCUACUGUGCUGAUGGAGAACAAUGACUUCUGGUCUAUAAGUUUACGCCUCUGAAACCACUGGAGUAUCGUCAUCUAGAUCUUCCACCUAAUAAAGAAUUACUGGAUUGGAAUAUAAGAAUGAAAAUAGUGGUUGGUACAAUCAUGAGAUUGGAGCACUUGCAUGAUGAAGCGAGUCCUUCAGUUAUUUAUGAAGACUUCAAGUCACCCAAUACUUCACUAGAAGAAAGGUCUCACUUCUAGCUUUUCGAUUGGGGCUUGCAAAGUCAGUGUUAGAUGCCUAUGCAUAUGUGACAGCAUGAGUAAUAGGAACUUUUGGACAUGUGGCUUCACAAUAAGUACCGAGGUGCAGUUGAUUGUGAUGCUUAUCAUGUGACUGAUCUGAGACCUGAAGAGUAUGGUAUUUCAUCAUGCAUUGAGGGCAGCUUGAAAACAGUGAUAUCACCCAUCCUUUUCCAACUAAGAUAGCGGUGUUGAACGCAAAUGGAGAAUGGGUGCUUCCCAAUGACUCCUCAGUGGCCACAAGCAGAGGGGUGAACAGGGUCCCACAACACUGUUGUCCGAGUUGAUUAUUAUUCAAGCAUCCAUUGUCAUGGGAUGGCCACCCUUAAUCCGGAUGCCAUCACCACACUUCAUCCUCUUUGAUUUCGAAAACAAUUUUUCAAAUCUCUUUUCCUCUAAUAAUUUUCAGGAUUUUAGUUUUUCAUUAAAAUGACUUAAAAUCUCCAAAUUUUUUCAUCCUUAGCCUUUUUCUUAGGCUUCAAAAUAAUACGUUCUUCAAUAAAAUUUGCUGUCAUUUUCUUUGGCAUGCAAUCUUCAUAAUCUCUUCUAUUUUGAAAUGUUUUGAAAUAAAAUCAGAAUCAAAUUUCGUAAUUCCAAGUGAUGGAAUUUAUGAAAUUAGUUCAAGCAAAAAUAAAUGGGCUUUGGUGGGGGCCCGACAUGUGAUUUCCUAAUUGAUUGAUUGAUUGAUCGGCUUGUUUGCCAUGCAUGAUUGAUUUGCUCUGUUCCAUGAUAUGUAUAUAAUUAUUUUGUGGUUGUACACUAAUCUCAUUUUCUUAAAAGCGUGUUGCGGUUAGUGGUCCAGGUAUACGUCUACUCUCUUUUUGGUCAUUAUCUAUGUAUUUUCUGAUUCCCGUAUGUGCAUGAUAGAUUAGGAUAUCCAUUGAUUUUUCUAUUGAUUGCCACGUCAGUUUCAUCCUAUUAGUAGAGACUUGACUUCAGGGACUUAGAGGGGUGCUACGGUUCAUACCGUACCUUCCCAAUAAAUAACCUGAUCCCCAAACCCGAUCCGAUUUUUCAUAGAUCACCUUUUUUCCAAAAUAAGGAGUCGUACUUAGGGUUUUCUUUCUUAUUUUGUUUGCCCUUUAAAAAAUAAAUCAAAAAUAAGUGGCGACUCCAAGUCAUUUUUAAUUAAUAAAUCAUUUUUUAAAUAAAAAUUGAGUUCGCCAUUGAGUGAGAAAUGCAUGAGCUGAAAUGUGGGGUCCACAGUUGUAUUUUUUUUCCUUUUAUUAUAUUUAUUUAAAUUUUAAUGGUAUUGUAUAUAUAUAUUUUUUUAAAUGUUCAUAAUAGGAAACCCUAAAUUUUCUUUUUUCUCUUUAAAUCUUUUGGAUUUCACAUGGUAUAUAUCAUAGCAAAAUUGAUUCUUUAAUAAGACUUUUGAUUUAUAAUUUCAUUGAAAAGAGUUUAAUCUCAUACACUUGUAAACAAAGUUUAUUCAUAUCCGUUUGAUCGUGAAAUUCUCUUUUGUUGUAUUUAAUCAUGGGAUAUCAUAAUGGGUGAUCACAUCACUUUUUUCUUAUUAGAUCCGUUAUUAAAAUAGCUUUUCUAGUUAUAUUUUCUACUACUCCGCCCAUUUCAUAAAGUAUUCUUCCUAGUUUAACUACAAUUACCCAGUAUUUCGAAGAUCCUUUCCCCAAACCCAUACAUCUUUUUAUAGGUUGGAUGGUGAUUGCUGGCUGAUAUAUUAUGAUAUCAUGUUAUAUAUAAAAUUCAUUCAUUCAUUUAUUUUUAAUUUUUACGAGGGGAUAAAAUACAUUUAAACUCAAACUUAUGUUUUAUAUAUUAUGCUUAAUUUUUUUUUCCCUUUUUCUUUAUUUCUUAUCCUUUCCAUUUUUUCACGUCUUUCAAGAUCCAAAAACAACAUUGUAUUAAUAGUAAAUAAGUGGAUAUAUAGUAAUAUAAUGGCUAUAAUAUAUUUACAUUAAUUAUGAGAAACUUUGAUGGUGUUUGUUUUUUUAUUGAAUAGGAAAAGUUAAAAUAUUUUAUUUUUUUAUUUAGUAUAAAGUAAUUCGCUGAUAUCAACUAAUAUAAUUAAAAUGUACUUAUUAUUCAUAGGUUCAGUUUAAUUAUAUUGGAUGAUAUCAAUAUAUUACUAUUAAUGAAAAAAUCAAAUACUUUGAUUUUUUCUAUUCAAUCAAAAAACAAAUAUCACUUUCUAAAUUAUAUUUGGUUUAGAAAAGUAUUAAGAAAAAAAAUAUUUUAAAAAAAUUAUUCAUGAUUGGUUGUAAACUGAAAAAUAAAAAAAUAAAAUCAAUUAUAAUUAAAAUUAAUAAGAAACUUAUAUGUUUUAAAAUUAUUUAAUUUUUAUAUAAAAAAUUAAAAUAAAUAAGACCAAUUUAAAAUAACAUAUAAAAAAUAAUUUAUUGACUUUAAAUUUAUUUUUUAUUUUCCUUCACUUUUUCUUUUAUUCUAUUUUUUCUACCUCUUUAUUUUUUAUGAUAUUUUCUCUCUCUUUUUUUCCAAAAUAAGAAAUAGUCAUAAUUUUUUGUUAUCCCAAAAUUGGUCAAUUAUGAUCCAAUACUGUGAAAGCAAAAUUUGUAGGCGGUGGGUGGAUGACAUAUAAGCUUCACUAGUUGUUUGAUCCACAUGUGUAAAUUUUAAAAAUUUAUUGAAUAUGACUUAUCAAUUUUUGUGGAAAUGACAUAUAAUCUUCACUAGGAUAUGGAAAUUUCUAAUAAGCAUCCUUCAUUUUUCAUAAUAUUACGAGCAUGCCACUAAAAUUGUCAAGAAGUAAAUUCAACAUAAAAUUCCAAAAAAAAAAAAAAGAGGUCAAUCAGUAUUGGAACUACAAGACCCAAUGCCAGUCCCAAAACUAAGAAAAACUAAGCCUAACCUUGGACUGAAGGCAGCAAUGCUCCUUCUCCUACUUUGAAUUGCUCCCAUCAAGUACUGGAAGAGACCCGGAAAGAACCUCAGCUGCCAACUCCAACUCCUCCUCUGUUAUGAUCAAUGGAGGCACCAGCCUCACAACAUUCCCCUUUCCAGCAGUUAGCACCAGGAGGCCGGCUUCUCGACAGGCAUCCACCAGCGGCGAGGCCUGGACAUCAAGCUCAAUCCCAACAAUGAGCCCAACCCCACGUACUUCUUUCACAUGUGGGUUAUGUCCCAACUUCUGGGUUAAAAUUUGUUUCAGGUAUUGGCCCUUCUUGGCGACACUGGCCAAGAAGCUGGGUUCUGAGAUUUUUUUUAAGGACAGCAAGAGCAGCGUUGCAGACAAGGGGGCUGCCAGCAAAAGUGCUUCCAUGGUCACCGAAGUUUACGGCAGAAGCAACUUGUUCGGUAACCAGUACAGCACCAAUAGGUAGGCCUCCAGCAAGAGGCUUGGCAAGUGUCAUUAUGUCAGGGAAUACACCAUAGGACUCAUGAGCCCAGAGGUGCCCAGUUCGGCCUAGACCACAUUGAACCUAUAGAACAGGAUCAGAACAUGAUCAAGAUAGGAAAAUUGAACAAAUAAUUAGAGGACAAGAAGUAUGAAUUUGGCUUAAAACAGAAGGUUCUGCUGUUGGAGCUACAAACAAGAUGAAACAGAUUUAUUCACACGGAAUAAAUCUCAAAUGAAGUCUCAUUGCCUUUGGCCACUUCUGCUUUUCAGACACAGAAUCCUCUACCGUUUUUCAUUCUAGUUGGGAUUCAGCAAACAAUGCAGUGUGCUUUUAUGUAUUAAUUCCCUAACUGCAUGAUAAAUGGAAACUGGAUUCUGACAACAGCUUGUUUUUUAUUUCAAUUCAUAUUUGGUGUGGGAAUUGGAGUUAUAUAGGAAGAAAAAAGCACCUUCACCUCACUCAUUUAAACAUAAAAGCAAUAAUGGCGAUUUAGGGAUUCAUCUAUAGAAUUCCUAUCUUUUUUGUAUCUUUUCGUGCAGCAAGUAUUUUAAUUUUUCUUUUUUCCUUUUUAAUUUCUUAUGGGGUUGGGAGUGCAAACAAUUCUUCCUAGUCUAGUCAUCAUCCCAAUAUCUUCUGGAAAACAUUAUUCAUUAACGAAGUAGUGAAGCAGAAAGUUUUUACCUGAAAUGAGUUGAGGCCUAGCAGUUAAGUGGACAUCUAAAGAAGGUAAACCAAGAGACACCAGAUUGAGGCAAAUACCCAAUAUGCGCACCGAACUUAAAAUCUAUGAAAUCAAAUAUAAGGGGAUUGAAAAACGACUUUCACAGAUAUUAUUUUCUGAUAUAAUACAGUAGGUUUUAGGAAAAUCCGACCAUAAAAUAAAAUCCUUGCAUGCAUGUACUGAAAAAAUUAUCUGCAAUUUGGCUAUUUCCAAUCGAGCAAUAUAGGCAACAUGAUUGAACAUAUAGGACCAGUUUGAGUAACUAUAUUUCAUCACUGAAAUGUUUAUUGCCUCAUCGAAAACAAGGAGAGCCCCAGCAUCAUCACAAGCACUUCGCAAAAAUUGUAAAAAUUCCUUUGUUGCACUGUAUAUACCCCCUUCUCCCUGGAUGCGUUCCACCUGCAGCAAAAUCGCUACUGCUUAACAAACAGAGGAAAGCUUUCGUGCACCAAUUUAAGAAGAAGGCCUCACAGCAAAUGGAGGAUAUAAAAAAGAGGAGUCGAAUAUUAUGUUACAGUCGGGAGUAGGGGUCUCCAAAAAGCCCGCGGCCCGCGGCCCGCUUUAGGCCCGGCCCGGCCCGAGCUCGUUUAUGGGCGGGCCGGGCCGCGGGCCUAAAUUUAGGCCCGGCCUGGCCCGUAGGCCCGCCCUUAGGCCCGGCCUGGCCCGUAGGCCCGCCCUUAGGCCCGGCCCGUAGGCCCGCCCUUAGGCCCGCCCAUUUAAAAAAAAAAACUACAAAAAUAAAAAGUAUUAAAAAAAAUAUUCAUUUCAAAAUUUUAUUCAUUGAAUGUAUAAUUACAUUUAAAAAUGUGGGAAAAUUUUACAUCACUACAAAAUAAAUACAUCCCAACUAGGUUGGCACCUAUUUAUUUGUCAAUCAUUUGUAUUUUUCAACCACAAAAAAUAAAAAUAAAAAUAUAAUAUACAUUUAGUCAUUAUUUUCUGGCGGUGAUGGCGAACUAUCAUGCAUCCAUGAAGAUCUUGAUAGUUUUAAAGAUUCCAUAUCGGCAAGCAUCUCUGUUUCUCGAAUGGAAUCGUACAUCCUUUUUUCUGCAAUUUCCCAAUCUUUUACACAUAUCCCUGCUUCAAUAACGUCUGGCGCUAAGUUGCAUCGUUUUUUACUAAUAACUCUUCCACCUGCACUAAAAGCAGCUUCUGAUGCAACUGUACUCACAGGAACUGUUAGUACAUCACGAGCAAUUAUAGAAAGCACAGGAUAUUUGUGUUGAUGUGAUUUCCACCAUAUUAAAAUAUCAAAAUCUUCUUGAUCUUCAAAUGGAAUUAUAUCAGUAUUAAGAUAUUUAUCUAAAUCAGAUGUAUUAUUUGGAGAACUAUUUGUUGUCUUUUUUCGACUUUUCAACAUUUCUAGAGCUCCUUUAUAAAAAGAUGAGGAGUUUGUAGAUGUAGGUGGUAAUUUAUUAGUAUUAAUAUCAUUACCAUAUUUUUCUUUAUAAUAGUUAUAUAAAUUAUAUAAUAAUGAAUUUAUUUCAUUUUUAAUUUCUUCAAUUUUUAUUUGGUCAUUAAAAUAAAUAAUUGUUAACCAUUCAUCCAAAGCUUCAAAUUUCAAUCUAGGGUCCACAAUUAAAGCAAUAUAAAAAAUUAAAGGUAUUUCUCCCCAAUAUUUUCUAAAUUUUUCUAUCAUUGCAAAUAUUGUAUCAUUAAAUAUUUCAAAACUUAAAUAUUUUUGAAGUACAAUAAAAAUAUUAGUUAUUUGCAUAAUAACUCGAUUUGAAGUUGGAUAAUAUACACCACAAAAAAUGUUUGUUGAAGUAUCAAAAAUUUCAAAAAGAUCUCUUAAAAGAUCCGCAACAUGCCAAUCAUAAUCACUUAAUGUAUAAAUAUCUGCAUCAGAAUCAUUGUUAAGUAAUUGUAUUUCAUAUAAUUCGACUACUUUUCUAUAUUUUGUAAUAUUUUGUAAAAGUUUAUAUGUGGAAUUCCAUCUAAUGGCCAUAUCCAAAUUUAUAUUUUUUCUUUUCAUAUUUAACAUUUUGCAACAAUAAAAAAAUAAUUCAUGUUUUGCUUGAGAACUAUUAAUACUAUAUGCAAUGCCUCUAAUUUUUUCCAAUGUAUCAUCAACAUUUUUUAAUCCAUCCUUUACAAUUAAAUUUAAAAUAUGUGCACAACAACGCACAUGAAAUAUUUUAGCAUGAUCAUCUUUUACUUGCCAAUAUAGUUUUAGUCUAUUUAUUGUUGCAUCAUUAUUAGCAGCAUUAUCUAAUGUUACUGUCAAUAUUUUAUCACGAAGGCCUAAAUUUAUAAUUUCUUCAUUUAUUAAAGUUGCUAUAUUUUUACCACUAUGUGGAGCAUUUAUUAAUUUAAAUGAAAUUAUUCUUUUAUUUAAUUUCCAUUCAUUAUCAAUGUAAUGAGCAGUUAUACAUAAAAAACCAGUGUGAGUUAAAGAUGUCCAAAUAUCAGAUGUUAAACAAAUAUUUCCUUCAAAAUUUGCAAAAAAAAUUUUUAAAAUUUCUUUUUAUGUAUAAAAUUUUUUCAUAAUAUCUCUUUUAACUAUAUUUCCAGACCAACCUUUAAAUUGAGGAUUAAUACCUCGUUGAAUUGUUCCUACAAAAUCAUGAGUUUCCAUCAUGUUAAAAGGUUGUUCUGCUCUUAUUAUAUAAUCAAUCAUUUCUUCACGACAGUUAGAUUCAUCAUAAGAAAAUGUUUUUAAAUUUCCACUUUCAUUUUUACCUAAUUGCAUAUAAUUUCUAAUAUCUACAUUAUUUUUAGUUUUACAAUUUUCGUGAUGUCUUUUUAAAUGACUUGUGCCUGCAUUUGAGCCACCAGUAAGAAAUUUAUUACAAAUUUUACAUUUUGCUUUUAUUUCUUUUUUAUUAUUUUCUAAAAUUAUUUCUACUCUAUCAAAAAAAUUCCAUAUAUUUGAAGUAAAUUUUUUGUUUGAUGAUAUUUCAUCACAUGGACUAGAUGAAGAAGCACUUGUUAUCAUAUUAUAAUUAUUGAUAAAAUAUUAUGCCAAAAAUAAUAAAGUAAUAAAUAUAAAAAAAAAUGUAACAAAAAAAUAAAGUAGUAGGGGUGAAGUAUGUUACUCAAUUAGAGAACCGAUGCAGAAAUUCCUAGCAAAUUUGAACUCUUGGAGCCACCAAUGCUUGUUUUGCACCACCAACAAUAUUGUAUAAUUUGAGGGAAAAAUAAAAGAAUUUGAAAUAUUGUAGAAUGUGAGAGAAAUAGAGAGAGAAAUAGAGAGAAUUUGAUGAAAAAAUGAAAAGGGAGAAGAUGUAUUUAUAGGAAGGUUUUUUUUUUAAAAAAAAAAAAAAAAAAAAAAAAAAAAUUGGCCAUGUGACCGUUGCCCAACGGUCACAUGGCAGCUAGGAGCAUGGAUUGGAGCUCCAACGGUCACAUGACCGUUGGAGCCUUUAAUUUUUUUUAAAAAAAUAAUAUACUUUAUGUUAUAUAUAUAUAACUAACUCUAACAUUUAACACAAAAGUAAUGUGGCUCAGUUGGUUAGAGCCUUUACUUUGAACCAUGAGGGGAGGGGUUCGAAUCCCCCCCUCUCCAUUCAUUUCUAAAGCCAUUUUGGCUUAUUUAAAAAAGCCCAAGGCUUGGCCCGCCAGCCCGCCCCCAGCCCGGCCCGCUGGCCCGGCCCGCUGCCCGCCCCCAGCCCGCCCCGCCCAGCCCGUGGGCCGAAGAUUUUUCCCUGGCCCGGCCCGGCCCGCCCGUUGGAGACCCCUAGGUCGGGAGCAAUUUUUAUCGUCGACAUAGUUGUUAUUUGCAACGAAUAUGUUUCCUGCUAUAGUGAAUAAAGCCCCACUAUUUAGGCUAAUAAUAACUUGAUGGUAUUGCCAGUAUUUUGGGUAUUCACUUAGAAUUUUUAAAUAUACAAAUAAAGAAAAUCAAUGCAUCAGAAUAGUGCACUUUACCAGGCAUUGACAAAAUAAAUGAUCACAAGUUGUUCUUUUGUUUACAUAAUUAUGAUUAGGAUGACUUAUGCACCCCUAUCUUGGCAAGCUUUACAGGGCUAAGUACUGAACAUAAUCAGGACUGGACAACACUUUUUCAUGGAACGCACUUAUGUUCUUGAGCACCCUAGGACGCCAAAUUAUGAACAUAAGGAAGGUAAAUCUCUUGCCAUCACCCAUCACUAGUUUUCCACAUCAAUUCGCUCAUCUAUGUGCUCAUCAUUAGAAUCACCCAGACAAUUACUCUUACACAGGGAUUUCUAUUGUGGGACAGUUUUAGCAACUGAAACUCGAGCUUCCUUUCAAUACAAAAGUGUUGAAUCCAUAUUUAUCAUCAUCUUCAAGUUUUAUGGCACAGGCUGACAAGAGACUAAUGAAAGUAAAACAAAAGCUUUGACAAGAUAAUCAGAGCUCGGAGCGCAAGUUUGUAGACAUGGAAGCUCAUGUGCAGUGGAAAAGAUGAAAAUGGCUGGUGAAGAUCCAACAAUGCACUAAUUGAGGCUUGUGGGAUUGGAGAAGAUUGUCGCAUCUUCCUUUGAGCUUCUGCAUUUUGGAUUUCGUGGAGAUUAAGGGAUAGUUUCCUGGAAAAGGAGGUUGGAGAGAAAUACUUGAUGUUGUCAAACAAUAUUUACAAAUAAAAUCUAUUUUUGCAUUUUUCUACAAGAAUUUUACCUGGCAGUUGUGCAUAAUGGUUUGAUCCUCCCACUCCGAAGUGCGAACGAAUCUAAUGAAGUAUGUACAGUGAGAAAUCAGAGAGAAACUAAAUAUAAUUAAAAUACAUGAAAAGUUAAAAUAAUAUUCCAAAUAGAAAAUAGAAUAAUAUCUUGAGAGGCCGACUCAAACAAUCACAAUGCACAUUUGGGCUUGGCCAUAUUUAUAAUAUGAAAUUUUUUAAAUACAAUUAUGUAUAUAUAUAAAACGAAGAAAAAGAAGGAAUUACUUGUAAUGAGACGAAUCGGAUUGAAAAUAUGGAGUGAGUUUGUGCAUAAUGGUUUGAUCCUCCCACUCCAAUUCAUCCCACCAUUCUUGUUCUCCCUUGAUUUUCUCCAAUUUCUUGCUCACUCCAAUAUUGGAAUCAAAUGGCAGCUUCCUCAAACUUGGACAUUGAAACACACAGAUGUAUCUUAAAGAUGGAAAAGUUAGGGCACGUCCAUGUAUACUUCUUAGCUCUGGUAAACAAAACAAAGCGAGAGAUCUGAGUCUCGAGAAUACGCCCAAAUGAUCUACUGCAAUUUCUAAUAUUUCACUCCUUUCAUCAUCUAUCACUUUUUCCAUUGAUUCACAUGCUGAAACACUUAGAAAUUGAAGGCUUGGAGCAAAAAUAAGCCAUGUCAAAUUCAACAGUUCACCACAUCCAGAUAUGUAGACAUCACAAAGGUUGUUCAAGCAUUGGUGCCUUGGGAAUUUUGAGUAGACCACCACUUCCUUUUCAAAAUUGAUUUUCACAUCUUGCAAUUCAAAACAAUUUAUAAUACGGAGUGUCUCUAUAUAAAGGGAUAGUUGGACCAGUUUCACAUGCUCACAAGCUAAUUGUAGCCAUCUUAUGGAUCUUUGCAACUUGUGGGAGUUUAAUAAUGUUUGGAUGGAUGAUACAUUUGUAAGGUCGAUGGAUAUAUCAUCAAUGUGUUCCAACUGCUCUAACUCUUCUAAUAACCUUCUUUCAUAAUCUCCCAUAUAGUAUGAGUUUGCAGUGUCAUAACUACUAAACAAUUGCAAAGAGGAAAGACUCGAUACCAUUUGAGAUGGAAGUGGCUUAAGAAAAUACAUAUUUUUCAAUAUCAAGCACCUUAAUUUUUUCAAGUUCUUGAGCUCCAUAGGUAAGUAUUGAAUACUUGUCCUCGACAAAUUAAGAUAUUGCAAGGUAACUAAGUCUCCAAUCUCCUCAGGUAACUCCUUAAGUUCAAAAUUGUUUGACAAGUCCAAAACUCUUAUGAUAGGCAUGUUUGUAAAGAAUCUAUUUGGAAAGAAUCUAUUUGGAAAGAAUCGAAUAAACUUACAUGAUGCCAAAAAGGUCUCCAUAUUAGGGAAAUAUGGUGGUUCCCUGAGUUCUUCAAUGUUGGAAUCCCACAAUGAUAUCCUUUGUGUCUUUUUCCAUUUUUCAACUUCCUGAGCUCUAAUCGAUUCAACUCCAUCUUUUACCACAAAUUUGUUCUUCUUCUUCCCGUUUUCGCCAGCCAACCACAAAGCCAUAUCACGAAUAACAUCAUGCAUCUUCAAAUAUUCGUCUUUUUCACCUUCUUCAUUUACGGGAGAUAUGACAUUUUCCAAUAAACAUGCAAGCUGUAAACUUUUAAUAACUUCUUCUCCUUGAUUUCUUGCUUCUUGUAUGUUGUCAUAUUCAUCCAGAAAACCCUCCCCGAUCCAAAGUUGUAUAAGUUUUCGAUGAGAGAUUUCAUAAUCCUCCGGAAAUAAAGAGCAAUAUAGGAAACACGAUUUGAUGGCUUCAUCGGGCAGGCUAUCAUAACUGAUUGCUAAUACUCGAAACAAAUCCUCCUCUGUACCUGGAAACUUUGCUGGAUAAUUCUUCAACAUUUGUAUUUUUUUCUCCCAUUCCUCGGGUGUUUUUGCUCCCGCCAUUGCUCGCCCUGUGGUGAUGAGGGCAAGUGGUAAGCCGUCACACUCUUUGGCAACCAUCUCCGCCAGCUUUGGUAUAUCUGGAUGAGAACUUAUAGUGUCUGCUCCUACCUUGGUCUGAAACAGAGCAAAAGCAUCCUCCCAUGGGAGGCAAUUCACUUCAAUGCUCUUGGUAGCUUCCAUCUUUUGGCAUACUUGUUUAGAUCGCGUUGUAAAUACCAUCUUCAACUUAUCUUGAUGAUUCAGAGGAGGAAUACCAACUUUGGAUAGAUCCAGCCGCUCCCAUAUGUCAUCUAACAAGAGCACAAAUUUCUUUGUCUUCAGGACAUUGAAUAUUUCUUCUGCCCUUUCAUCCUCACUCCUACCUUCCCAUUUAUCUUUGGGAAUCUCCAAUUUAUUGAAAAGAACUUGCUGAACCUUUUCCACAUUGGCUGGUCUGGACACAGUCACCCAAAUCACUGCAUCAAAUUCAACCCUGGUUUUGUGGAGCUCAUUGUUGGUCCUGGUCAAGAGGGUGGUUUUGCCCACACCCCCCAUUCCAUAUAAUCCGAUACUGCUUACCUUCUCUCCAUCAUCUUGGAGCCAUUUCCAGACCUUCCCAAACAACAAAUCUUGGCCCACAGUCUUGUCCAGCUGCCUCUCGAUCACGGGAGGAAUAGGCAAAGGUUCAGCAACUACACUGAAAUUUGAGCCCUCCCUCUUCUUUACCGUCACAGCAUCCAUCUUUUCAAGUACCAUCUUGCCAAGCUUAUAGCUAGCGCCACAGUUUUUAGGACAACAGGUUCCGAGACAUUUCUUCUGGAUUUCUUCAUCACCUUUUGCCAAUAUUUCCUGCACUUCUUUUUCCAUGGCUUCUACUCCGCGGAGCCAGCCAUCAACUACACGAAGACGCUUCUUCUGACGUUUCUCUUCACGUUCCACCCUUUCCUUCACAUCUUCGUACAGGUUCUUGAGUUCCUCCAUUUCAG